UUAGAAGAGAUAGUUUUAUCCCAACAGUGGGAUAAAUCAUUGAGAUGCAUGGCAGUGUGAAUAUAGUAGACAAAAUCAUUGAGACACAUGGUGGUGUGAACAUAGUAAACUUUGUCAAACACAGCUAAGAUAAACAAAUUGUUUCAUUAGCCUUUAUCUUAUCUGCUGUGAUGAUUCAAAUUAAUGCUGUUUGGUAAGUUGCAAAAAACGAAAUGAGCUGACUGUUCGUAUUAUUUAGUCAGAUCUAUAGCAAUAAGUUGAAGUUCAUUGUCACAUGGGUUGGGAGUAGCGUGGGCUGUGAGUAGUAGAAUGGAUUUAUGGAGUUGAUACAAGUGCCCACAAUCUAUCAUGUCAUUCUAGGAUUAAAUGGAUUGCACAUUACUAUAAAGAUGGAGGUUAAAUUUAUAUAAUUCGGAUUGAUUGUAAAAUGGGAGGCAGAGAUGAGUUAGAAAAAGAAUGACCUGUGUCCUUUUUGAGCUGUUUCUAAAUGUCCCUGGUGUGCUUCAUGCUUAACACGUGCCUUUCCAAAUAAUUUUGCUUAACCUGUGCUUGUCUACUUCUUGUGCUAUUCUGUGCCUGGUCCUGAGCUGUGUUGGUAGAUUGACAUCCAGCUUGAACUUUUAGGUAUAUCUUUUGUACAUAAAUUCUGAAUACCCAUGGACUUAGCGUGAUAAAGUCAAGGAUCCAUUUAGCUGAGUCGUUCAAGGUUUGUUAGUAUGUCUUCGGAUUAUAAAUAUGUGACAAAAAUGAGGUGUAGAAUACAUUUAAAAAGAAAAGGAUAAAAAAAAAAGAAGAAAUGAAAAGAGGUGUUUAGAAGGAAUAGUUAAACUAGAUACACUCCCACUAAUUAGCGAUUCUGAUGAACAGUGCCCAUAGCUUCUUUUAUACCUUGAAGUUGCAGAAAUUGAUUCUUGGUGAAUUAAGUCACUUACAGACAUAACUUUUUCUUCCAUCUAAUUUUUAUUAGGUUAGAUAGGAGAAGACUUGUUUCAGGGUGUCCUGACCCUAGUAUUAGUUUUCUCGUCAGACUUUUCAAGAAAAUUUACAAUGCACACGACAUACAACUUCUAGUAAUCCUAGGACUUUGUUGACAGGGUGCUUCUAUUCCUCGUUGUGGAAAUGGGACAAACCUUUUGAUACCUUUACCAGGAUCAGUUAGUGCUGAGGAUAUGGCUAUUACUGGAGCUGGUGCACGACUUCAUGAUCAAGAUGCACCAACCCUUCCACUGUUGUAUGAUUUUGAAGAAUUAGAGGGAGAAUUGGAUUUUCUUACUCGUUUUGUGGCAGUUACCUUUUAUCCUGCUAUUUCUGGAACAAGCUCCAUGACUCUUGGUGAGGUAGAAAAUAUUUUCAUAAAAUGUUAAUUGAUGUGUCUACGCACUUUAUUCUUAAAUUAGUAUUUUAGACCAUGAGCUUUGUGGAGUGGGUUUGCUGUAACUGCUGCUGGUGACAACAUAAUUGUUAAUAUUAUUACAGAUAGAGAUUCUUGGAGUUUCUCUUCCAUGGACGGGGUAUUCAAUAAUGAAGGCCCUGGUGCUAGAUUAAUUGAGCUUGGCAAAAAGUUUCAGAAGGAAACCGAUCCAUUUUUGUCAAAUUCAGUUACAAAUACAGUUCCGUUUUCCAAUGAAAAUAUGUCAACAUCAAUGCAAACAGAAGCUGCUUCCAAUCCUUGGGUUGACCUGUUGUCUGGAGGGGACACAUUUUCUGAUCCUCUUUCAGAGCCGUUUUCUAGCCCUCUUUCCGAGCCGUUCUCUGAUCCUCUUUCUGAGCCGUUCUCUGAUCCUCUUUCUGAGCCAGUGACAAGAAAUGUUGCAUUUGGAGGGGCUGAUUUGCUUGAUUUCUUGGACCAGCCUAUAGUUGAAGAUCAUGGUGUGGAAACUUAUAAAAGAUCUUCAACACAGGAUGGCUGUUCUCUAGCUAGUGGUGCCCAGCAGUACAUAAGCUGUCUAAAAUCCCUUGCAGGGCCAUGCGAGGUAUAGUACUGCUCUCUUGUGUUUUUUGCAGCUCUACAUCUUAGCAACUUCAUCUUUUUAAAGGAGUAAAUUCUAGAAGUUCAACAAAUUUUGCUCUGCUAAAUGUAUAACUUAUUAAUCAGUGUCCUGUUAUUAUGGUUUGACACUACUGACAUAUUGUGUUGGUAUUUAUUUGUACUUCCCUUGGUUGAAUUAUUUGCUGUCUCCAUGCCAUUCGAUAUGGUGCUACUUGGUUUUUGAUCAUCCAUGACGCUAUAUAUAUGUAAAGGAUGAAUUGAUUGUUUUGGCUUGUAUUCUCACAUUUUAUGAUUGAUUGAUGGAAAGGUCUUCAUGUAUUAAAUUCAACCUCACAAGCGUAAGAUUGACAGAUUCUGGGCAAAUUUUCAGGAAAAGAAACUAGACUUCAUGGAAGCAAUGAAGCUUGAAAUUGAAUGUCCGCAGCUGAAUCUUUCUGCAGCUGAAAGGGAUAGAGCUUUAUUGUCAAUUGGAACUGAUCCUGCCUCUAUAAAUCCAAAUGUAUUGCUUGAUGAAUCUUACAUGGGAAGACUGUGUCGAGUAGCAACCACUCUUGCAUUACUUGGCCAAACUUCCCUAGAAGACAAAAUUGUUGGUGCAAUUGGCCUUGAGAAUAGUGAUGAUAGUGUUUUAGACUUCUGGAAUAUUACUAGAAUCGGAGAGAGUUGUUCUGGUGGCUGGUGGCGGGUGCAAGGUUCGUGCAGAAACUAAGGUGCCUGCUCUUGCUUCCUCAACUGCAACAUCUGUUGGAGCUUCACAAUCCCCUUUGUUGUGUUCUCAAUGUGAAAGAAAAGUUUGCAUAGUUUGUUGUGCAGGAAGAGGAGCUCUACUGUUUUCAAAUUAUAAAUCAAGGGAUGUGACCAACUACAAUGGCUUCUCAAGUCAGAGUGGAUCAAGCCAUGGAAGCCAAGUUGAUGUAUCUACCAGUCGUUCACUAACACUGGAUGGCGUUAUCUGUAAACACUGCUGCCAUGAGAUUGUGCUUGAUGCAUUGAUGUUGGACUAUGUUAGGGUCUUGAUUAGCUUGCGAAGAAGUUCCCGUGCAGACAACGCAGCAUACAAUGCUUUGAAUGAGGUUGUUGGAUCCUGCUUAAAGGAUAGUCUUUCUGAAAGGAUUCAGUCUUCCGAUAACGUGCAAGCUGCUGAAGUCCUUCACCAAUUAUGUGGUGGACAGGAAUCUCUUGCUGAAUUUCCAUUUGCUAGCGUUUUGCACUCGGUAUGUUCUUGGUUUGUAUUCAGUUCUCAUCAUGUUAUGUUUUCCUUUUAAAUUUCUUUUCUUGAUUAAAAUUUUUAGAAAUAUGUUUUAGUAUUUGUUCUUAUGAUAUAUGCCCAGAACAUUCAUCCCACUUAUCCAUGAGAAUCCUUGUCUGGUUUGAUUUUCAAUUGAGACAUUUUUGGGAACCCUGAGCAGGUUCCAUAUGCUAAUAAUCUUUGAGGUAAGGUGUUGUAGGAUGCCUUGAGAAGCUAAAAACCAAUUACAAGGAAAAGCUCUUGCAUUGUUUUGUGCAAUCUGUGUGCUAGCAAGUCAUGUCUCUAAUAAUUUCAUAGUUCGCUUGAUUGGAAUUUUUUAUUUUGAUAUGGAUUGUUUAUUCUAGAUUCCUUGCUGCCACUGUAGGUUGAAACAGCAAAAGAUUCAGCACCGAUUUUGUCACUGCUUGCUCCAUUAAAUUCUGGAUCAAGGCACUCAUAUUGGAGAGCUCCACCUAGUACUACUUCUGUUGAAUUUGUUAUUGUUCUCGGUUCUGUUUCUGAUGUCAGUGGGGUUAUCUUGCUUGUUAGUCCUUGCGGCUAUUCUGUGGCUGACACUCCGAUGGUAAGUGCCAUAUUUAUUCCCUUAUUUCCUUGUUGUUCAAUAAAUUUGGUGAUAAGCCAAGUGGCCUUAAUAAUGAAGCCCAGUACCAGGGGUGGUGGGUAAUCGAUAUUCAACUUGUGAAUAUUCCUAAGCAAACACUGAAUCAACAUAUACCUCGGCAAAAGUUCUCCAUGCUAUUAUAACAAAAGUCAUAUUUUGAAAUGAUUAAAACAGUCCCUGUGUAGUGCCAUUUCCAAAGAAAUUGCAGCUGGGGGUUUAGUUUCAUGUAGGUUAGUUUCCGAUAAUAAACUUUCCAUUUCAUUAAUUGCCGAUGGAAAAACCAAGUAAGAACAGUUUCGUUGCUCGUCAUUUAUGUAUAUUUUGGUAAACUGUAAUUUUAAAUUCUCAACGAUCUUCCCUUUGUAGGUAAGAAGAUGGUCCACUCACUUGAUAUUUAUGAUUGUAGAUCAGGUUUCUAUUGGUUUGCCUUUAUCAUUCGGAACCCAAGUUUGAUAUUAACAGAGAUCACGUCAAUAAUAUCCUAUUUGGGUAGAUGUGGGUGAGGAUUUAAAAUCAAAUUUGAAAUUGAGGGGAAAGAAGAGAAAAGGAACUACAAUAAUUAUUCUGAUGAGUUUUAAUCUCGAGAGGAGCAAUUUUCAAAUGCAAAUUUAACGGCUAGAGAAAUUGUAGCUUUUUGUCAUUAGUUAAGAGGAAAGAGAAUAAGAACUAUCCGGCCCUUUCCUUCAUGAAUGUGUGUUGAGGUUGCUGUAUUAUUUAGUCAGUAUUUGUAAUUUUCUUCCCUGCAGUGCUCUCUGCCUCCUGAAUUUGCUACUGAGUCCAUAUUUUUCUUUGAGCUGUUCCUUCCUAUUGCUGUUACAGUUACAAAUCUGGGCAAGCAAUAAGAUACACCGGGAGGAAAGGUCAUCAAGGGGAAAAUGGGAUGUCCAAUCCCUCAUCACAUCUUCUUCAGAUUUGUAUGGUCCAGAAAAGUCCGCUAGUGUUGAAAAAUUACCUAGGCAUGUACAAUUUACUUUUAAGAAUCCUGUUAGGUGCGCAUUGUUUGGAUCACAUUACGUCUUCAGAGACCUGGUUCGGCUUCAGUUAAUUUCGGGAAGGACUUCAGUCUUUUGUCUCUUGAUGAAGAUGAAAACCCCUUUGCACAAGUAGACAGACGUGCUUCAUUUGGAGGAGCAGUUGAAAAUGAACCAUGUAUUCAUGCCAAAAGAAUUCUUGUAGUCGGAAGCCAGUAAAAAGGGAGGGGCUUACCUCAUCACAGAGCUCUGAGCAGCUAAGUAUUAGAAACUGGUUGGAUAGAGCUCCACAAAUGAGUAGAUUCAAGGUAUUAGUUGCUUUCACUCUUUGUUCAUUCAUAAUUCCAGCUUUCUGCUUCACUGAUAAAACUCUUUUUUCUCUUCAGGUCCCAAUUGAGGCCGAGAGAUUGAUGGACUACGAUCUCGUCUUGGAACAGUAUCUACCUCCAGCAUCACCUUCGCUUGCCGGAUUCCGUCUAGACUCUUUCAGUGCAAUAAAACCUAGGGUUACCCAUUCACCUUCCUCAGAUUCAUUUACAUGAGAGAAAGAGUUUUGGGUUUGACUUUGAUUUUGAUUUGUAUUUGUUGUCAUUUCAUUGAAAUUUCUUUUUGUUGUAUAAAAAUCAGAAGGUAAAAGUAUUAAAUUCACUGAUGCGGUAAUAUCUGUGCUGGUUACAGGAUUUUAUGUUUAACUUGAAGUUAGUAAGCAAUGACUUAACAAUAGCACUUUGAAUUUAACGUGGAUCAUAUUGUAUUUGAAAUUAAAAAAUAAAGAGAGAGAAAUUAAUUGUUAAUUGAGUUGGACAAUUUUCCGUGGUUAAUUGCUCCCAGAAAAGAGAAGAAUGGGAUUGUGCUUCCUCACACGAAGAAAGACUCGAACGUCUUCGUGCUAAUUAAUCAAUGAAAGAUUUUGUCAAAUAUCUGGCCCUUUCUUUCUUGAAUGUCUGUGUACAAGUUGCUGUGUCAUUUAGUCAAUAUUUGCAAUUUUCUUCCCUGUAGUGCUCUCUGCUUCCUGAAUUUAUAUUAGUGAUCUGGUUUCUGAGUGCAUAUUUUUUCUUUCUCGUUGCUGCAGGUUUGUCGUUGUCAAACAGAAUCAAGUUAUAUUAUUAUUGUGAUCCUUAUGAGCUUGGAAAAUGGGCAAGCCUUUCUGGAGUUUGAUCGUUAUUUAUAUGUUAGAGAAAGAGUUCUGGGUUUGUUAAAACUCAUUAUUAUAAUUUGAAAUAUGUGUUAUUUCAGCUAAUGAUUAACACUAAAAAAAUUAUCACCCAUAUAAUUUUUUAAUUUGUGUAGGGUAAUAAUAAAAUUGAAAAUAAUUAAAAAAAUAGCACAAUAAUGAGUUUUAACAAUAAAACAAAUUAAAUGAAAAUUGAAAAUUUAGAAAAGUGUAUCUAAGAAAAUGGAUAUUUUCAGAAAUAAAAUGAAUAUAACUAAAAAUGGGGUUUUAUGAGGAGAUCAAAGGGGUGCCAAUAGUCCAACUCGUAAUUAAGAAUCUCCCAUUACAUUGUCAACCAAAAAGACACUUGCAUAAGAAAAAAAAUUUCUGUUUGAUUUUAUUUGUAGAUCCAACAUUUCUCAUAUCCUGGUCGCCUUUCCGUAUCAAAUUAAAAUAGUAUUAGCAAAAUCGUAGUGCAAAUUCAAUUAACCAACUAAUAGUCUAAGAAGCAAAGAGAGGAUUACAAGUUCACAACACCAUUACAAAGGAUUCAAAAUUCCCACACGAAAACAUCAAUGUACAGAUUAUAAACAAUCCGAAUUGGACACAAGAAAAACCCUUCAAUGGAUUGCUUGCCUUCCCAAUGCUAAAUACUGUGCAAACUGCGCAUUGGCCAAGAAAAUGUUUUCAAUUUAGUGUAUUUUCAAAAUGCUUAUUUUCUCAGAAUAUAAAAAAUGAAAAAAUAAAAAAAGAAUUCUUACAUGUUUCAUCAGCAUGAUUAAAAUCAAAGAAGAAAGCGAGACAUAAUGUCUCUGACAUAAUAAAAUUACAAAAAUUUCAAGAAAAAAAAAGGGUUAAAACAUGUAAUCUUCAGAAGCAUAUAAUAAAAGAAGACUUCCACAAGUUACUACAAUUACAUGCAGUAGAGAUUAACUGAUGCUUUGACUUAUUAGCAGGUUGCAAUGAAUUAUUAACUGAUGCUUUGACUUAUUAGUUCUGCAGCUAAGUUAAAUAAAAUAAGGUAUUUUCAAAAGCAAAAUGGAAUACAUAGACAAAACAUCAUCUUAAACAAAUCACAAUCUAGAAUUAGAGUGUUGAUUUGAGAUUCUAGAUUGUGAUUUGAUCGGCUCAUUUGUUAAGAAGUGUUGAUUUGAUCGGCUCUGCAAAUUCUCUUGGGACUCGGUUCCAAUUCCUCUUCAUCAAAACUGUAAUAUAAUUCCCCUUCAUCAGAACUCGAAUCAAAUUCACUUGCAGCAGUUCCACUCGCGCUUGGCAAAUCAUCUAAUUUCCAAACUUCGGUAGCAAAAUUGAGAGUAAAAGUGUUGGCUUUGAUCUCGCUGGGAUUUGCAUAUACUGGACAUACUCCGCAACGUUUUAUCUUCUGACCCUUUUGGACCUUUAGGUUUCGGCAACACUCAUUGAAGAACUUAAGUGAGACAGUUGUAUGAUGGUAACCAUCAGGAAAGCCAACAUUCAAGCAAGGUUUAAAACCAAGUAUGACAUGAUCUGAAUCAAUGAGGUCUUCAAUUGAGUGCGAAUCGAAACUCAGAUGAACAUGUUUGGUUUCAGAGAGAGUCUUUAUUUCUAAGUCGGAUCGACAGCCGACGUAAACAUUACGAAAACGAUCAGAAUAAAGUUGCUUAAAAUCAAGAACAGCACAAAAAGCAAACCCGAUUAAGUUUCUGCAAAAAGAGUGCGGUGGCAGUUGAAUACGUAUUGAAGAUCCUGAACUUUGAUUGCUGAACCAGUCAGGAAUUUUGCUCCCAGGUAAAACAAUUUGGGAUCGCCUGAGUUCAGAAAGUUUCUGUGAAACGACAUUUAAAAAAAGAAAAUUGUCAAAUGAAAACCAUGAUUUCAGAUAUAACAAAGAGGGACAGAGUAAACAAGAGAGGGAAUUUGAUACCUCGUCGAUUGUCUUUCCCCGUCUCAGUGAUGCUGCAAUUGCCAUACGUAGUGAAUCUGCCAAAAUCUUGUUGUUUGCUUUUCCAUCAAGUUUCAAGCAGUUAGUAAACCGAAAAUAAAUUGGUUGUGACAGUCGAUAUUCCGGAUGCCAUUCACAAAGGUCAGGAGAGGGUUUGGAUAGCUUUUCGAGUACGGAUGCAUCUAGUUCUUGUAGACAUGACGGAAUCUCUGGCAAAGAUUGAAGCCGGUUGCAGUUCGUUGCAUUUAGUGAAUGUAGACACAAUGGAAGUUCUGGUAAUGACCGAAGCAUGUUACAACCCGUCAAGUCAAGAGAUUCUAGACACAAUGGAAGUUCUGGUAAUGACUGAAGCAUCUUACAACCCUCCAAGUGAAGAGACCUCAGCUGCGACAGUUGCUUGAUACUUGCAGGUAAGCUCUCAAAGCUAUUUCCACUUAGAUUUAAUGUUGUCAGUGAGGAUAGACAGGCAAUCUCUUGUGGAAUUUCCAUUACAGCACAGUUCCUCAUAUCUAGAUGUCCCAAAUAAGCUAAACCUAAUAAAAACGAUCGAGGCAAUGAUACCAAACCUUUGCAGCGAGAGAAGUAAAGAACUCCAAGUCUGUUUGAAUAUGCAACAGAGGAUGAUGGUAGUUGACUAAUAGCUGAUCCAACUGCUGAGAUGAUAAACAAACAUUUUAAAUUGCCAAUGUUAUCCGGCAACUUAUCAAGCUUAGAGCAAUCUUCUACGAACAAUUCUUCAAGCCCCGGUAGAUUUUCAAAUGACGAUGGCAGCUCUGUAAUUGCCGUCUUGUUUAAAUUGAUGCGUUCUAAAUGUUCCAUUUUCUCCAAGAUUUCUGGGAAGCGCUCAAGGUUCACGCAGCCAUUAAGAAAAAGAUCAACCAAAGAUCUCAAUUUACAAAACCUAGUUGAAAUCCUCUUCAGCCGUUUGCAAUACUUCAAAUUCAACUUUUUAAGAUCAGUUAGGCACUCUAUUGAUGACGGAACUUCUUCUAUUGCAGACUUGCUCAAGUUUAGCGAUGUUACUUUCCCAGAAAUCAGUGGAAACUCUAUGAGAUUAACACAAUAGGAGAAAUUAAUAGUUACUGGACAAACAAAAUGAAGAUUGCUUGGAAAAGACCUAAGACUUUUGCAGCCCUCAAAAGACAACGCACUGAGAUACUUGAAAUUCUGGAUAGAUGAGGGAACACAAGCCAAGUUUGUAUAAUCCAAAAGAUAUGUUUCAACAUUUGGGGUUUCAAAUGGGCCUGGCAUCUUAAUGAAAUGUUGAGAAUGGCUGAGGUUAAUAGAUUUUAACUUGAAAGCUUCCUGCAAUAACAGAUAUAUAAAGACUAUAUUAAUUAAAAAGCAACAUUGAAUUCAACAAUUAAUUGCACGUAUAUUUAAAGAAAGAAAAAAUUAAUGUUUUAGUUUUAGUACAAAACUUACCUUUUCUCCUUCCCAAAGUUGCUCAACUUUACUACAACUCAAAUUCAGUGCAACAAGGUUCUUUGGCUUGAAAUUUGAUGGCAGUGUCCUUAAUGGAUAUGUGUCCCAAUGAAGAUAUCUCAAUUUUUUAGGAAGAUAAUCUAGGCCAUUUGGAAGCUGCACUUUAGAGUAUGAAAGAUGCUCUUCAAUGCUCAUACUUGGAAGCUUUUCAAUCCCAUAAAAUUUGAGCAAUCUCAUAUUAGACAUAUUUGUGAAGGCUCCGGGGUCUAAAUUGAUGCGUUUUAUUUUGGACAAAUCCAGAAAUAUGCCUUCAAUUGCAUCGGUCCCCUUAUUAAAAAAAAAAAAAAGAAUGAGUAAGCCUAAAACUCAAAAGAAACAUUCGUAAACUUUAUUAAUUAAGAGCUCCUUAAACAAAAAUAAAUUACGCAAUCUUUGAUUUUAUUUUUUUAAUAUAUUAAAUAUCUAUAUGCGAGAAAAGAAAAUUUUGGGGACCAUUGCAAAAUUAAACUAACUGAAAAAAAAUUCAAAAUUUCUCUAAUUUACAAACCUGUUAUCUUAAUAUCUAGAAGUUGAGAAGACAAGGCCUAUUUGAUUGGUAUAAGAUUUCGAUUUUUUUUUUUUUUAGUCCAUAGAAUCCAAAAUGUUAGUUCAAAAUUAGGGAAAAAGUCAUUUUUUUUCCACUAGCUGUAAUUGUAUCCAAGUCAAAUUGAGAUACGACCCUUUUCAAAAGGAUUUAACCAUCUUACAGCCUCCUUAAGGCACAUUUAAGCUAAAAGGAGUGAUUGGAGGCAGAACUAGGUGGGCCAAUCAGUCCAUUUUAUUAGUGACCGUUGCUUAAAAAAAAUUAUACUCUAAACCACACUUACUUUUUUGAAAAAAAAAUGUAAUUAUAUUGAAAUAAAAUCAGGUGGGCCAAUCCUCAUGGCACUCACUUUGUUCUAACACUCUUCACUAAAUUUGAAGAAAAAUAAAAUUAUACUCUUCACACUCGUAUUCAACAUUCCAAAAUUGAUAAAAUCGGGAGUUUUCUUUAAAAAUUUAAAAUUUGAAGACUUGUUCUCUUGACACCCUCAGUCAUUAAUUUUACCUAAUUAUGGUUUUUAUGAUUUUGGUUGUUUUGUUCAUAAAAAUGCUUUUACUAAAGGAUGUUCUGGUAAUAAUAAAAUUUAUAAAAAAAACAUGGGUGUGCUGAUAUAGUUGGAAAAAUAUGAGUGCAUAACUCCAAACAAAUAAAAGAUAUAUAUAUAUAUAUAUAAAUGGAGGAUUCUUACCUUAUUAUGCUUUAGUACGCGGCGGAUUUCCUUAGGAUCCCACAACCUGCUGCGUUUGCCUGGCUCUUUCUCAGAUUCUUGGCGAACAAUCUGUCGCCCCAUUUCUUGCAAUAUAUCAUGCAUCUGCAAGGAAUCACCUGAUAUUGAUAUGAGUGACUUAUCAAUAAGGACAUCCAGUCCAUCAGACUCAGAAUCAUCAAGAAUCCUUGCCAGAAAAUCUUUAUCCCCUCCCUCGAAGAAACACGCAAUAUCUAGAAAUAUGCUCUGCACCCUGGGCGUUAAUUCAUAAAAACUAAUCUUUAAUAUUUCAUAAAUAUUAUGAAUAUCAGAUUCACAAAUCCGAUUUAAGUCGUCCAAUACAUUUUCCCAAUGGCUUUUCCUCUUGAGAUACAGGGAGGAACCCAACACCUUAAGAACUAAUGGAUUGCCUUUGGCAUACUUUACAAACCUCCGUGAGUGCCGAUUGAGAUCUUCAGGACAAUGAUUUUCUUUAAAAGCGAAGUUACAAAAAUGCUCGAAAGCCUCAUCCAAUCUCAAUCCAUUGACCCUAUAUAUUUUCUCCACUCCAAAUUUUUCGAGGACUCGUUUAUCCCUGGUGGUUACAACAAUUCUACUUCCUGGACCAUAUUGAUCAAGCCCUCCAAUCAAACCCUCUAAUUGUUCAUCUUUAUUCACAUCAUCGAGUACAAUCAACACCUUCAUGCGUCGGACCCUCCCUUUAGUAAAUUGUGGAAUAUUGGGACCAGCUACUUCAAGUUUUUCACUUAAUAUUGUCGAAAGCAUUUCCUUUUGUAGGUCUUCUAGGCCACCCUCUGUUUCUGAUUUUCUCCUAACAUUUUUUGCAAAGUAUUUACCAUCAAACUCACCAGAGAAUUGAUCGAAAAUAGCUUCAGCAAGGGUAGUUUUGCCUAUACCACCCGUGCCCCAAAUUCCAACAAUUUGGACAGUAUCCCACAAAUCCAUACACAAAAAUGGUUUAAUCUGCUCAAUUCGUGAAUUUAAUCCAACUAGGCCGUUGGAUGAGUCCGUUGAGACUGUUAUUUUUUCCAACUUCUUCAAAACAUCUUCGACAAUUUUGUUUACAAGUUGCGCAUCAAGCCUAAUAUGAAGGUGCAAAGAUGCAAAAACAUUGAGUCAAAUCGGGCCAAGACAGAAACAGAGAAAAGAUGAAUUAGGAAAGAGAGUUACCUGAAUUUCGUGGAUUCAUGGCCGGCUAGAUGGGAUGUUUCUGUCAGUGCAUCCCUCCACUUCUGAACCAUUUCUGGUUUAUCUUUGAACUGUUUUUUGAGCUCAUCAAAACGGUCUCCAAAUGUUCCGUUUUGAUGCCGCACAUCAGAUGGACUUACUCCAUAGAAGACUGGAAUAAUAAUUUGGCCGUUUGUGUUCUUGCAUUCAAGAAUCUUGACAAGUUCAUUCAGGCACCAUUUUGAAGAAGCGUAGUCCUUUGAGAAAAUGACCACCGAAAUUUUUGAACCUUGGAUUGCGUACAAAAGGGCGGGUGAAAUCUCAUCUCCUCGCCUAAGCCCUUCAUCAUCAAUAAAUGUUUUGAUUUUCUUUCCUUCAUACAAUUUAUCAUAGAGAUAGCAAGUAAAGCUCUUACGAGUGUCCUCCCCUCUAAAGUUGAGGAAGACUUCAUAAUUGCCACAAGAAGAAGAGGAAGCCAUGAAGGAAAUUUUAGAAAAUUGGUGACAGAAACAGAGAAUUAAUCUUGAGAGUUGAGAGAGGAGAUGUAAGAAUGAACAUGUGUGAAGAUUCUUGCGAGUACAUAGUAAAUAAUUGAAUGGCUGGAGCUUUCUUAGUUUCCUGGAAAUUUCCUGGAGCUUUCGUAUACAUGAUUUGUCAAGUCAUGAAACAUAAUCAUGAUAAUGGGGCAGACCAAAAAGAAAAGCAACAAUUCAAAUAUUUGAUUCAACCAGUAUAAAAAGGAAGGAAAAGCAAAGAAAGGAAAUGUUGAAAGUAGAGUUAGGGAAUUAUAAAAAGCUGAAGGAAAUUGGAAUUUUGUACAAUUUCUCCAGCGAGGAACUUUCACAGUCGUUACCUCAUUGUUACAGUUUAGAUUAAGAUUUGAGGGUGCAAGCAUUUACCUAGAUUUUACCUCCGCACUAAAUUCUUAAGUUUGAAAAAUUAUGAGACCUUUAUAUUGGAAGAUAUUAUAAUCGAAUCAAAACUUAAAAUUUUAAUAUUGUUAAUCUUUAAUCUUUAAAAAAAAUUACCUUGCCGUUACAAUUUGGAUUAAGAUUUGAAUAAGCAUUUACCUAAAUUUUAUCUCCGCCUGUAAAUUCUUAUGUUUUAAAAAUUAUGAGACCUUUAUAUUGGGAGAUAUUAUAAUCGAAUCAAAAUUUUGAAUUUCAAUAUUAUUAUUCUUUUAAAAAAAUUUGAGAUAACAGAGUGAUUGAUAAUAGAGAACUUGUCUAGGCAAACACAUGCAUACACAAAAAUGUGAUGGAUUCAAAAAGAAAUUAAAGUGAUAAUGUACGUGGAUCCUUAAAACAAAAAGCGAAAUCGCUUGGUGGCCCAGUAAAAUUAAGACUGAAUAUUUUUUACACGAGAAGUCAAGCUCAUAAAUGGCAAAAGCCAUUUCAUUUCACUUUUACGCGUCAUUGACUUUUGUAACACGGUGUAUGCAUCGUCAAGUGGGGCAAAAGGGUUUCGAUUACAGUGGGAAAACAUGAACAAGAAUGCAUAAUGAAUAAUUCUUUCGAUAAAGCGAAAAUUAAACACAGAAUAAUCCUAAAAUUUAAACUCUAAUAUCUUAUAAUGUAUUGAUUAAAAAUAAUCCUAAGAGUUCCCAAUUGAAACUUUCAUAAGUAUUUUUAUUGUUUUGGAUAAACAAAUUGCACUAGGAAAACAAUUUGGCAAAUUCAGAGGAUAAUGAAAAAUAGCUAUGCUUCAAUAGGCCAAAGAUUAGAGAACAAAGAAGAAUUAGUUAUUGAUAUACGAAAGAGAAACACUCCAAAAUUUCAAGCAAAAUAUUUUCAUAUACCAUUUCGAUUUUGGAAGGGGUGUGGUUUUGAACUUCAAUAGUUUCCUCUAAAAUCAAAAGGCAGCAAUUAAGCUAGAAAGAGCAAAGAAGACUUUUUGGUACCUUAUUGAAGGUAAACAUUAUGGAACUUCCAAUGUCAUUACCUCACUGUUUAAUUUUUAUUGAGAUUUGUGCAAGCAUUUACCUAAAUCUUACCUCUGCCUGUAAAUUCAUAAGUUUUGAAAAUUAUGAGACCUUAUAUCGGGAGAUAUUAUAAUCGAACUAAAACUUAAAAUUUCUUUUCUUUUCUUUUUUUAUCAUAAAAGGGCUCUUAAGAGAGCUACGACAACACUAAGUGGGAGUGUGCAACCCCAUGAACAUCAUUAAUCAAUAUGUUUAGCGUAUUUGGAGGAAUAGAUUGAAAGCAAUGUAAACCCAAAGGAAACAAAAAGCUGUACGAAGUAAGGAAAUCUGCUGCUACAUUGGUUUCUCGGUAGAUAUGAUCCACUUUGAUCAGCCAAUCACGCCAAAGGAGUUCUUCGAUGGCCUGAAUGAGAAUAAAAUGCUCAUUGACGGGAGGGUUUUAGUUAGAGAUUAACUUCAUAACACACAUGCUGUCUACUUCCACGUAAAACUUAAAAUUUCAAUAUUAUUAUUCUUUAAAAAAAAAAUUGAGAUAUCAGAGUAAUAUCACAUAGAAAAACUUGCCCACGGACGGUAAGCCAAAUGUCUAGUCAACCACAUGCAUAAAGCUAAGUAGAACAAGAGAACAGAGAAACGCGUGGGUCCCUAAAGAAAAGGCAAGCACAUAAAUGAAAAAGCCAUUACAUUUCUAUUAACACGGUGUGGCAGCAUAUGCACAAUCAAGUGAGGCAAAAGGGAUUCGCUUAUCGUGGCAGAACAUGGACGAGGACGCGUGACGAAUAAUUCCUUCGAUAAAACGAAAAACAAACGCAGAGAAAAGAAUUUCUUAUAUGACAAGAAAUCAAAGAAAUGUGAAGGAACAUGAUGAAGAAAUUGCAGACUGAUCAAUUAUCCCCAUGGACUCCUAUAAAUUCAACCAAAAUAACAAUUCGAAUCUUACCAAAUUCUUGAGUUAAAUUUAUUCAAUGCUUUUAUUUUUUUAGAGAAAUUUUUUCCAUUGCUACUUUCCCUUUUUUGGGGAAAUUAGAACCGCGGCAUGUAUAGAAAACAUUGAGGUGUAAAGCAACAUUAAUUUCAUGGGAUAUGCGUUAUACGCAUAAUAUAUUUUCAGUCCAAAUUCAACUAUACAAAGAGGCUUGAGAACUUAAAAUUAAGCACAAACUAAACAGACGAAGUAAAUACAUGAUUAUGCAACAUAACAUUAAUUCUCUUAAUUUAUAACUGUUUUUGCCACAUGAAUCUUGCACAGUUAAUCCUAAUUGAAGACUAAAAAAGAGCAAUUGGAAGAAGGUUUUGGAAUAGAAUGGUAUACAAUCGAUAUGAUCCUUUUCCAGUAGUCAACGCUAAUUAACUGCAGUUUCUAGACUCCUAAUUAUACUAGCCAUAGAAAACUGGUGAUCAAAUUAGAUUUUGAAAGGAAAUAAUGUUCAUUUUCCCUUCGCUGCCUUUUUUUUUCUUUUCUUUUUAUAGCAAAGAAUUAUAUCAUGAAAAGAAUCAAUUUAAUCACCUUUUCCAGCAGCACAAUUUUUCUUUUAUAAAAUUUGACCACAGAGACAAAGAAGAAUUAUUCAUACCUUCAUCAGUGAGGAAAUACUUUUCGGUAUGGCUAGGGUGAGAAAAGGCUUUCCACAAACACUUGUACUUUGUAUUCCUGUAAAUUUUCUUUAAAGUCAAUAAAAACCAUAAGUUCUUUACAAUAACCACCUCUUUGAUAAAAAAGUGCCGUAUUCCUUUAGAAUUUAAAACCGGCAAAAUCGGAAUCAGUGUCUUUGAAGAGACAUAAUGGUCGUAAUUCUUUAAAUGAGUUGGCUAUGGAAAUCCUUAUCCAAGAUUCUUUUACGCCAUAUUCUUUCGUAAACCAAAAUUCAUUUUGGAAUACUCUGUUGAGAAUGUCAAAUAAAACGGCAUUGAAGGAAGUUUUCAAAGGUAGAAUCCGCACUUGUCAAAGGGAUGAUCUGCACUUGUCAAAGACACGAUCCGCGUCAAACGAAUCGACACAUUUCCUUUCGUAUUCGCAUAUGUAAUCUUUGAAAAAAUGUAGCUUCUGCAUCUAUAAAUAACGCUCAGUGUAUAAUGUUUUAUUCAAGAAAAAAAACAAGUUUCUUCAUACUCGUCGUCCGAACAUACAGAGACCGUCUCUCAUAACUUCAGCCGAAUACUUGUGAUGAUGAUCAUUUGUGAUUUCAUCAGGCAAAGGGUUGAUGGUGAAAAUUUUUGUAUGUGUGAAGAAUUGAGCUGUGGAUAUAGGGGACUUAAGUGUAAUCGAAAGAGAGUUAUUAGGUCAUAGUGCAGAUUGCAUUCAGUUUAUGGGUCGCUAUGCAGAUAAUUUGUUGACGUGGCGAAAUCUGUUAUGGUCGUUAGUAUUGUUUCUGGAAAUUUUCUAGAAACCUCAGCAUAAAAGGGGCUUUUGCAUAGCCUCUGGUGUGCGUGUGAUUUCUCUUUCGUUUCCUCAUCAAAUUCUGUAAUUCUUGCUUUGAUAAAAAGCUUGUAAUCUCUUCUGUAAUGUGUGAUCAGUGCGUAAUCAUUUUGAGCAAUAAACGCUUGUGGGUUUUUCCUUCAAACAGUGUCGUUUUGGUCAGUUUGUUAGUUUGAUCUGUUGGUGGAAUUUUCUUUGGUUAUUUGUUCUCAAAAUUCAACCGUAUAUAAAGUUUGAACUCUAAUGGCUUAUAAUGUAUUGAUUAAGAAUAAUCCUAAGAGUUCCCGAUUGAAAUUUUUAAUGACUAUUUUUAUUGUUUUGGAUAUACAAAUUGCAUUAAGAAAAAAUAUUGUCAAAUUCAGAGGAUAACGGGAAAUAAUUAUGCUUCAAAAGGCCAGAGAUUUGAGAACAAAGAAGCAUUCAUUACUGAUAUACAAAAGAGAAACACUCCAAAAUUGCAAGCAAACUAGUUUCAUAUACUGUUUGGAUUCUGGAAGGGGUGAAGUUUUGAACUUCAGUUGUUCCUCUAAAAUCAAAAGCAGCAAUUAAGCGUUCUCAAUUAGAAAUAGCAAAGAAGACUUAUUCGUACCUUACUGAAGCUAACAUUAUGGCACGGUUGUUCAUAUGUAAUGGCUGCUCUGUUAUGCUAUAUGCUCUGUUAUGCUAGCUUCUCUGUUUUUGCUUACAGUUUUGAACAUAAAUUCUUGCUCAAAUAACCCAUAAUUAAAUAACACUAAUAUGGCUCCUGAAAUCCCAUAAUAGCUAAUUACGCAACUUUCUCCUCCUCCUCAAUUAUGUCUUCCCCUGCUCGGACACUAACUUCAAAAUUCAAUGCCCCGAAAAACAACACAAGAAAUCUUUGAGUUAAAUCGUGACCAGUUUAUAUAUCGUAGCAAUUGAAAAAGAAAAAGAAGAAAAGAGUUAAUUAUUAUUCAGACCUUCACUUAUUAGGAAGUUUGUUCUGCUAUUGGGUGAGAUCAAGCUCUCAGCAUAUACUUCCACAUGAUACUUUCUAACAUUUUCUUGAAAGCCAUCAAUCAUAAAAUCUUCAUACUUUUUUCCAUCCUUUGGAUCAAUAAGUACAAAUUUCUCAUCUAAAACAGACAAAAUAAAAUCACUGUCCUUCAUGGAACAUAAUGGCUGCAAUGCCUGAACUGAAUUGGCUAAUGAAACAUAGUCUUCUUUUCUUUCUCGACAUGGAACAUAGUCUUCUUUUCUUUCUGGACAUAUGUCUCUGUACUUUUCUCUCUCUACUGAUCCACACUUUUUCAUACUUCUAACUAUCAUUUUGUUUUUUUUUUUGGUUAAGUUGUGAUUUAUUCAAUUAUUUUGUAUUUUUAAUGACAAUUAUUUAAUAUUUAGUUAGUUUUGAUAUUGAUUAGUGAUUGAAAGUGUAUUUUAGAAGACUUCCGGUCUCUUGGAAAAAGGAAAAAUGGAGACGAAGAAGAAGUGUUCUUGAUUUUUUUGUAGGCAUUAAAGUUAAACGGUUUGAAAUGAUAUUUUGUUUUAAUUUCACUCAUUAAUCUCAUUCAGGAUAAAAUUAUAAAUGCAAAUAAAUGGGGUUUCAUGAGUUUUUUUUAAUAGUGUUAAAAGGUCUACUCACUAAAUAAACAUGUUUUACCCAAACCAAUCCGAUUAAUAAAGUUAUUGGGUUGGGUUGAUCAGGUUAAAAAUCAAAAUUAAAAAUUAAAUAAAUAAAAAAGGCGUUAAAACUAUCUGUUACUUGAAAAUAAAAAGAAUUUCAAAUAGUUAGUUCUAAUGUCCCAUAUCCAAAACAUGCAUAUUAAAUAAAUAUUAUAAGUUAGAGAUAAAAUAUCCAAGAAAUAAUGAAUGAAUGAAAUACCAUAUUUUUGUUGAGAAUUAAGAGUGUGAUUUUAAUUUUGAUAUUGGAGUCUAAAGCAAUAGAUAGUACAAUGAAAUCAUGAAUGCCACAUUUAAAUAAUGUCUUUUAUAAAAUAAUAAAAAGAAGUUAAAAAUUAGGUUAGCCAUUUAGGCGUUUAGGGUUUAGCAGUUAAGGAUGAACAUAUUAUUAUUAUUGUUGUUGUUGUUGUUAUUAUAACAAUUAUUAUUUACAUAUUAAUUAAUCCAACCCAACCCAAUUAUUAACAAACUAGGAAAUAAAACCGCACUUCGUGCGGCUUUAAAAGAAAAUUAAUAUUAUUUUUUUAUUACUUUACAAUUGAUGAAACUAAUAAAAAAUAUGAAUUAUUUUUAAAAUGACGUAAUCUUAUAAAACUAAUGUUAUUUAUGAAAGUUAAUUAUUUUUUUGUUAACAUUAAAAAUAUAUAUUAAUGUGUAUAGUUAAGUGUACACAACUUUUUCAUCAAUAAAAAUUAUGUUCACAUUAAUCAACUCUCCAUUUUUCUUAGUAUUAACAGACUCUCACAUCUUACAAAGUCUGACCCUUAUUAUUCAACUAUCUUUAUCAUAGUUUAACUCAUGAAGAAAAUAGUACUCCAUGAAGCAUACAAUACUAAAAAUUUAAAUAAGUCAAAAAAUAAAAACACAAAAACAUUUCUAAAGAGAAUGUUGGUUAAAUAAUAAAAAAAACUCAAACAUAACAAAUCUUAAAUGCUUAAUAUUUAUAGAGCUUGAAGAAGCCAAAAGAUACUAAAUAAAAGGUUGCAUAAUUAAAUAUAGGAUUAUAACAUUAAAAUUAGGUCAUAAGGCAUUGGUGAGGGAAGAGGAAGGAACAUUCCUUCUUAUAUUAAUUAGUUGAUGUAUUUUAAACCACUAAAGUUUAUUUGUUGGCUUAAUAAAAUAAAUGAAUGUUUCAAAACUUAUAAUUAAUUUAUUAUUAAUGGUUAUAUAUUGUUGAAUUUAAAUAGAAAGAGAAAGAGACAUGUAAUCUUUUGUAAUCUAUUAAUUAUUUUAUAUUUUUAAUAUUUUGUAAUGUAAUUAUUUUUUAAUCUCAACCAAUAUGUUAGAUAAUAGAGAAUAUAAAAAGAUGAGAAAUAAUAAUGCCACAAAUCUUAACUACUUAAUAUUUAUAGAGUUUGAAGAAGUCAAAAGGUACUAAACAAAAGGUUGCAUAAUUAAAUAUGAGAUUAUAGCAUUAAAAUUAGACCCCACUGGCAUUAUUGAGAGAAGAUGAAGGAACAUUCCUUCCUAUAUUAAUUAAUUGAUAUAUUUAAGCUACUAAAAUUUAAUUGUUGGCAUAAUAAAAUAAAUAAAUGUUUCAAGAUUUAUAAUUAAUUAUUAUUAAUGGUUACAUAUUAUUGAAUUUAAAUAGAAAGAGGAAGAGACAUGUAAUCUUUUAUAAUCUAAUAAUUAUUUUUAUUUUUAAUAUUUUAUAAUGUAAUUAUUUUUUUAAUAUCAACUAAUUUAUUAGAUAAUAGAGAAUACAAGAAGAUGAGAAAUAGUGAUGUCACAUCACCUCCUCUAGUCCCAACUUUAUAUAUAUAUAUAUAUAUAUAUAUAAUAUUUUGUAAUGUAAUUAUUUUUUAAUCUCAGCCAAUAUAUUAGAUAAUAGAGAAUAAAAAAAGAUGAGAAAUAAUGAUACCACAAAUCUUAAAUAUUUAAUAUUUAUGGAGUUUGAAGAAGCCAAAAGGCACUAAACAAAAGAUUGAAUAAUUAAAUAUGAGAUUAUGACAUUAAAAUUAGACUCUAAUGGCAUUGUUGAGGGAAGAUGAAGGAACUUUCCUUCCUAUAUUAAUUAAUUAAUGUAUUUUAAGCCACUAAAAUUUAAUUGUUGGCAUAAUAAAAUAAAUGAAUGUUUCAAGACUUAUAAUUAAUUAUUAUUAAUGGUUACAUAUUGUUGAAUUUAAAUAGAAAGAGGAAAAGACAUGUAAUCAUUUAUAAUAUAAUAAUUAUUUUCUAUUUUCUAUUUUAAUAUUUUGUAAUGUAAUUAUUUUUUAAUUUCAACCAAUUUAUUAGAUAAUAGAGAAUAUGAAAUGAUGAGAAAUGGUGAUGCCACAUCACCUCUUGUAGUCUCAACUUUAUAUAUAUAUAUAUAUAUAUAUAUUAAUUCAUGUCUUUUAUACCACUAAAGUUUAAUUGCUAGCAUAAUAAAAUAAAUAAAUGUUUCAGAAGACUUAUAAUUAAUAUUAUUAAUGAUUACAUAUUGUUGAAUUUAAAUAGAAAGAGAAAAAAAUUACAAAGAAUAUCCACCAAUAUUUUAGAUAUUUUAGAUAAUAGAAAAUAUAAAAAGAUGAGGAAUGAUAUAUAUUAAUAAAGUUACUAUUUAUUAAAUGAGUUAAAUACAAUCAAAUUAAUUAUGAGAAGAUGAAAAGCCAAAUCUAAAAAAAAAAUCUCUAUUUAUUAGAUAAUAGAGAAUAUAUAAAGAAGUAAAAUGGUGAUGCCACAUCACCUACUCAAGUCCUAGCUUUAUAUAUACACUAGAAAAUAGAACCGCGUUUCACGCGGCUUUGAAAAAAAAUUUUAAUGUUAUCUUUUUUUUUUAUUUUGCACAUGAUGAAACUGAUAAAAAAUAUGAAUUGACUUUUUUUUAAGAUGAAGCAGCCUUAUUAAAAAAAAACUAUUAGCCAGCAAUACAAAUAAAGAAGUAAUGUAAGAUAAAAAAUAAAAUGAGAGAAUAUAUUAUAGAAUGAUUUUAUUCAUUCUAAUUGUGUGGUACAAAACAAAAAGAUGAGCUCUCAUUUUAUAGUUACAUAAUCACUCCAUGAAAUUAAUGAAAAAUUAUGGAUCAUAAUUCCUUGUGAGAUAGUGGGAGUUAUAGGGAAGCUAAAGGUUGCUAAUGGAAGAUAGUGGGGAGACUAAGAGAUAUAUGUUAUGAACAUCUACAUUUAUUUUAAUAAAUUCAUAACACUCCCCCUUUGAUGUUCAUUAUAAAAAAUAUGCCUCAUUAAAAUCUAUUAGCCAACAAUACAAAUAAAAAAGCCACACAAUAUAAAGAAUAAAAUGAGAGAAUAUAUUAUAGAGUGAUUUCAUUCAUUCCAAUUAUGUGUGUACAAAACAAAAAGAUGAGCUCUCCUUUUAUAGUUACAUAAUCACUCCAUGAAAUUAAUGAAAAAUUAUGGAUCAUAAUUCCUUGUGAGAUAGUAGAAGUUAUAGGAAAGCUAAAGGUUACUAAUGGGAGAUAGUGGAGAGAGUAAAAGAUAUAUGUUAUGAACAUCUACAUUUAUUUUAAUAAAUUCAUAACACUCCCCUUUGGAUGUUCAUUACAAAAAAUAUGUCUCAUUAAAACCUUUAUAUAAUUGUUAUUGUGUAAUAACAAUCAAAUUAAUUAUGAGAAGAUGAAAAGUCAAAUCUAAAAGAAAAUUUCUCUAUUUAUUAGAUAGAUAAUAGAGAAUAUACAAAGAUGAGAAAUAGUGAUGCCACAUCACUCUCUCAAGUCUCAACUUUAUAUAGAUAUAUAGAUUUGAAAUGAUUGACUCAAUUAAUCCACAAUAAUUCAUUCAACUCGUCUAAAUUAGAUUAUGUUGAAUUUGAUUUGCUACACCUACAUUGAGCAACAAACCUCAACGACAUUCUACGAGCUCUUUGAUUGUUUAUAAAAUUGAUUUAGAGUACAUAAAGUGUAUCGACAAUGAAAGUGCAAAACAAAUUAUUGUACAUAUUAAAAUGUGCAAAACAAUGAAUUAUAUGUACAAACGAGUGCAAACACAUUUUUCAAUAAGAAGUUAAAAGAUAUUUAUGCAUGAAAAAGCCUACGUUUGUAGUUAUUCUAAAUUUUAAAAACAAAAUUUACAUUUAGAUCCCUAAAAUUUACGUAUAAGUAUAAAAGUUUCAAAUAUUGUCUAUUAUUUUUUUAACAUGCCUAUUCCUUAUGGAUAAUUCUGUCUCAUCACUAAUGUUGUUUCUUGCUUAGAAAAAAUAAAUGUCAUCUCCUUUUACAAUUUUUAUAGCGUCUCGAAAUAGACAAUAGGGGAUUUUGAAUUUUUUAAGUCUCAAGAUAGUCUCUAAUCGUGUGAGAAAGAUUUUCUUUCAAUAAUUUGGAGCUAAACAUAACAUAUUUUUUAGACUAAAAUCUAACUCUGCUGGUUAGUAGUUGGUGGUAUCCUUUUCAAGACUUGAGUCUUUAGAUUCGAGUUUUAUAUAGUGUACAUGUGUAUUUAAUUAAUAAUUUUUUUCAAAAAAAAAAAUUACAUCAAAUACUAAUAUUCAUGACAUAAUUUAGUUCAUAAUUUUUUUAAAUACAUCGAAAAAUAUAAUUUUUUAACAACUUAUAGGCACGACAAAUUUCAAGAUAUAAAUAUCAGUCAAAAUAAAUGAAAGAAAUAAUGGUGUCAAUUCUAAUUUCUUAACUAAAUUAAUUAUUGCAUGAGCCCCGAAUACGACAUGAGAGUUUGAUGGGCUAACUUGGCACAAGAACGCGAAUAGUUAACUCAUUUAAGAAAUAAUUCAACAAAAAAUAUAAUUGAUAAGAAUUCAGUAUUGAAAUGAAUUUUUUACGAAACAUUGAAUUAAUGAUUAUUAAGCAAGAACAAUAAAAAAAUAAAAUAAAAAUAAAUAUUAACCAUUGAUAAGCUUCAACAAGAACUUAACACAACCCUCAAUCCUAAUUCAAAUCAUAAAUGUCAUUCAUAUAUUCAUUAUAAAUCAAUAACAAAGGUUAUAAAUGUUUAGAAAUUCUAGAGGGAAGGAAGCUAUCUCCGGGGAAUCAACAACUAAAUUUGAUGUAAUUGUGGCACACGAUGGAAUAUGGAAACUACACCAUAAUUUCAAAUGCCGCCAUAGACAUUGACUUAUCUACAAUAACAAUGAUCUAAUUAAAAUUAAAAUAAAGUUUAUGGGCAUUUAUUAUUUUGCCAUUUCUCAUUUGCAAACAGGGAUAUAAUUAUAAUUUUACUUAGUCAAAGCAAUCAGUAAUUUUCUUCAUUAUCGGAGUGAAGUAAAAACAUUUAGAUUUUAAUGAGUGUACGGAAAAUUUAUCUUUAAAAAUACUUUCUUAAUGUGUGUGUAUAUAUAUAUUGAAAUAUUAUGCUAUCAAAAGUUAAUUUUAGAAAUUCCAAAUCCAAUAGCUAACACAAUUCUUUAAAGAAAAAAAAAAAAAGGUUGAUAAUCAGCAAUUAGUAUUACUUUCUAAACUUACUUCAACUGGUCGUUAAUGAGGGGCCUUGGGCAAGAGUGAUGAAUGUUUAGUCGGUGCAUUUGAUUGAUAGAUAUAUAAAGGGCCGAAACUUGAGAUUAUAUUACUUUUACAAAUUUUAAUCCAAUCACAUAUUUACUGAAACACAAAAUGAGUUAGGAUACUUUAUUUAGAACCCACAUUUUAAUAAGGCUUCAUUUGAUGUAGUUUUUCAAACAGUGAUUAUUUGAGUAAAGUUUCCUCAAUAGAGUUUUUAUCAAAUAAAUUUUAUUUAUUUGGUUGUCGAUAAGAACUUUUAUUAAAAAUUAUAAAAUUAUUUAAAUAAACAUAUUUUUUUAAAAUUACAUUAUAAAAAGAAUUAAAUAAAGUUAUAAAAGUAAAAUAUAUUUUAGAUAUUUUAAUAUUUAAGAAAAAAAUUUUGAAUCUCUACUUUCAGAAGCUCAAAUUUUUAGUUUUUAGUUGUAGAGACAAAAUAUCUUAUUUAAUCUUUAAAAGUUCUGCUAAAAACAAUCAAAUAACUAUAAAAUUUUUAAUAAGAGUAUAUAAAAUUAAAUAAGCAUUUAUUAAUAAUCACUUUAGUGUACUUAUCUAAUGACCAUAAGUGUUUAUUUAAUCUCAUAAGUUCUUAUUUAAUCUCAUGAGCUCUUUUCAAUUUUUUUUGUUGUUUGCUUUUUUUAGUAGAGUUUUUGAAAAUUAAAUAAACUAUUUUGUCUCUAUUAGGAAAAACUCAAAUUUUAGGUUUUUGUGAGUAAAUGUUUAAAUUUUUUUAAAAAUAUUAAAAUAUUAAAGUAAAAGUUGUAGAGACAAAAUAUCUUAUUUAAUGUUUAAAAGUUCUGCUAAAAAUAAUCAAAUAACUACAAAAAUUUUAAUAAGAGCAUAUAAAAUUAAAUAAGCAUUUAUUAAUAGUCACUUUAGUAUACUUAUCUAAUGACCAUAAGUGUUUAUUUAAUCUAAUGAGCUCUUUUUAAUUUUGUUUGUUUGUUUUUUUAGUAGAGUUUUUGAAAAUUAAAUAAACUAUUUUGUCUCUAUUAGGAAAAACUUAAAAUUUAGGUUUUUGUGAGUAAAUGUUUAAAUUUUUUUUAAAAUAUUAAAAUAUCUUUUCUUUAUUUCAUAAUCUUAUUUCAUUCUUCACAACAUAACUUUAAAUAACUCACCUAUUAAAAUAAUUUCACAAUUUAUAAUAAAAAUUUUAAUUGACAAUCAAAUAACAAAUUUUUUUUUAUAAAAACUCUAAUAAUAAAAAUUCUACUUAAAUAAAUUAUAUUUGAAAAGGUAUACCAAACGAACCUAACAUAAAAACAAAAAUUUUUACAUCCACACAAUUAAGCUUAAAACAAUUUCAAAUGAAUUUUAGACUACUCAAAGUACAAUACGUACCAAGUUUGGUAACUUAUUGGGGUCCGCUUGUAAUACAGCUCAUGAGCUCUUUUUAAAAAAAUUUUGAAUCUCUACUUUCAGAAGCUCAAAUUUUUAGUUUUUAGUUAUAGAGACAAAAUAUCGUAUUUAAUGUUUAAAAGUUCUGCUAAAAACAAUCAAAUAAUUACAAAAAUUUUAACAAGAGCAUAUAAAAUUAAAUAAGCAUUUAUUAAUAAUCACUUUAGUGUACUUUAUCUAAUGACCAUAAGUGUUUAUUUAAUCUCAUGAGCUCUUUUUAAUUUUUUUGUUGUUUUUUUAGUAGAGUUUUUAAAAAUUAAAUAAAUUAUUUUGUCUCUACUAGGAAAAACUUAAAAUUUAGGUUUUUGUGAGUAAAUGUUUAAAUUUUUUUACAAAUAUUAAAAUAUUUUUUUCUUUAUUUCAUAAUCUUAUUUCAUUCUUCACAACAUAACUUUAAAUAACUCACCUAUUAAAAUAAUUUCACAAUUUAUAAUAAAAAUUCUAAUUGACAAUCAAAUAACAAUUUUUUUUUAAUAAAAAUUCUACUUAAAUAAAUUAUAUUUGAAAAAGUAUACUAAACAAACUUUUUUUAGACUAAUCAAAGUACAUCUUCUCAUAAAAUAAUUUCACAAUUUCUAAAAAAAACUCUAAUUGACAAUUAAGUAACAACUUUUUUUUUUUUGUAAAAACUUUAUUUAUAAAAAAUCUAAUAAUAAAAAUUCUAUUUAAAUAAAUUAUAUUUGAAAAUGUAUACUAAACCAACCUAACAUAAAAACAAAAAUUUUUACAUCCAGACAAUUAAGCUUAAAACAAUUUCAAAUGAAUUUUAGACUAAUCAAAGUACAAUACGUACCAAGUUUGGUAACUUAAUUGACAUCUUCUCAUAUAACCUUCGAUCAAGUCGAUUCUGACCUGACGACUAAUUGGUACAUCACCGUUGUUCUCUAUACUCGCAUGCAUCCGAUCACAAAUCUCACUCCAAUUGUCGUCUUUCUUCGGCGUUUUAGCGCAUCCUUCUUGAAUUUCCCGCAUUUCGUUCCCUCCUGUUACAAGUCUCCGGUCAGGUCAGUUCACUUGACGAUUAAUUCGGCAAAUCUCGAAUCUCUUCUCUAUCCCUCUCGUUUUCUCGUGUCUCCUUUCAGUUUAAGUGAUUGAAUCAAUUUUAUCGCAGUCUUAAGAGAAAUUAAGUAAUGCUCUUGGAUUUAAAAUUUUUUUGCUUUCGACUUUAGAUCUCGAAAGUCAAACUCUGCUACGAAUCCAUAGAUUCUCAAUGUUUAUAAUCUUAUUUGUGUUUGACCAGGUAACUGGAUCGUGAAAUUCGUCGUUUUGUAUCAAUUCAGGCUUUCGCGAGCUCAUGGAAUCACCUGGUGAGUUGUGGUGAAACGUUAUCGUUUCAAUUUUCGCUUAAUUCUUUAUUGCAUAUUUUUUCUCUAACAUUUCAGUUUAAUUUAGAAAAGAAAGAGGACCCAAAAAGAGAGAGAGAGAGAGAGACUCUACCAUACUCAAUUCCUUGCUCAUUCUGAUUUGGCCUGAAUGUUGGCAUUGACUAUUAUUUGUUUUCAUUUCGAUUUAAUUCUCAUUUAGACAGUCUUUACUAACGGUCAAUAAUAGUUUAAGGAAAAUGAUAAUAGGGAUUCUGCAAUAAUCUUUCUGCAUUGUUCAAGUUAGUAGACGAUGAAUAGGAUGUUUAUGUUUACCUCAUUUUGAACCCUGAGGGCUUCGUUGAGUAGUUGAUUCAACAUAUCCAGCAACGGUUGAUGUGAGAACAGGAUGCCACUUAGAUAGGCUUAAACUGAUUUUGGAGGUUUGUAUUGGUUCUAUUGUACGUCUUGCUUACAAAUUUUUUAUUUUUUAUUUUUAAUUUUGUAUAAUAUGCUCUUUGUUGGUAAAUCUCAUUUGACUUAGAAGAGAUAGUUUUAUCCCAACAGUGGGAUAAAUCAUUGAGAUGCAUGGCAGUGUGAAUAUAGUAGACAAAAUCAUUGAGACACAUGGUGGUGUGAACAUAGUAAACUUCAUGGAAGCAAUGAAGCUUGAAAUUGAACGUCUGCAGCUGAAUCUUUCUGCAGCUGAAAGGGAUAGAGCUUUAUUGUCAAUCGGAACUGAUCGUGCCUCUAUAAAUCCAAAUGUAUUGCUUGAUGAAUCUUACAUGGGAAGACUGUGUCGAGUAGCAACCACUCUUGCAUUACUUGGCCAAACUUCCCUAGAAGACAAAAUUGUUGGUGCAAUUGGCCUUGAGAAUAGUGAUGAUAGUGUUUUAGACUUCUGGAAUAUUACUAGAAUCGGAGAGAGUUGUUCUGGUGGCUGGUGGCGGGUGCAAGGUUCGUGCAGAAACUAAGGUGCCUGCUCUUGCUUCCUCAACUGCAACAUCUGUUGGAGCUUCACAAUCCCCUUUGUUGUGUUCUCAAUGUGAAAGAAAAGUUUGCAAAGUUUGUUGUGCAGGAAGAGGAGCUCUACUGUUUUCAAAUUAUAAAUCAAGGGAUGUGACCAACUACAAUGGCUUCUCAAGUCAGAGUGGAUCAAGCCAUGGAAGCCAAGUUGAUGUACCUACCAGUCGUUCACUAACACUGGAUGGCGUUGUCUGUAAACACUGCUGCCAUGAGAUUGUGCUUGAUGCAUUGAUGUUGGACCAUGUUAGGGUCUUGAUUAGCUUGCGAAGAAGUUCCCGUGCAGACAACACAGCAUACAAUGCUUUGAAUGAGGUUGUUGGAUCCUGCUUAAAGGAUAGUCUUUCUGAAAGGAUUCAGUCUUCCGAUAACGUGCAAGCUGCUGAAGUCCUUCACCAAUUAUGUGGUGGACAGGAAUCAGUUGCUGAAUUUCCAUUUGCUAGCUUUUUGCACUAGGUAUGUUCUUGGUUUGUAUUCAGUUCUCAUCAUGUUAUGUUUUCCUUUUAAAUUUCUUUUCUUGAUUAAAAUUUUUAGAAAUAUGUUUUAGUAUUUGUUCUUAUGAUAUAUGCCCAGAACAUUCAUCCCACUUAUCCAUGAGAAUCCUUGUCUGGUUUGAUUUUCAAUUGAGACAUUUUUGGGAACCCUGAGCAGGUUCCAUAUGCUAAUAAUCUUUGAGGUAAGGUGUUGUAGGAUGCCUUGAGAAGCUAAAAACCAAUUACAAGGAAAAGCUCUUGCAUUGUUUUGUGCAAUCUGUGUGCUAGCAAGUCAUGUCUCUAAUAAUUUCAUAGUUCGCUUGAUUGGAAUUUUUUAUCUUGAUAUGGAUUGUUUAUUCUAGAUUCCUUGGUGCCACUGUAGGUUGAAACAGCAAAAGAUUCAGCACCGAUUUUGUCACUGCUUGCUCCAUUAAAUUCUGGAUCAAGGCACUCAUAUUGGAGAGCUCCACCUAGUACUACUUCUGUUGAAUUUGUUAUUGUUCUCGGUUCUGUUUCUGAUGUCAGUGGGGUUAUCUUGCUUGUUAGUCCUUGCGGCUAUCUGUGGCUGACACUCCGAUGGUAAGUGCCAUAUUUAUUCCCUUAUUUCCUUGUUGUUCAAUAAAUUUGGUGAUAAGCCAAGUGGCCUUAAUAAUGAAGCCCAGUACCAGGGGUGGUGGGUAAUCGAUAUUCAACUUGUGAAUAUUCCUAAGCAAGCACGGAAUCAACAUAGACGUCGGCAAAAAUUCUCCAUGCUAUUAUAACGAAAGUCAUAUUUUGAAAUGAUUAAAAGAGUCCCUUUGUAGUGCCAUUGCCAAAGAAAUUGCAGCUGGGGGUUUAGUUUCAUGUAGGUUAGUUUCCGAUAAUAAACUUUCCAUUUCAUUAAUUGCUGAUGAAAAAACCAAGUAAGAACAGUUUCGUUGCUCGUCAUUUAUGUAUAUUUUGGUAAACUGUAAUUUUAAAUUCUCAACGAUCUUCCCUUGGUAGGUAAGAAGAUGGUCCACUCACUUUAUAUUUAUGAUUGUAGAUCAGGUUUCUAUUGGUUUGCCUUUAUCAUUGGGAACCCAAGUUUGAUAUUAACAGAGAUCACGUCAAUAAUAUCCUAUUUGGGUAGAUGUGGGUGAGGAUUUAAAAUCAAAUUUGAAAUUGGGGGAAAGAAGAGAAAAGGAACCACAAUAAUUAAACAAAAUAUUAGGAACUAUUCUGAUGAGUUUUAAUCUCGAGAGGAACAAUUUUCAAAUGCAAAUUUAACUGCUAGAGAAAUUGUAGCUUUUUGUCAUUAGUUAAGAGGAAAGAGAAUAAGAACUAUCCAGCCCUUUCCUUCAUGAAUGUGUGUUGAGGUUGCUGUAUUAUUUAGUCAGUAUUUGUAAUUUUCUUCCCUGCAGUGCUCUCUGCCUCCUGAAUUUGCUACUGAGUCCAUAUUUUUCUUUGAGCUGUUGCUUCCUAUUGCUGUUACAAGUACAAAUCUGGGCAAGCAAUAAGAUACACCGGGAGGAAAGGUCAUCAAUGGGAAAAUGGGAUGUCCAAUCCCUCAUCACAUCUUCUUCAGACUUGUAUGGUCCAGAAAAGACAGCUAGUGUUGAAAAAUUACCUAGGCAUGUAAAAUUUACUUUUAAGAAUCCUGUUAGGUGCCGCAUUGUUUGGAUCACAUUACGUCUUCAGAGACCUGGUUCGGCUUCAGUUAAUUUCGGGAAGGACUUCAGUCUUUUGUCUCUUGAUGAAGAUGAAAACCCCUUUGCGCAAGUAGACAGACGUGCUUCAUUUGGAGGAGCAGUUGAAAAUGAACCAUGUAUUCAUGCCAAAAGAAUUCUUGUAGUCGGAAGCCCAGUAAAAAGGGAGGGGCUUACCUCAUCACAGAGCUCUGAGCAGCUAAGUAUUAGAAACUGGUUGGAUAGAGCUCCACAAAUGAGUAGAUUCAAGGUAUUAGUUGCUUUCACUCUUUGUUCAUUCAUAAUUCCAGCUUUCUGCUUGAUGCCCUGCCUCUGAUAAACCUCUUUUUUUCUCUUCAGGUCCCAAUUGAGGCCAAGAGAUUGAUGGACUACGAUCUCGUCUUGGAACAAUAUCUACCUCCAGCGUCACCUUUGCUUGCCGGAUUCCAUCUAGACGCUUUCAGUGCAAUAAAACCUAGGGUUACCCAUUCACCUUCCUCAGAUUCAGAUAUCUGGGACAAAUCAGUAACAUUUUUAGAAGACAGGUACAUCUCUCAAGCUGUGUUGUAUUUACAAGUAUCCGCACUCCAGGAACCACAUAACAUGGUAACUAUUGCGGAAUAUCGACUGCCGGAGGCUAGAGCCGGAACGCCAAUGUACUUUGAUUUCCCAUGACCGAUACAGUCCCGACGAGUUUCAUUCAAGCUUCUUGGAGAUGUUACAGCAUUUGCAGAUGAACCUUCAGAACAAGAUGAUUCAGGAUUGAGAGCUCCACUUGUGGCCACAGGUUUGUCUUUGUCAAACAGAAUCAAGUUAUAUUAUUAUUGUGAUCCUUAUGAGCUCGGAAAAUGGGCAAGCCUUUCUGGAGUUUGAUCGUUAUUUAUAUGUCAGAGAAAGGGUUUUGGGUUUGAUUUUGAUUUUGAUUUGUAAUUUUUGUCAGUUUAUUGAAAUUUUUUGUUGUAUAAAAGCAGAAUGUAAAGGUAUAAAAAUUCAUUGAUGCUGCAAUGUCUGUGCUUUUGAGAAAGAAGAAUUAAUUGUCUUUUCUAUGCCAUUGGAGUUUCCCACUGCUUGUAUACUUGGGCUGUCGAAUGCUCUGUGAACCUUAAGGGCUAUAAAGUAAUUUUCAAGACUGAAGGAUUUAUUAAUCGAGUUCAAAAGAUUGUAAGUUGGUGACUGGUGAGCGUUGGCAUUUAAAAAUCAAUUGUUAUUCUCUCAAUAAUCUCUCUCUUCUCCUCGUGAAGUGUUUUCUUUUUCGAGUGAAGGUGGUUUUCCACUUGCAUACGUCGGGGGUCUUAUGAUAUGUAAUGUGUGAAAUUUCUUUCUCAUUUUACCAUAAAGAAAAAUGUUGUAAUAAUCUAAAGCUCGAGUCUUAAAUUAUCUUAAAUUUAUAUUUAGAGUGGAGCUAUUCGCAACCCUAUAUUAAAAUUACAAUUAAAAACAAUUGAAAAUUAAACACUUAUAGAUUCUUUUUACAGCAAAUUACUUAAUUCAUAAUCAAUCCUUUAAAAAAAAAAUACAUAUGUUAUUUCUUAUCUAACUAAAAUAAAUUGUACAAAUUUAGAAUAAUCUAUUGUUCUCUUUUGAUUUCUUAUUAUUUAAAUAUUUUUAUACAUAAAGUUACUUUGAAAUUAUAAUUUGAAAUAUGUGUUAUUUCAGCCAAUGAUUAACACUAAAAAAUUUAUCACCCAUAUAACUUUUUAAUUUGUGUGUAGGGUAAUAAUAAAAUCGAAAAUAAUUAAAAAAAUAGUACAAUAAUGAUUUUUAACAAUAAAACAAAUCAAAUGAAAAUUGAAAAUUUAGAAAAGUGUAUCUAAAAAAAGGAACGUUUUCAAAAAUAAAAUGAAUAUAACUAAAAAGAGAUUUUAUGAGGAGAUCACUGGGGUGCCAAUAGUCCAACUUGUAAUUAAGAAUCUCCCAUUAUAUUGUCAACCAAAAAGACACUUGAAUAAGAAGAAGAAUUUAUCAGUUUGAUUUUAUUUGUAGAUCCAACAUUUCUCAUAUCCUGAACGCCUUUUCGUAUCAAAUUAAAACAGUAGUAGCAAAAUCGUAGUAUUAAAAUCGUAGUGCACAUUCAAUUAACCAACUAAUAGUCUUUGGUAUAAGAUUUUAUAUUAGGUAGCCAAGUAGGUUGUCCAUCCCACUCAGACAUGCACGAAAGCUAAAUUCAUCAAAUGAAUUACUUAAGAAGUAUUUGAUAAUUUUGAAAUUAUCAAAAGGUGUUAUACUAUUAAAUAUUUUUAUACUUAAAAUUGUUUUGAAAUUAUAAGUUCAAAUUAAAAUAAUAGUAGCAAAAUCGUAGUGCACAUUCAAUUAACCAACUAAUAGUCUAAGAAGCAAAGAGAGGAUUACAAGUUCACAACACCAUUACAAAGGAUUCAAAAUUCCCACACGAAUACAUCAAUGUACAGAUUAUAAACAAUCCGAAUUGGACACAAGAAAAACCCUUCAAUAGAUUGCUUGCCUUCCCAAUGCUAUAUACUGUGCAAACUGCGCAUUGGCCAAGAAAAUGUUUUCAAUUUAGUGUAUUUUCAAAAUGCUUAUUUUCUCAUAGUAUAAAAAAUAAAAAAAAUAAGAAAGAAUUCUCACAUGUUUCAUCAGCAUGAUUAAAAUCAAAGAAGAAAGCGAGACAUAAUGUCUCUGACAUAAUAAAAUUACAAAAAUUUCAAGGAAAAAAAAAGGUUAAAACAUGUAAUCUUCAGAAGCAUAUAAUAAAAGAACACUUCCACAAAUUACUACAAUUUCAUGCAGUAGAGAUUGAAGAGUUGAAUUCCACUAAUUUUAAUAAUGAAAACAACAACAGAGGAUUAACUGAUGCUUUGACUUAUUAGUUCUGCAGAGCAUCUCCAAAAGCCUAUAUAAAUUUUACUCUUCAAAUACUUAUUUGCUUACCUAUGUGGCAAAUAAAAGGGUGAAAAAAUAUGAUAUUCUCCAAAAGACUCUUCAAAUAGAAAAAAGUUAAUAUUAUUUUAAUCAUAUAAUUAAUUUUUUAAAGAAAAAGUCAAUAGCAAUUAAAGCACUUCUCUCUCUUUCUUCAAUGAAAAGUAAUAAAAUAUAAAUUGAAGAGGGAGAAAUUAACUCUCCAAAUUUGAAGAGAGAGAAUUAAUUCUUAUUUAAAGAAUCUUAAUUGAAGUGUCUUUUGGAGCUUUAAAUAUUGAUGUGGCUCUUCAAAUAAGUAAUAAAAUCUUAUUUGAAGAGCCUUUAAAUAAGGUGCUUUCAAAAGCAAAAUGGAAUACAUAGAUAAAAACAUCAUCUUAAACAAAUCACAAUCUAGAAUUAGAGCAUUUUCGACAUACCUAAGGAAAACGAAUACGUGAAAACGGGUGAUUCAUUUGUUAAGGAGUGUUGAUUUGGUCGUCUCUGCAAAUUCUUUAGGGACUCGGUUCCAAUUCCUCAUCAUCAAAACUGUAAUAUAAUUCCCCUUCAUCAGAACUCGAAUCGAUGCAAUAUAAUUCCCCUUCAUCAGAACUCGAAUCAAAUUCACUUGCAGCAGUUCCACUCGCGCUUGGCAAAUCAUCCAAUUUCCAAACUUCGGUAGCAAAAUUGAGAGUAAAAGUGUUGGCUUUGAUCUCGCUGGGAUUUGCAUAUACUGGACAUACUCCGCAACGUUUUAUCUUCUGACCCUUUUGGACCUUUAUUAUGUUUCGGUAACGCUCAUUGAAGAACUUAAGUGAGACAGUUGUAUGAUGGUAACCAUCAGGAAAGCCAACAUUCAAGCAAGGUUUAAAACCAAGUAUGACAUGAUCUGAAUCAUGGGGGUCUUUAAUAGAGUCCCAAUAGAAACUCAGAUCAACAUGUUUGGUUUCAGAGAGAGUCUUUAUUUCUAAGUCGGAUCGACAGUAAACGUAAAAAUAACGAGAACGAUCAGAAUAAAGUUGCUUAAAAUCAAGAACAGCACAAAAAGCAAACCCGAUUAAGUUUCUGCAAAAAGAGUGCGGUGGCAGUUGAAUACGUAUCGAAGAUCCUGAACUUUGAUUGCUGAACCAGUCAGGAAUUUCGCUCCCAGGUAAAACAAUUUGGGAUUCCCUGAGUUCAGAAAGUUUCUGUGAAACGACAUUUAAAAAAAGAAAAUUGUAAAAUGAAAACCAUGAUUUCAGAUAUAACAAAGAGGGACAGAGUAAACAAGAGAGGGAAUUUGAUACCUCGUUGUAUGCAUUUUCAUAGCCCAGUCUCAGUGAUGCUGCAAUUGCCAUACGUAGUGAAUCUGCCAAAAUCUUGUUGUUUGCUUUUCCAUCAAGUUUCAAGCAGUUAGUAAACCCAAAAUAAAUUGGUUGUGGCGUCACAUAUUCCGGAUGCCAUUGACGAAGGUCAGGAGAGGGUUUGGAUAGCUUUUCGAGUACGGAUGCAUCUAGUUCUUGUACACAUGACGGAAUCUCUGGCAAAGAUUGAAGCCGGUUGCAGUUCAUUGCAAUUAGUGACUGUAGACACAAUGGAAGUUCAGGUAAUGACCGAAGCAUGUUACAAUCCUCCAAGUGAAGAGUUUCUAAACCCAAUGGAAGUGCUGGUAAUGACUGAAGCAUGUUACAACGCCACAAGUGAAGAGUUUCUAGACCCAAUGGAAGUUCUGGUAAUGACUGAAGUAUCUUACAAUCCCUCAAUUCAAGAAAUUUUAGGCCCAAUGGAAGUUCUGGUAAUGACUGAAGCAUAUUACAAUCCUCCAAGUAAAGAUAACUUAGCCACGACAGUUGCUUGAUACUUGCAGGUAAACUCUCAAAGUUAUUUCCAUUUAAAUUGCCAAUGUUAUCCGGCAACUUAUCAAGUACAGAGCAACCACUUACGGACAAAAGUACAAGCCCCGUUUGCAAUGCCUCAAAUCCAACUUUUCAAGAUCAGUUAGGCACUCUACUGAUGAUGGAACUUCUUCUAUUGCAGUCUGGCCCAAGUUUAGCGAUGUUACUUUCCCAGAAAUCUGUGGAAACUCUAUGAGAUUAACACAAUAGGAGAAAUCAAUAGUUACUGGACAAACAAAAUGAAGAUUGCUAGGAAAAGACCUAAGACUUUUGCAGCCCAUAAAAUCCAACCUACUGAGAUACUUGAAAUUCUGGAUAUAUGAGGGAACACAAGCCAAGUUUGUAUAAUCCAAAAGAUAUGUUUCAACAUUUGGGGUUUCUAAUGGGCCUGGCAUCUUAAUGAAAUGUCGAGAAUGGCUGAGGUUAAUAGAUUUUAACUUGAAAGCUUCCUGCAAUAACAGAUAUAUAAAGACUAUAUUAAUUAAAAAGCAACAUUGAAUUCAACAAUUAAUUGCACGUAUAUUUAAAGAAAGAAAAAAUUAAUGUUUUAGUUUUAGUACAGAACUUACCUUUUCUCCUUCCCAAAGUUGCUCAACUUUACUAAAACGCAAAUUCAGUUCAACAAGGUUCUUUGGCUUGAAAUUUGAUGGCAGUGUCCUUAAGGGAUAUGUGUCCCAAUGAAGAUAUCUCAAUUUUUUAGGAAGAUAAUCUAGGCCAUUUGGAAGCUGCACUUUAGAGUAUGAAAGUUGCUCUUCAAUGCUCAUACUUAGAAACUUUUCAAUCUCAGGUACAUAAAAUUUGAGCAAUCUUAGAUUAGACAUUUUUGUGAAGGCUCCAGGGUCUAAAUUGAUGCCUUUUAUUUUGGACAAAUCCAGAAAUAUGCCUUCAAUUGCAUCGGUCCCCUUAUUAAAAAAAAAAACAAAGAAUGAGUAACCCUAAAACAGAAAAGAAACAUUCGCAAACUUUAUUAACUAAGAACUCCUUAAACAAAAACAAAUUCUGCAAUCUUUGAUUUUAUUUUUUAAAAAUAUUAAAUAUCUAUAUAUGAGAAAAGAAAAUUUUGGGGACCAUUGCAAAAUUAAACUAACCAAAAAAAAAAUUCAAAAUUUCUCUAAUUUACAAACCUGUUAUCUUAAUAUCUAGAAGUUGAGAAGACAAGGCGUAUUUGAUUGGUAUAAGAUUUCGAUUUUUUUUUUAGUCCAUAGAAUCCAAAAUGUUUGUUCAAAAUCAGGGAAAAAAACGAAAGUUAUUUUUUUUUCCACUAGCUGUAAUUGUAUCCAAGUCAAAUUGAGAUACGACCCUUUUCGAAAGGAUUUAAUCAUCUUAUAGCCUCCUUAAGAUACAUUUAAGCUAAAAGGAGUGAUUGGAGGCAGAACUUAGUGGGCCAAUCAGUUCAUUUUAUUAGCGACUGUUGCUUAAAAAAAAUUAUACUCUAAAACACACUUACUUUUUUGAAAAAAAAUAUAAUUAUAUUUAAGUAGAACCAGGUGGGCCAAUCCUCAUGGCACUCACUUUGUUCUGACACUCUUCACUAAAUUUGAAGAAAAAUAAAAUUAUACUCUUCACACUCUUAUUCAACAUUCCAAAAUUGAUAAAAUCUGGAGUUUUCUUUAAAAUUUUAAAAUUUGAAGACUUGUUCUCUUGACACCCUCAGUCAUUAAUUUUACCUAAUUAUGGUUUUGGUUGUUUUGUUCAUAAAAAUGCUUUUACUAAAGGAUGUUCUGGUAAUGAAAAAAUUUAUAAAAAAACAAACAUGGGUGUGCUGAUAUAGUUGGAAAAAUAUGAGUGCAUAACUCCAAACAAAUAAAAGAUACAUAAAAAAAAAAAAGGAGGAUUCUUACCAUAUUAUGCUUUAGUACGCGGCGGAUUUCCUUAGGAUCCCACAACCUACUGCGUCUGCCUGGCUCUUCCUCAGAUUCUUGGCGAACAAUCUCUCGGCCCAUUUCUUGCAAUAAAUCAUGCAUUUGCAAGCAGUUAUCUGACACUGUUAUAAGUGACUUGUCCACGAGGACAUCCAGUCUGUGAGACCCAGAAUCAUCAAGUAUCCUUAACACAAAAUCUUUAUCCUCUCCCUCAAGGAAACACGCAAUAUCUAGAAACAUACUCUUCACCCUGGGCGUUAAUUCUUUAAAACUAAUCUUUAAUGUAUCAUAAAUACCAUGAAUAUCAGAUUCACAAAUCCGAUUUAAGUCGUCCAAUACAUUUUCCCAAUGGCUUUUCCCCUUGAGAUACAGGGAGGAACCCAACACUUUAAGAACUAAUGGAUUGCCAUCGGCAUACCAUACAACCCUCCAUGAGUGCCGGUAGAGAUCUUCAGGACAAUGAUUUUCUUUAACAGCGAAGUUACAAAAAUGCUCGAAAGCCUCAUCAAAUUUCAAUCCAUUGACCCUAUAUAUUUUCUCCACUCCAAAUUUUUCGAGGACUCGUUUAUCCCUGGUGGUUACAACAAUUCUACUUCCUGGACCAUAUUGAUCAAGCCCUCCAAUCAAACCCUCUAAUUGUUCAUCUUUAUUCACAUCAUCGAGUACAAUCAACACCUUCAUGCGUCGGACCCUCCCUUUAGUAAAUUGUGGAAUAUUGGGACCAGCUACUUCAAGUUUUUCACUUAAUAUUGUCGAAAGCAUUUCCUUUUGUAGGUCUUCUAGGCCACCCUCUGUUUCUGAUUUUCUCCUAACAUUUUUUGCAAAGUAUUUACCAUCAAACUCACCAGAGAAUUGAUCGAAAAUAGCUUCAGCAAGGGUAGUUUUGCCUAUACCACCCGUGCCCCAAAUUCCAACAAUAUGGACAGUAUCCCACAAAUCCAUACACAGAAAUGGUUUAAUCUGCUCAAUUCGUGAAUUUAAUCCAACUAGGCCAUUGGAUGAGUCCGUUGAGACUGUUAUUUUUUCCAACUUCUUCAAAACAUCAUCGACAAUUUUGUUUACAAGUUCCGCAUCGUGCCUAAUAUAAAGGUGCAAAGAUGCAAAAACAUUGAGUCAAAUCGGGCCAAGACAGAAACAGAGAAAAGAUGAAUUAGGAAAGAGAGUUACCUGAAUUUCGUGGAUUCAUGGCCGGCUAGAUGGGAUGUUUCUGUCAGUGCAUCCCUCCACUUCUGAACCAUUUCUGGUUUAUCUUCGAACUGUUUUUUGAGCUCAUCAAAACGGUCUCCAAAUGUUCCGUUUUGAUGCCGCACAUCAGAUGGACUUACUCCAUAGAAGACUGGAAUAAUAAUUUGGCCGUUUGUGUUCUUGCAUUCAAGAAUCUUGACAAGUUCAUUCAGGCACCAUUUUGAAGAAGCGUAGUCCUUUGAGAAAAUGACCACCGAAAUUUUUGAACCUUGGAUUGCGUUCAAAAGGGCGGGUGAAAUCUCAUCUCCUCGCCUAAGCUCUUCAUCAUCAAUAAAUGUUUUGAUUUUUUUUCCUUCAUACAAUUUAUCAUAAAGAUAGCAAGUAAAGCUCUUACGAGUGUCCUCCCCUCUAAAGUUGAGGAAGACUUCAUAAUUGCAAGAAGAAGAAGAGGAAGCCAUGAAGGAAAUUCUAGAAAUUUGAAAGUAGAUUUAGGGAAUUAUAAAAAGCUGAAGGAAAUUGGAAUUUUGUACAGUUUCUCCAGCGAGGAACUUUCACCUCCGCACUAGAUUCUUAAGUUUUGAAAAUUAUGAGACCUUUAUAUUGGAAGAUAUUAUAAUCGAAUCAAAACUUAAAAUUUUAAUAUUGUUAAUCUUUAAUCUUUAAAAAAAAAUUACCUCGCCGUUACAGUUUGGAUUAAGAUUUGAGCAAGCAUUUACCUAAAUUUUAUCUCCGCCUGUAAAUUCUUAUGUUUUAAAAAUUAUGAGACCUUUAUAUUGGGAGAUAUUAUAAUCGAAUCAAAAUUUUGAAUUUCAAUAUUAUUAUUCUUUUAAAAAAAAAAUUGAGAUAACAGAGUGAUUGAUAAUAUAGGAGAACUUGUCUAGGCAAGCACAUGCAUACACAGAAAUGUGAUGGAUUCAAAAAGAAAUUAAAGUGAUAAUGUACGUGGAUCCUUAAAAUAAAAAGCGAAAUCGCUUGGUGGCCCAGUAAAAUUAGAGAACAAAGAAGAAUUAGUUAUUGAUAUACAAAAGAGAAACACUCCAAAAUUUCAAGCAAAAAUAGUUUCAUAUACCAUUUCAAUUUUGUAAGGGGUGAGGUUUUGAAUUUCAAUAGUUUCCUCUAAAAUCAAAAGGCAACAAUUAAGUUAGAAAGAGCAAAGAAGACUUAUUAGUACCUUAUUAAAGGUAACAUUAUGGAACUUUCAAUUUCAUUACCUCACUCUUCAAUUUUUAUUGAGAUUUGUGCAAGAAUUUACCUAAAUAUUACCUAAAAUUGAGAUAUCAGAGUAAUAUCAAAUAGAAAAACUUGCCACGGUAAGCCAAAAGUCUAGUCAACCACAUGCAUAAAGCUAAAUAGAACAACUAACAAGAGAACAGAGAAACGCGUGGGUCCCUAAAAGAAAAGGCAAGCACAUAGAUGAAAAAGCCAUUACAUUUCGAUUUUACAUGUCAUUAAUUUCUGUAACACGGUGUGUGGCAGCAUAUGCACAAUCAAGUGAGGCAAAAGGGAUUCGAUUAUCGUGGCAGAACAUGAACGAGGACGCGUGAUGAAUAAUUCCUUCGAUAAAACGAAAAACAAACGCAGAGAAAAGAAUUUCUUAUAUGACAAGAAAUCAAAGAAAUCAAAGUAAUGUUUCAUUUUCCCUUCCCUACCUUUUUUUUGUUUUAUUUUUAUAGCAAAGAAUUAUAUCAUGAAAAGAAUCAAUUUAAUCACCUUUUCUAGCAGCACAAUUUUUCUUUUAUAAAAUUUGACCAGGGAGACAAAGAAUAAUUAUUCAUACCUUCAUCACUAAGGAAAUACUUUUCGGUAUGGCUAAGGUGAGAAAAGGCUUUCCACAAAAACUUGUACUUUGUAUUCCUGUAAAUUUUCUUUAAAGUCAAUAAAAACCAUAAGUUCUUUACAAUAACCAUCUCUUUGAUAAAAAAGUGCCGUAUUCCUUUAGAAUUUAAAACCGGCAAAACUGAAUCAGUGUCUUUGAAGAGACAUAAUGGUCGUAAUUCUUUAAAUGAGUUGGCUAUGGAAAUCGUUAUCCAAGAUUCUUUUACGCCAUAUUCUUUCGUAAACCAAAAUUCAUUUUGGAAUACUCUGUUGAGAAUGUCAAAUAAAACGGCAUUGAAGGAAGUUUUCAAAGGCAGAAUCUGCACUUGUCAGAUGGAUGAUCUGCACUUGUCAAAGACACAAUCCGCGUCGAACGAAUCGACACAUUUCCUUUCGUAUUCACAUAUGCAAUUUUUGAAAAAAUGUAGCUUUUACAUCUAUAAAUAACACUCAGUGUAUAAUGUUUUAUUCAAGAAAAGAAAACAAGUUUCUUCAUGGUAUCAGAGCCAUGAAUACGCUCAAGUUUCUUCAAGUUUCGCUGCUCUGUUUGUAACAAAAACAGAGAAAACCAAAAUCUUCCCACAACCAUUUUUUCCACCAUUUUCUUCCUUAAAAUCAUUCCUACCAUUAUAGAAAUCCAUGCCGAUCAAAAAACAAGCCACCCAUACGUAAAAAACUUGAGUUUACAAAUUUAUCAACAAUCUCAUAAAUUAGAUACAAAACAACGUGAUGUUAAAUCUCCAGAACUGCAGCAGUCUUAAAACGACAUGUCGUUUCUAUUCCAUCAGAACCGACAUAUCAUUUCUUUAAGCAGAGGCCAAACGACUUGUCGUUUUUUUUUUUAUCUAAAAAAGUUAUUUUUUCUUAUUUCAAUCUAGACGCCAAAAAAAAAACAAAAAAAUGGAGAAAACUCCAACUGAAUCUGAUCCUGUUGUCAUUCAAUCUGUUCAAUCUGAUGAGUAUUUAAUGUUGGAAUUAUCUUCACUGAGACAAACUACGAUAUUUGGUCUUAAAUAAUGGAGUUGCAUCUCGCAGAAAGAGAAAAACUCUCAUAUAUUUGUAGCAACACAAAGUCAUCUGAGGAAUCUUCAAAGGAAUAUGAGAAAUGGUAUAGUGAGAAUGAAAAGGUAAAAAAAUGGUUACUCAUAUCCAUGUCUCUGGAUAUCAUGAAGUGAUAUUUACGAAUUCCUACAGCCUACGAAAUAUGGGAUGCAUUAUCAAAAGCCUUCUAUGAUGGAAUCGAUGAAUUACAAGUUUUCACUCUAAACCAGAAGGCGUCUCUACCAAGAAAAAUUGACAGCCACUAUCUAAAUUCUACGGAGAAUUGAUCGAAAUAUUUUGAGAACUUGAUCACCGAGAUAAAGUGAUCAUGAAGGAUCCAGAAGAUGUUGUAAUAUACAAAAGGUCUGUUGAAAGAUUGAGAGUUCACAUUUUUCUUGUUGGGCUAGAUGAAGAAUUUAACCAAGUUCGUGGAGAAAUUCUAUGAAAAGAUAUUAUCCCAGACUUAGAAGAAUGUUAUUCUUUGAUCUGAAGAGAAGAUGUACGGCAAAACAAACUAAACAAGAAGGUCGACUCAGAAACGUUUGCUAUGAUAGCACGACAACAGCCUCAAAGGAAGCUUGUUGACAAGUCAUCACUCCAUUGCACUCAUUGUAGGAAGAAGGGUCAUAUGAAAGCACAAUAUUUUGAAAUCAUUUGAUAUCCUGACUGGUGGGAUACUUGAAAGAAAAACAUCAAGCAGGGAUAAAAAACUGCAGUAGCUGAAUCCACAUCCACUACAGAUCUUAGAAAAGAAUCUUCAGUGCAAAUCGCAACCUCUGUUAGUCCAGGUAAGGCCCUUAAAACUCUUAUACUUGUUAUUAAUAGUACAUGGAUAAUUGAUUCUGGGGCAACUGAUCAUAUGACUUUUGAUUCUCGACAAGUUUCUCAAUUGAUACCAUCUUCACAAAAACAUGUUUCCACUCCAAAUGGAACCACAACCUUAGUUAUUGGGGAAGGAUCUUUACGACUCACAUAUAAAUUAAAUUUAGACUCUGUGUUAAUUGUUCCAUCUUUAGAUUAUAAUCUUUUAUCUGUGUCUCAAUUAACCACUUACUUAUCAUGUGUUGUAAUUUUUUGGCCUGAUCAUUGUGUGUUUAAAGACAUCCAAACGAAGCAAACGAUUGGUUAUGGUAUUAGACGGGGCCACUUGUACUAUUUGGAGAUGACAUCAACAAACACUGGAAAGCUAAGCCCUGCACUAGUCGCAGAUAGUUCCAUAAAAAAAAGGAAAUCAGAAAUUUGGUUAUGGCAUAGACGUUUAGGGCAUGUGUCAUUUGGUUACUUAAAAAAAUUAUUUCCUAGUUUAUUUCUGAAAUUUGAUAUUUGUAACUUUAAAUGUGAUGUUUGUGAACUUUUAAAAAGUCAUCGAACUACUUUUCCAUUGUCCUUAAAUAAGAAUCAAGUUCCUUUUAUGGUAGUACAUUCUGAUGUAUGGGGGCCAUCGAAAGUUUCUACAAUUGGAGGUGCUCGUUGGUUUGUUACAUUUAUUGAUGAUUGUAGCAGAAUGACAUAGAUUUUUCUGAUGAAAUCGAAAGACGAAGUAAACUCUUUAUUUUAAAGAUUUCAUAAGAUGGUGACGACUCAAUUUCAGACACAAAUUCGAGUUCUACAUACUGAUAAUGGAGGCGAGUAUAUGAGCACAACAAUUCAACAGUUUCUGAAAUCACAAGGAACUGUCCAUCAAACCACUUGUGUGGGGACACCCCAACAAAAUGGCAUUGUUGAACGAAAAAACAGACAUUUACUAGAAGUUGUUCGAGCAUCACUAAUCCAGGCCCACAUGCCACUAUCUUAUUAGGGAGAAGCACUGGCAUCCGCAGCAUACUUGAUCAAUCGAACACCUUCAAGCUCCCUUGGAUUCCAGACUCUUUUCCAGGUUCUAAAUGAUGCAAUUAUGUCACCAAAUGUGCCGAAUUUACCCCCACAUGUGUUUGGCUGUGUUGCCUUCGUUCAUUUGCCGCAACAAGACAAAUUAUCUCCUCGAGCACUACGUUGUGUGUUUGUAGGGUAUGCCUUACAGCAAAAGGGAUACCGAUGAUAUGAUCCACCAUCAAGAAAAAUAUACAUCACCAUGGAUGUCGUCUUUCAUGAAGAUAUCAUAUACUACUUGUCAAAGCCUGAAUUUCAGGGGGAGUAUAAUGAAGAGGAAAUUCAUAAUCUUAUAUAUCUUCCACCUAAAGAAGAUCAAUCUUCCAUUGAGGUUGUAAACCUUCAAGAUACUGGAAAAGAAAAUGGUGGUGAUUCUCAGGCUGAGAUAAGUGAAGACACAUUUGGGGAGCAAAAUAACUUAGACACAACUGCAAUCGAGAAUGAGUCACAUGAAGAAAUACCUAACUAAUCGUCUGCAGAGGAUGUUCCUACCACAAGUCCUAGUCUAGUCAGAAGAAUUCUUCCUCAGCGUCAAAAUAGAGGUAUCCCUAAACCCACAUAUGAGCCCGACCUUUCUAGUAGAGUCAAAUACCCUAUGAUUUAUUUUGUGUCUAACCAUCGCUUGUCAGAAUCAAAUCAGUCAUUUGUGAAUCAAUUAUCUACUGUAUCUAUUCCUAAUAGUGUGCAGGAAGCCUUAAAAGACCCAAAGUGGAAAGCGACUAUGAAUGACGAAAUGUGAUCUCUUCAAAAAAAUCAAACAUGGGAACUAGUUGAUCUUCCACCUGGAAAGAAACCAGUGGGUUUCCGAUGGAUCUACACUAUAAAGUACAAAGCAGAUGGCUCUAUUGAACGAUACAAAGCAAGGCUCGUAGCUAAGGGUUACACCCAAACCUACGGGAUAGAUUAUGCCAAUAUGUUUGCACCGGUAGCAAAAAUUAAUACUAUUCGUAUCUUAUUAUCAUUAGCAGUCAACUUGGAUUGGCCAGUGUAACAGUUCGAUGUAAAGAAUGCUUUCCUCCAUGGAGACCUGUCUGAAAAAAUUUAUAUGGAUAUGCCACCAGGAUGUAGUGGACCAGAACGACUCAAUCAGAAAGUAUGCAAAUUGAAGAAAUCAUUGUAUGGGUUGAAGCAACCCCUAAGAGCAUGGUUCGGGAAAUUCACAAAGGCUAUGGUUCUUUUUGGGUAUAACCAAAGCAAUUCAGAUCAUACCUUGUUCAUUAAAAAAUGACAAGGUAAAAUCACUGCCCUCAUUUUCUAUGUGGAUGAUAUGGUAGUCAUAGGUAACGACGGGGAAGCAAGAGAGGCUCUUCAGAAGUACUUGUCGAGAGAGUUUGAGAUGAAGGAUUUAUGAGCCUUAAAAUACUUUCUUGGAAUUGAGGUUUCUCGAUCUAAGGGAGGAAUUUUCCUGUCUCAAAGGAAAUAUGCUUUAGAUCUAUUAAACGAAACGUGAAUGACAGCUUGUCAGCCUAUUGACACCCCAAUAGAAGAAGGACUGAAGUUUUGUAUUACCUCAGACUAAGUUCCAGUAGACAAAGGAAGAUAUCAAAGGCUGAUUGGAAGAUUGAUGUACUUGUCCCACACAAGGCCAGCUCUUGCUUAUGCAUUGAGUGUUGUAAGUCAGCUUAUUCAUAAUCCCGGAGAACAACACAUGAAAGCAGUAAUGCGGAUCCUAAGGUACCUGAAGUCAAAUCCAGGAAAAGGAAUCCUAUGUUCCAAAAAUGGAGAUUACAGCAACAUAGAAGUUUAUACUGAUGCAGAUUGGGCCCGGUCAGUUAGUGAUAGACGCUCUACCUCAGGAUACUUUACCUUAGUGGGAGGCAACCUUGUCACAUGCUGCUUCACUUGCUGCCAAUCCAGUUCAUCAUUCAAGAACAAAACAUAUAGAGAUUGAUGUUCACUUUGUGAGAGAUAUAAUUUCCAACGGCGGAGUGGAAGUAAGAUAUGUCCCUACUGAAUAUCAGCCUGCAAACAUCUUCACAAAAGCUCUUCCUGCUGAUAUGUUUCAACAGUUGCGAGACAAGCUACAUAUUCUUCCUAGAACAUUGCGCUUGAGGGGGCAUUAUGAAAAUAUUGUAGCAGAGCUACCAAACUUGAGUAAUACGAAUUCAAAGUUGUUAGAUGACAUGGCAGCACACUUGGCAUUCAUUGGUGUUUUGGAAAGUUAAAGUGAUCAACCUUAUCUCUUAGCUUAUCAUUAAUUCAAGCUGCACUUUUGUAUUUAUCAAGAUCAAGAUAAAGAUAACAAUUGUGCUAGGCUUGAUCUUAUUCUUGGCAUUAUCGUGUUUCCUGUAGAGCAUUAUAAAUGUAAUGAUUAUGAGAUGAAUAAAAUAACGAAAAUGUGUUUUGUUUCUUCUUUAAGCUCAUCUUUAUAAUUUAAGUUGGUAUCAGAGCAUGGCGAGCUCCAAUUCUGCGAAAUUAGUCAAUAUGAAUACUGUAAACCAAACACCACAAAUUUCUAAUUUUUUGACUCCUGUCAAAUUGGAUAGGCAAAAUUUUAUGAUAUGGAAGUCUCAAGUGCUACCUUCCAUUCGUGGUAACAAUCUUGAAAGCUUGAUCAAUGGAGCAAAACUUGUACCCACUAAAUUCUUGGUGCAAGUAGAAGAGGAUCAAACAGUAACGACUGUGGAAAAUCCAGAAUAUAUACAAUGGCUGAGACAAGAUCAGCUUUUACUUAGUUGGCUUUUGUCCACUAUGACUGAAUCAGUUUUAAGCAUAGUGGUGCAGUAUACAACCUCUUUUGAGGUUUGGAAUGCCUUGAAGACAUUGUUUGCAUCUCAGUCAAAGGCUAGAAUUUUGUAGCUCAAGAUGCAACUCCAAACCACGAAAAAGAAUGCUAUGACCAUGAGUGACUAUGUCAACAAAAUGAAAAAUUUAGCUAAUAGCCUGGCAAUGGCUGGAAAAUAUGUUACUGAAGAUGAUUUAAUUUCUUAUAUUCUUGCAGGUUUAGGAACUAAAUACGACCCUGUGGUUGUAAAUAUUACAGCAAGAACAAAUGAUUUAUCUCUGCCUGAAGUAUCCUCUCUUUUGCUCAAUCAUGAAAGUCGAAUGGAACAACUCUCAGCUGCUGCAAAUCUUGAGUCUAAAGGCAGUUUUAAUGCAAAUUUUGCAGGAGCUUCUUUUCACAAAAGGAAAGUUAUAAGAAAAGGCUUUAUGUCAGGAAGUUUAUGAGGCAAUGAACGUGGUAGAGGCAAAGGAAGAACCAAUUUUAGCCGUGGUGGAAAUAGGCCAACCUGUCAGAUAUGUGGCAAAUAUGGACAUUCAGGAUAUCAAUGUUUCUUCCGCUUUGAUCGGGGGUUCUCUGCAAGACAAGAGGCAACACAAGCAGGUCAAGCCUCUGCCUAUAUGGCACUCCCUGCUGAAGAAAUAGAUAAUGGAUGGUAUUUGGACAGCGGAGCAACACACCAUGUUACAAAUGAUUUAAACAAUCUGCAGAUUAAGUUAGAAUUUAAGGGAGGUGAGAAGCUGGUAGUAGGUAAUGGUAAAACUUUAGCAAUAUCUCACAUUGGCAGUGCACUUAUUUAUAUUCCAAACCAUGAACCAUUGUUGCUUAAUGACAUUUUAUAUGUGCCCAAAAUCACCAAGAACUUAAUUAGCAUUUCAAAAUUACUUUCUGAUAAUAAACUAAUGCUUGAUUUCUGUGACAAUGUUUGUACUCUUAAGGACAAAGUUCUGGGGAAGAAGCUGCUGCAGCGAAAAAUUGAAAGAGGCUUAUAUCGGCUACCAGUGCUUUCAAGACAAGCCAUUCUAUCUGAUUCAAAAAUUAUUUCCAAUAAAUCUUAUUAGUCUUCUCUUCCAUUUAGCUGUUUCAAUUCUAGCUCAACAAUAAGUUCUGUAAAUGAACAAGAAUUUAUUUCCAAUUCCAAGCCUAGCAGUUUUAUAAAUCUUUUGCACAGAAGGAUGAGACAUCAUCAUCUUGCUGUACUAAAACAAAUUCUACCUUUGUGUAACAAAACAAGUCAGUUAAAUAAAAAUCUCAUUCCUCAAUUCUGUGAUGCAUGUCAACAAGGAAAAAGUCAUAGGCAAACUAUCAAAGCAUCAAAUAGUAGAGCUUCAGAACCUUUAGAAUUAUUGCAUCUUGACUUGUGGGGGCCUGCACCUUUAAUGUCUAGAAAUGGCUACAAAUAUUAUUUGAGUAUUGUAGAUGACAACACACGUUUUACAUGGAUAUUUCCACUUAAAGUUAAAUUACAAGCGUUUGAAGCUUUUAAGUAUUUCAAAGUUCAAGCCGAAAAACAAUUAGGAAAGAAAAUCAAAAGUUUACAAACUGACGGUGGAGGAGAGUUUCAAGCAUUUACAAUUUUUUAAAAGAACAGGGUAUUAUUCACUGACUUUCUUGCCCACACACGCAUCAUCAAAAUGGUAGAGUGGAGCGAAAACACCAACAAAUUGUAGACACUGGUUUAACACUUUUGGCAUAGGCUGGCAUGCCACUCACUUUUUGGUGGGAUGCUUUUCAAACAUCUGUUUAUUUAAUUAAUAGAAUGCCUACUUCCAUCUUAGAAAACAAAUCACCAUUUCAAAUACUUUAUGAUGAAGAAUAGGAAUCAAUAUUAUACUAGGAUUAGUUUCCUUAUUAACUAAAGUUUAAGACUUUUAAAUUCCUUUCUAAUUUAGAAUUUUGUUUCCCUUUCAAUUUAGGAUUUUGUUUUACUUCAUGAAUUAGGAUAAUUAUUACUACUAUAAAUAGCUCCCUCUUGUAGCCUUUAAAGGCAGAGAAUUUUGAGUUUAAUAAUAUUUCAAUUUUCAAAUCUCUUUGUGAGUAUUUGAACAGUUAAUUCUCGGUAUUCUGCGAAAUCAACGAGUCUUAAAUCCCUAAGUUCGCGGUAUUCUUUUGAAUCAACAUGAAUUUAGUUGUUCUUUUAUUCUGGUAUUCUCUAGAAUCAACGGAAUAUUUUGAAUAUUAAACUUCCACUGCAUCACUUUACAAGAAAAUACCUGAUUAUUCUUUUCUAAAAGUUUUUGGAUGUGCUGUAUUUCCUCAUCUUCGAGAUUACAACAAACAUAAAUUAGAUUUUUGAUCAGAUAAAUGUAUAUUUUUAGGCUAUAGUACAGCUCAUAACGGGUAUAAGUGUCUCCACAAGUCAGGAAAAAUUUUUGUAAUGCGACAUGUUGUCUUUAAUGAAUAUGAUUUUCCUUUUAAAAGUGAUCCCUCCUUCAAAAUCUCAAAGAGUUAUCCAAAUCAUGAUUCUAGUACUCUCUUUCAGUCUCCUAUGUUUGCAGGUUUUGAAAGUCCUAGAGCCUAUAAGACUCUCUCGGUUAUUCAUGCAACAGACUCUCUACUAGAGUUGGUUCAUAACACAAUAGUUAUAGAUCAGGCAUCAAGUCAAGAUGAGGAAACCAAUUUUGAAUCCAACACCAAAAGCCCACCUGGAAAAGCCAACCUUGAAUCAAGCACUGAAAUCCAAGCAACUGAAAACACCACACAAUCUUUAUCUAUCCCCGCGUUUAUCAAUCAAGAAGCCGAUCACACAAUCUCUCAACCACCUAGUUCAACUCCUCAUUCUCAACAGCCAACACAUACACAAUCCACUCAUCCAAUGAUCACUCGUGCCAAGGCCGGCAUCUUUAAACCCAAACCUAGACUUUACCUAACAACCUCUCAUACCAAAAUAAGUGUACAUGCCAGUGUUAGUGAAGCUUUGGAAGAUCACAAUUGGCGUAAUGCUAUGACAGAAGAAAUGAAUGCUUUGGCUAGGAAUAACACACGGUGUUUAGUUCAACCUACUUCUGACAUGAAGAUUGUGGGAAAUAAAUGGGUUUUUCGGAUAAAACAAAAGGCUGAUGGUUAGAUAGAGCGAUAUAAGGCUCGGUUGGUUGCAAAAGGAUUUCAUCAGACCCCAGGAAUCGAUUUCAACGAGACUUUUAGUCCUGUUGUUAAAGUUGCAACAAUUCGAUUGGUGUUAAGUAUUGCUGUGAUGAAAAAUUAGGGUGUAAUACAACUGGAUGUGAACAACGCCUUUUUAAAUGGAGACUUAGUAGAAGAUGUUUACAUGAUGCAGCCUGAAGGCUUUAUCAACAAAGCACAACCAAAUCAUGUGUGUAAAUUGAGAAAAGCAUUGUAUGGGCUUAAGCAGGCUCCAAGAGCUUGGUUUGAAAAACUCAAGAGAGCAUUGAGUGACUGGGGUUUCACAAAUUCUAAAUUAGACACAUCACUAUUUAUUUUGCAGCAAGGAAGGGAUAUAAUAUUUGUCCUUAUUUAUGUGGACGAUAUUUUAAUAACAGGAAGUAAAGAAAGUUUGGUGCAAGAAGUUAUUGAACGACUUAAUUGUCAGUUUGCUUUAAAAGUGCUCGGACCAUUAAGCUAUUUCCUUGGUCUUGAAGCUCAUCGCACAGAGAAUGGCCUACAUCUUAGCCAACACAAAUAUAUUUGUGAUCUCUUGAAGCGCACAGAUAUGGAUGGCUGCAAGGAAACAUCUACUCCUAUGAGUGUAGUACCGAAACUUUCAGCUGAAGGUGGUAAGCAAUUUUCUGAUCCUACACUUUAUCGUAGCAUCGUUGGAGCCUUAUUAUACGUAACUAUUACUCGGCCUGAAAUUUCUUAUGCUGUUCAUCGUUUAAGUCAGUAUAUGCAAAAUCCUUUACAGCCGCAUUGGCUUGGGUGUAAAAGAAUCCUUAGAUAUUUACAAGGAACAGCUGAUUAUGGAAUUUAUUAUACUACCAAAGGAAGAAUGACGCUCACAGGCUAUACAGAUGCAGAUUGGGCAAACAAUAUUGAUGAUAGAAAAUCAACUGGAGGCUACUGUAUUUAUCUUGGCAAUAACUUAAUCUCAUGGAGUUCAAAGAAACAAAAUGCAGUAGCAAGGUCUUCAACUGAGUCAGAGUAUCAAGCACUUGCAAAUACCACAGCAGAAAUUUUAUGGCUUCAAUCUGUGCUUAAAGAGUUGCAGGUGCCACUAACUGAAAUUCCAAUUAUUUGGUGUGACAACACUGAAGCUGCUUCACUUGCUGCCAAUCCAGUUCAUCAUUCAAGAACAAAACAUAUAGAGAUUGAUGUUCACUUUGUGAGAGAUAUAAUUUCCAAAGGUGGAGUGGAAGUGAGAUAUGUCCCUACUGAAUAUCAGCCUGCAGACAUCUUCACAAAAGCUCUUCCUGGUGAUAGGUUUCAACAGUUGCGAGACAAGCUACAUAUUCUUCCCAGAACAUUGCGCUUGAGGGGGCAUCAUGAAAAUAUUGUAGUAGAGCUACCAAACUUGAGUAAUACGAAUUCAAAGUUGUUAGAUGACAUGGCAGUACACUUGGUAUUCAUUGGUGUUUUGGAAAGUUAAAGUGAUCAACCUUAUCUCUUAGCUUAUCAUUAAUUCAAGCUGCACUUUUGUAUUUAUCAAGAUCAAGAUAAAGAUUACAAUUGUGCUAGGCUUGAUCUUAUUCUUGGCAUUAUCGUGUUUCCUGUAGAGCACUAUAAAUGUAAUGAUUAUGAGAUGAAUAAAAUAACGAAAAGGUGUUUUGUUUCUUCUUUAAGCUCAUCUUUAUAAUUUAAGUAAAGGGACUUUUGCAUAGCCUCUGGUGUGUGUGUGAUUUCUCUUUCGUUUCCUCAUCAAAUUCUGUAAUUCUUGCUUCGAUAAAAAGCUUUUAAUCUCUUCUGUAGUGUGUGAUCAGUGCGUAAUCAUUUUGAGCAAUAACAGCUUGUGGGUUUUUCCUUCAAACAGUGUCGUUUUGGUCAGUUUGUUAGUUUCUGUGUUCGUCUGAUUCCAUUGCUCUUGUUCUCUGUUCUUGAUCUGUUCGUGGAAUUUUUCUUUGGUUAUUUGUUCUCAAAUUUCAACUGUAUAUAAAGUUUGAACUCUGAUUGCUUAUAAUGUAUUGAUUAAGAAUAAUCCUAAGAGUUCCCGAUUGAAAUUUUUAAUGACUAUUUUUAUUGUUUUGGAUAUACAAAUUGAAUUAAGAAAAAAUAUUGUCAAAUUCAGAGGAUAAGGGGAAAUAAUUAUGCUUCAAAAGGCCAGAGAUUAGAGAAUAAAGAAGCAUUCAUUACUCUAUCAAAAAAAAAAAAAAAAAAAAAGCAUUCAUUACUGAUAUACAAACUGCUUUUAUUUGGAUUUUGGAAGGGGUGAAGUUUUGAACUUCAGUUGUUCCUCUAAAAUCAAAAGCAGCAAUUAAGCGUUCUCAAUUAGAAAGAGCUAAGAAGACUUAUUGGUACCUUACUGAAGCUAACAUUAUGGCACAGUUGUUCAUAUAUAAUGGCUGCUCUGUUAUGCUAGCUUCUCUGUUUUUGCUUCUAUUUUUGCUUACAGUUUUGAACAUAAAUUCUUGCUCAAAUAACCCAUAAUUAAAUAACACUAAUAUGGCUCGUGAAAUCCCAUAAUAGCUAAUUACGCAACUUUCUCCUCCUCCUCAAUUCUGUCUUCCCCUGCUCGUACACUAAAUUCAAAAUUCAAUGCCCCGAAAAACAACACAAGAAAUCUUUGAGUUAAUUCGCGACCAGUUUAUAUAUAGUAGCAAUUGAAAAAGGAAAAAGAAUAAAAGAGUUCAUUAUUAUUCAGACCUUCACUUAUUAGGAAGUUUGUUCUGCUGUUGGGUGAGAUCAAGCUCUCAGCAUAUACUUCCACAUUAUACUUUCUAACAUUUUCUUGAAAGCCAUCAAUCAUAAAAUCUUCAUACUUUUUUCCAUCCUUUGGAUCAAUAAGUACAAAUUUCUCAUCUAAAACAGACAAAAUAAAAUCACUGUCCUUCAUGGAACAUAAUGGCUGCAAUGCCUGAACUGAAUUGGCUAAUGAAAUUUGAGUCCAGGAUUCUCUCAGCCCAUAUUCUUUCAUAAUCCAAAAUUCUUUUCUUUCUCGACAUGGAACAUAGUCUUCUUUUCUUUCUGGACAUAUGUCUCUGUACUUUUCUCUCUCUACUGAUCCACACUUUUUCAUACUUCUAACUAUCAUUUUGUUUUUUUUUUGUUAAGUUGUGAUUUAUUCAAUUAUUUUGUAUUUUUAAUGAAAAUUAUUUAAUAUUUAGUUAGUUUUGAUAUUGAUUAGUGAUUGAAAGUGUAUUUUAGAAGACUUCCGGUCUCUUGGAAAAAGGAAAAAUGGAGACGAAGAAGAAGUGUUCUUGAUUUUUUUGUAGGCAUUAAAGUUAAACGGUUUGAAAUGAUAUUUUGUUUUAAUUUCACUCAUUAAUCUCAUUCAGGAUAAAAUUAUAAAUGCAAAUAAAUGGGGUUUCAUGAGUUUUUUUUAAUAGUGUUAAAAGGUCUACUCACUAAAUAAAUAUGUUUAACCCAAACCAAUGCGAUUAGUAAGUUAUUGGGUUGGGUUGAUCAGGUUAAAAAUUAAAAUUAAAAAUUAAAUAAUUAAAAAAGGCAUAAAAACUAUCUGUUACUUGAAAAUAAAAAGAAUUUCUAAUAGUUAGUUCUAAUGUCCCAUAUCCAAAACAUCCAUAUUAAAUAAAUAUUAUAAGUUAGAAAUACAAUAUCCAAGAAAGAAUGAAUGAAAUACCAUAUUUUUGUUGAGAAUUAAGAGUGUGAUUUUAAUUUUGAUAUUGGAGUCUAAAGUGCCACGUUUAAAUAAUCUCUUUUAUAAAAUAAUAAAAAGAGAUUAAAAAUUAGGUUAGCCAUUUAGGCAUUCAGGGUUUAGCAAUUAAGGAUGAACAUAUUAUUGUUGUUGUUUUUUGUUGUUGUUGUUGUUGUUGUUGUUGUUAUUAUUAUUAUUUAUAUGUUUACUAAUCCAAUUUACGUAUAAGUACAAAAGUUUCAAAUAUUGUCUAUUAUUUUUUUAACAUGCCUAUUCCUUGUGGAUAAUUCUGUCUCAUCACUAAUGUUGUUUCUUGCUUACAAUUUGUAUAGCGUCUCAAAAUAGACAAUAGGGGGAUUUUGAAUUUUUUAAGUCUCAAUAUAGUCUCUUAUCUUGUGAGACAGAUUUUCUUUCAAUAAUUUGGAGGUAAACAUAACAUAACUUUUUGGACUAAAGCCUAGCUCUGCUAAUUAGUAAUUGGUGGUAUCCUUUUCAAGACCUGAGUCUUUAAAUUCGAGUUUUAUAUAGUGCGCAUGUGUAUUUAAUUAAUAUUUUUUUAAAAAAAUUACAUCAAAUACUAAUAUUCAUGACAUAAUUUAGUUCAUAAUGUUUUUUUAAAUACAUCGAAAAUAUAAUUUUUUAACAACUUAUAGGCAUGACAAAUUUCAAGAUAUAAAUAUCAGUCAAAAUAAGUGAAAGAAAUAAUGGUGCCAAUUCUAAUUUCUUAACUAAAUUAAUUACUGCAUGAGCCCCCAAUACGGCACGAGAGUUUGAUGGGCUAACUUGGCACAAGAACAAUAGUUAAUUGAUUUAAGAAAUAAUUCAAUGAAAAAUAUAAUUGAUAAGAAUUUAGUAUUGAAAUGAGUUUUUUUCGAAACACUGAAUUAAUGAUUAUUAAGCAAGAACAAUAAAAAAAAUAAAAUAAAAAAUAAAGAUUAACCAUUGAUAAGCUUCAACAAGAACUUAACACAACCCUCAAUCCUAAUUCAAAUUAUAAAUGUCAUUCAUAUAUUCAUUAUAAAUCAAUAACAAAGGUUAUAAAUGUUUAGAAAUUCUAGAGGGAAGGAAGCUAUCGCCGGGCAAUCAACAACUAAAUUUGAUGUAAUUGUGGCACAAGAUGGAAUAUGAAAACUACACCAUAAUUUCAAAUGCCGCCAUAGACAUUGACUUAUCUACAGUAACAAUGAUCUAAUUAAAAUUAAAAUAAAGUUUAUGGGCAUUUAUUAUAUUUGCCAUUCCUCAUUUGCAAAUAGGGAUAUAAUUAUAAUUUUACUUAGUCAAAGCAAUCAGUAAUUUUUAGGGGUGUUCAAAAUUCAAUCCGAUCCGCUCAAUCCGUCUGAUCCGUAGAAAUCCGAUCCGUAAAAAUCUGAUCUGUGGAUUGGUAGAUUGGAUUGAAUUGAAAAUUUGAUAAUCCGCAAUCGGUGGAUUGGGUAUGGAUCUACUUCUGUAAAUUCGUAAAAAUCCGUGAAUCGGCAAAAAAUAAAAAGUAUUUAUUUAUUAAAAAAUAAAACUUGUAAAUAUGGCAAUAGUACUUACUAGUAAAUAAAUAAGUUAAAAUAUAGUUACAUUAACACUAUAUUAUAUCUUAUCCGAUAAUAAUAAAAAAUAAAAAAUAAUUAAAUAAACAAAUAUAACUUUCUAAAUAGUUAAUUUUCAUGUACUGAUCUAAACGAAUGAGAUUUUUUUUUUUUCAUUUUGGUGUGUUAUGUUUUGAACUUUAAAUGUAAUUUUUAGUUUUAUUUAAACAAGUAAUUUAUUUAAAUCUUAUUUAAUUUUAAAUUUGAUCGGCAAUAAAAUUAUUUAUAUUAAUUUUUUUUUAUUUAGUUAGUUCGUAGAUUGGACAGUAUUAAAAAUUUUCAGUCCGUAAACCAAUUCGCAAAAUGGUGGAUUGGAUAUGGAUUGGGUCAAAUCCGCAUCCAAUCCGCAGAUGUAUGAAUUGAAUUUCACCAAUCCAUGAAUUGGAUUGGAUUAAAAAUUUAUAAUCCGCAAAAUCGUGGAUCAGAUAUGGAUUGAGGUCCAAUCCGUAAAAUUUGAUCCGGAAACACCCCUAGUAAUUUUCUUCAUUAUAGGAGUGAAGUAAAAACAUUUAGAUUUUAAUGUAUGUACGGAAAAAUUUAUCUUUAAAAAUACUUUCUUAAUGUGUGUAUAUAUAUUGAAAUACUCAAACCAAUUUUGGUUAUUAUAUAAUUAAACAAAUUUUAAAAUAUGAAAAAUAUAAUGUAGUUAUAGUGGAUAAACAAUAAGUGAGCGCAAUAUAAUUAAUCAAAUAUCAUGCCAUCAAAAGUUAAUUUUAGAAAUUCCAAAUCCAACAGCCAACACAAUUCUUUUAAAAAAAAGCUGACACAAUUAAUAAAAUUAGUGACAUGAAUUUCACACCAUUGAUAAUAAGCAAUUAGUAUUACUUUCUAAACUUGCUUCAACUGGUCGUUGAUGUCCGGGGUCACCAAAAGUAUAAGCAAUAAUAAGGGGCAUUGGGCAAGAGUGAUGAAUGUUUAGUCGGUGCAUUUGAUUGCUAGAUAUAUAAAGGGCCGAAACUUGAGAUUAUAUUACUUUUACAAAUUUUAAUCCAAUCACAUAUUUAAUGAAAACAAAAUGAGUUAGGAUACUUUAUUUAGAACCCACAUUUUAAUAAGGCUUCAUUUGAUGUAGUUUUUUAAACAGUGAUUAUUUAAGUAAAUUUUCCUCAAUAGAGUUUUUAUCAAACAAAUUUAUUUAUUUAGUUGUCGAUAAGAGUUUUUAUUAAAAAUUAUAAAAUUAUUUAAAUAAACAUGUUUUUUAAAAUUACAUUAUAAAAAUAAUUAAAUAAAAUUAUAAAAGUAAAAUAUAUUUUAGAUAUUUUAAUAUUUAAGAAAAAUUUUCAAUCUCUACUUUCAAAAGCUCAAAUUUUUAGCUUUUAGUUGUAGAGACAAAAUAUUUUAUUUAAUCUUUAAAAGUUAUGCUAAAAACAAUCAAAUAACUACAAAAAUUUUAAUAAGAGUAUAUAAAAUUAAAUGGUAAUUUUUAAAAACCUCCCCUGAGGUUUGGGCUUGUUGCAAGUAGAUGGCGAGAAUCCAUUUAUUUGUAACAAACCCCCUACCGUCAGUUAAUUUUUGCAUUAACCGUUAGUUGACUGUGCAAAGACAAUAUUGUCCCUAAUGACAGUUUGUAGACUGACAUAGCUAAAAAAAAUGCUGAGAUUGUCGGCACGAAAAUCACAAAUAAUUUUUUUUUGACAAUUUUGUCCUUGUUAAUUCCAAGAUUUACAAUGUCAUAAGUAAGGAUUAUGACUAUUUUACCCUCUUAAAAUUAUUGAUAAUUCCUUAAAAUUUCUACAAAAAAGAUAAAAUUAAAAACUUGAAGAAAAAUAAAGUUCUCAAGCCGGCUAACCAAACACAUAGAAUAAAAAAUCCAUCGUUUGACAACAAAAACAACUUUCCAUAAACCCAAACAAAAAUAAACAAGUCCCCAUUACUCUAAUUGGCUUUGCUUGGAGCUGUUACUAUUGUGCAUACAUUUCUAGGCAAAGCAAAAUGACCCCAUGAUAUAAACCUUAUAAAACAUGCCUCCACUAUUCUUAAUUUUGGUAUAAUAAUAAUAAUAAUCACAAAAAAUUAAUUGAAAACUUGACUAAUUAUCUUUGGUGGAGAAUUUUAAACCGAAACCGAUUCAGGAACCUUAAAUUGAUCAAAAGGAAGCUAAUAAUGACAAAAAAGUAACCGAUCAAAAAUCAUUAAGCAUAAAAAAAUAUUGAAUUUAAAUAACUAAAAAUGCCAUCGGAAAUUGAAAUUAAUUAUUUAACAUAUAGCAUGAAAACAAAUCUUCACUAUUGGUGCUAGGCGGCUGUCGUUUAGCUUGGUUCUAAGAGGUGGCAGUCAGUCAACUUCGAGACGGUGCGUUCGAAGUCAACUAAGCUGCAGCAGAGGUUGCAGGGGGCAGAUUGCAGCGAAGUCGCGGUGGAGCAGAGGUCGCGUCGCGGUGGAGAAGAGGUCGCGUUGCGCUGGCUUGGCUUCACGGUGGUGGGAUGGCUGGGCGGGCUGGCCAGCUGUGUGCGCAUUGUAUAUGAUUGUUUUUCACUUUUUUAAUAUUUUCUUGUGCAUUAGUUCAGAUUAGAUUAGUGAGUUUGUGUGUGUGUUUGCAGUUGAUUUGGUUAAGAUAUUUAGGUUAAAAUAAUUUUUUUUAAUAAAUUUUUUUUUUCAAAAUGUCAACAAUGCCCACAACUACCCAAAUGGCAACUAAGCAGAGUAAAAACGUAGGGGUUUUUUUUUAUAAAUAAAUAGAUUCUCGUCAUCUAUUUGCAACAAACUCAAAUCUCGGGGGAGGUUUUUAAAAAUUACCCUAAAAUUAAAUAAGCAUUUAUUAAUAAUCACUUUGGUAUACUUAUCUAAUGACCAUAAGUGUUUAUUUAAUCUCAUAAGUUCUUAUUUAAUCUCAUGAGCUCUUUUCAAUUUUUUUUGUUGUUUGUUUUUUAGUAGAGUUUUUGAAAAUUAAAUAAACUAUUUUGUCUCUACUAGAAAAAACUCAAAUUUUAGAUUUUUGUGAGUAAAUGUUUAAUUUUUUAAAAAAAUAUUAAAAUAUCUAAGAUAUCUUUCCUUUAUUUCAUAAUCUUAUUUCAUUUUUUCAUAACAUAACUUUCAAUAACUUACCUAUUAAAAUAAUUUCACAAUUUCUAAUAAAAACUCUAAUUGACAAUUAACAAUUUUUUUUUGUUUGUAAAAACUCUAUUUAUAAAAAAUCUAAUAAAAAUUCUAUUUAAAUAAAUUAUAUUUGAAAAGGUGUACUAAACCAACCUAAGAUAAAAACAAAAAUUUUUACAUCCAGACAAUUAAGCUUAAAACAAUUUCAAAUGAAUUUUAGACUAAUCAAAGUACAAUACGUACCAAGUUUGGUAACUUAUUGACAUCUUCUCAUAUAACCUUCGAUCAAGUCGAUUCUCACCUGACGACUAAUUGGUACAUCACCGUUGUUCUCUAUACUCGCAUGCAUCCGAUCACAAAUCUCACUCCAAUUGUCGUCUUUCUUCGGCGUUUUAGCACAUCCUUCUUGAAUUUCCCGCAUUUCGUUCCCUCCUGUUACAAGUCUCCGGUCAGGUCAGUUCUCUUGACGAUUAAUUCGGCAAAUCUCGAAUCUCUUCUCGCGUCGUUUCACUUCAAUUUUUUGUGUCUCCUUUCAGUUUUAGUGAUUGAAUCAAUUUUAUUGCAGUCUGAGAGAAAUUAAGUAAUGCUCUUGGAUUUAAAUUUUUUUUGCUUUCGACUUUAGAUCUCGAAAGUCAAACUCUGCUACGAAUCCUUAGAUUCUCAAUGUUUAUAAUCUUAUUUGUGUUUGACCAGGUAACUGGAUCGUGAAAUUCGUCGUUUUGUAUCAAUUCAAGCUUUCGCGAGCUCAUGGAAUCACCUGGUGAGUUGUGGUGAAACGUUAUCGUUUCAAUUUUCGCUUAAUUCUUUAUUGCAUAUUUUUUCUCUAACAUUUCAGUUUAAUUUAGAAAAGAAAGAGGACCCAAAAAGAGAGAGAGAGAGAGAGACUCUACCAUACUCAAUUCCUUGCUCAUUCUGAUUUGGCCUGAAUGUUGGCAUUGACUAUUAUUUGUUUUCAUUUCGAUUUAAUUCUCAUUUAGACAGUCUUUACUAACGGUCAAUAAUAGUUUAAGGAAAAUGAUAAUAGGGAUUCUGCAAUAAUCUUUUUAAGGAAAAUGAUAAUAGGGAUUCUGCAAUAAUCUUUUUAAGGGAUGUAUAACUUAUUAAUCAGAGUCCUGUUAUUAUGGUUUGACACUACUGACAUAUUGUGUUGGUAUUUAUUUGUACUUCCCUUGGUUGAAUUAUUUGCUGUCCCCAUGCCAUUCGAUAUGGUGCUACUUGGUUUUUGAUCAUCCAUGACGCUAUAUAUAUGUAAAGGAUGAAUUGAUUGUUUUGGCUUGUAUUCUCACAUUUUAUGAUUGAUCGAUGGAAAGGUCUUCAUGUAUUAAAUUCAACCUCACAAGCGUAAGAUUGACAGAUUCUGGGCAAAUUUUCAGGAAAAGAAACUAGACUUCAUGGAAGCAAUGAAGCUUGAAAUUGAACGUCUGCAGCUGAAAGGGAUAGAGCUUUAUUGUCAAUUGGAACUGAUCCUGCCUCUAUAAAUCCAAAUGUAUUGCUUGAUGAAUCUUACAUGGGAAGACUGUCGAGUAGCAACCACUCUUGCAUUACUUGGCCAAACUUCCCUAGAAGACAAAAUUGUUGGUGCAAUGGCCUUGAGAAUAGUGAUGAUAGUGUUUUAGACUUCUGGAAUAUUACUAGAAUCGGAGAGAGUUGUUCUGGUGGCGCGUGCAAGGUUCGUGCAGAAACUAAGGUGCCUGCUCUUGCUUCCUCAACUGCAGCAUCUGUUGGAGCUUCACAAUCCCCUUUGUUGUGUUCUCUGUUGUGUUCUCUGUUGUGUUCUCAAUGUGAAAGAAAAGUUUGCAAAGUUUGUUGUGCAGGAAGAGGAGCUCUACUGUUUUCAAAUUAUAAAUCAAGGGAUGUGACCAACUACAAUGGCUUCUCAAGUCAGAGUGGAUCAAGCCAUGGAAGCCAAGUUGAUGUAUCUACCAGUCGUUCACUAACACUGGAUGGCGUUAUCUGUAAACACUGCUGCCAUGAGAUUGUGCUUGAUACAAGUUCACAACACCAUUACAAAGGAUUCAAAAUUCCCACACGAAAACAUCAAUGUACAGAUUAUAAACAAUCCGAAUUGGACACAAGAAAAACCCUUCAAUGGAUUGCUUGCCUUCCCAAUGCUAUAUACUGUGCAAACUGCGCACUGUCCAAGAAAAUGUUUUCAAUUUAGUGUAUUUUCAAAAUGCUUAUUUUCUCAGAAUAUAUAAAAAAAAAAAAAGAAUUCUUACAUGUUUCAUCAGCAUGAUUAAAAUCAAAGAAGAAAGCGAGACAUAAUGUCUCUGACAUAAUAAAAUUACAAAAAUUUAAAAAAAAAAAAGUUAAAACAUGUAAUCUUCAUAAGCAUAUAAUAAAAUAACACUUCCACAAAUUACUACAAUUUCAUGCAGUAGAGAUUGAAGAGUUGAAUUCCACUUAUAGACACCGACCUCUUAUUUUGUCUAAUGUUAACAAUGAAAAUAACAACAGUAAUGAAAACAACAACAGAAUACAACAACAGAAAACAACAAUCCGCUCUGCAAAUUCUCUUGGGACUUGGUUCCAAUUCCUCUUCAUCCGAAGUUCCACUCGAAUCAAAUUCACUUGCAGCAGUUCCACUCGCGCUUGGCAAAUCAUCCAAUUUCCAAACUUCGGUAGCAAAAUUGAGAGUAAAAGUGUUGGCUUUGGUCUCGCUGGGAUUUGCAUAUACUGGACAUACUCCGUAACGUUUUACCUUGUGACCCUUUUGGUUUUGGUAACAAUUAUUGAAGAACUUAAGUGAGACAGUUGUAUGAUGGUAACCAUCAGGAAAGCCAACAUUCAAGCAAGGUUUAAAACCAAGUAUGACAUGAUCUGAAUCAAGGGAGUAUUUAUUUCUAACACUUGUGGUUGCGGGCCCACUGAAACCUAGAUCAACAUGUUUGGUUUCAGAGAGAGUCUUUAUUUCUAAGUCGAGUUGAGAGCGGCCGAAAACAUUGCAGCAAUAACAAGAACCAACUUUCUUAAAAUUAAGAACCGCACAAAAAGCAAACCCGAUUAAGUUUCUGCAAGAAGAGUGCGGUGGCAGUUGAAUACCUAUCGAAGAUCCUGAACUUUGAUUGUUGAACCAGUCAGGAAUUUCGCUCCCAGGUAAAACAAUUAGGGAUGUCCUGAGUUCAGAAAGUUUCUGUGAAAUGACAUUUAAAAAAAGAAAAUUGUAAAAUGAAAACCAUGAUUUCAGAUAUAACAAAGAGGGACAGAGUAAACAAGAGAGGGAACUUGAUGCGUUCUAAAUGUUCCAUUUUCUCCAAGAUUUCUGGGAAACGCUCAAGGUUCAAGCAGCCAUGAAGAAAAAGCUCAACCAAAGAUUUCAAUUUACAAAACCUAGUUGAAAUCCUCUUCAGCCGUUCGCAAUCCCUCAAAUCCAACUUUUCAAGAUCAGUUAGGCACUCUAUUGAUGAUGGAACUUCUUCUAUUGCAGACUGGCUUAAGUAUAGCCGUGUAAUUUUCCCAGAAAUCUGUGGAAACUCUACGAGAUUAACACAAUAGGAGAAAUUAAUAGUUACUGGACAAACAAAAUGAAGAUUGCUUGGAAAAGACCUAAGACUUUUGCAGCCCACAAAAUCCAACCUACUGAGAUACUUGAAAUUCUGGAUAGAUGAGGGAACACAAGCCAUUUCUCCUUCCCAAAUUUGCUCAACUUUACUAAAACGCAAAUUCAGUCCAACAAGGUUCUUUGGCUUGAAAUUUGAUGGCAGUGUCCUUAAUGGAUAUGUGUCCCAAUGAAGAUAUCUCAAUUUUUUAGGAAGAUAAUCUAGGCCAUUUGGAAGCUGCACUUUAGAGUACGAAAGUUGCUCUUCAAUGCUCAUACUUAGAAGCUUUUCAAUCUCAUACUUAGGUACAUAAAAUUUGAGCAAUCUCAGAUUAGACAUAUUUGUGAAGGCUCCGGGGUCUAAAUUGAUGCCUUUUAUUUUGGACAAAUCCAAAAAUAUGCCUUCAAUUGCAUCGGUCCCCUUAUUAAAAAAAAAAAAAAAACAAAGAAUGGGUAAGCCUAAAACAGAAAAGAAACAUUCGUAAACUUUAUUAACUAAGAGCUCCUAAAACAAAACAAAUUCUACGAUCUUUGAUCUUAUUUUUUUAAUAUAUUAAAUAUCUAUAUGCGAGAAAAGAAAAUUUUGGGAACCAUUGCAAAAUUAAACUAACCGAAAAAAAAAAUCAAAAUUUCUCUAAUUUACAAACCUGUUAUCUUACUAUCUAGAAGUUGAGAAGACAGGGCCUAUUUGAUUGGUAUAAGAUUUCGAUUUUUUUUUUAGUCCAUAGAAUCCAAAAUGUUAGUUCAAAAUUAGGGAAAAAAAUGAAAGUUAUUUUUUUUCCACUAGUUGUAAUUGUAUCCAAGUCAAAUUGAGAUAUGACCCUUUUCGAAAGGAUUUAAUCAUCUUAUAGCCUCCUUAAAGGAGUGAUUGGAGGCCUAACUAGGUAGGCCAAUCAGUCCAUUUUAUUAGCGACUAUUGCUUAAAAACAUUUAUACUCUAAAACACACUUACUUUUUUGAAAAAAAAAUAUAAUUAUAUUGAAGUAGAACCAGGUGGGCCAAUCCUCAUGGCACUCACUUUGUUCUGACACUCUUCACUAAAUUUGAAAAAAAAUAAAAUUAUACUCUUCACACUCUUAUUCAACAUUCCAAAAUUGAUAAAAUCUGGAGUUUUCAUUAAAAAUUUAAAAUUUGAAGACUUGUUCUCUUGACACCCUCAGUCAUUAAUUUUACCUAAUUAUGGUUUUUAUGAUUUUGGUUGUUUUGUUCAUAAAAAUGAUUUUACUAAAGGAUGUUCUGGUAAUAAUAAAAUUUAUAAAAAAAAACAUGGUUGUGCUGGUAUGAUUGGAAAAAUAUGAGUGCAUAACUCCAAACAAAUAAAAGAUAUAUAAAAAAAAAUGGAGGAUUCUUACCAUAUUAUGCUUUAGUACGCGGCGGAUUUCCUUAGGAUCCCACAACCUCUUGCGUUUGCCUGGCUCUUUCUCAGAUUCUUGGCGUCGCCCCAUUUCUUGCAAUAUAUCAUGCAUUUGCAAGCGGUUAUAUGACACUGUUAUGAGUGACUUAUCAACAAGGACAUCCAGUCCAACAGACUCAGAAUCAUCAAGAAUCCUUGCCACAAAAUCUUUAUCCUCUCCCUCAAAGAAACACGCAAUAUCUAGAAAUAUGCUCUGCACCCUGGGCGUUAAUUCAUCAAAACUAAUCUUUAAUUUCUUAUAAAUAGCAUGAAUAUCAGAUUCACAAAUCCGAUUUAAGUCGUGCAAUACUUUUCCCCAAUGGCUUUUCCCCUUGAGGGAGGAACCCAACACUUUAAGAACUAAUGGAUUGCCAUCAGCAUACUUUACAACUCUCCGUGAGUCAGGUUUGAAAUCUUCAGGACAAUGCUUUUCUUUAAAAGCGAAGUUACAAAAAUGCUCGAAAGCCUCAUGAAAAUCCAUUCCAUUAACCCUAUAUAUUUUCUUCUCCUCCACUCCAAAUUUUUCGAGGACUCCUUUAUCCCUAGUGGUUACAACAAUUCUACUUCCUGGAACAAAUUGAUCAAGCUCUCCAAUCAGACCCUCUAAUUGUCCAACUUCAUUCACAUCAUCGAGUACUAUCAACACCUUCAUACGCCGGACCCUCUCUUUAGUAAAAUGUGGAAUAUUGGCACCAGCUACUUCAAGUUUUUCGCUUAAUAUUGUUGAAAGCAUUUCCUUUUGUAGGUCUUCUAGGCCACCCUCUGUUUCUGAUUUUCUCCUAACAUUUUUUGCAAAGUAUUUACCAUCAAACUCACCAGAGAAUUGAUUGAAAAUAGCUUCAGCAAGGGUGGUUUUGCCGAUACCACCCAUGCCCCAAAUUCCAACAAUUUGGACAGUAUCCGACAAAUCCAUACACAAAAAUGGUUUAAUCUGCUCAAUUCGUGAAUUUAAUCCAACUAGGCCGUUGGAUGAGUCCGUUGAGACUGUUAUUUUUUCCAACUUCUUCAAAACAUCUUCGACAAUUUUGUUUACAAGUUCCGCAUCGUGCCUAAUAUAAAGGUGCAAAGAUGCAAAAACAUUGAGUCAAAUCGGGCCAACACAGAAACAGAGAUAAGAUGAAUUAGGAAAGAGAGUUACCUGAAUUUCGUGGAUUCGUGGCCAGCAAGACCGGAUGUUUCUCUCAGUGCAUCCCUCCACCUCUGAACCAUUUCUGGCUUCUCUUUGAACUGUUGUUCGAGCUUACCAAAGCCGACCCCAAAAAUCCCAGUUUGAUGCCGCACAUCGGACGGACUUACGCCAUAGAAAACCGGAAUAAUGAUUUGGCCGUUUGUGUGCUUGCAUUCAAGAAUCUCGACAAGUUCAUACAGGCACCAUUUUGAAGAAGCGUAGUCCGUUGAGAAAAUGACCACCGAAAUUUUUGAACCUUGGAUUGCGUUCAAAAGGGCAGGUGAAAUCUCAUCUCCGCGCCUAAGCUCUUCAUCAUCAAUAAAUGUUCUGAUUUUCUUUCUUUUAGACAAAGCAUCAUAGAGAUGGCAAGUAAAGAUCGCACGAGUGUCCUCCCCUCUAAAAUUGAGGAAGACUUCAUAAAUGCAAGGAGAAGAAGCCAUGAAGGAAAUAUUAGAAAUUUGGUGACAGAAACAGAGAAUUAAUCUUGAGAGCUGAGAGAGGAGAUGUAAGAAUGAACAUGUGUGAAUAUUCUUGCGAGUACAUAGUAAAUAAUUGAAUGGCUCGAGCUUUCUUAGUUUCCUGGAAAUUUCCUGGAGCUUUCGUAUACAUGAUUUGUCAAGUCAAGAAACAUAGUCAUGAUAAUGGGGCAGACCAGGAAGAAAAGGAAAUUGGAAUUUUGUACAAUUUCUCCAGCGAGGAACUUUCACUGUCAUUACCUCACCGUUACAGUUUGGAUUAGGGUAAUUUUUACCCCGCACCCAAAUGUUUUGACAUACAGCACAACGCACCCAAUUCUUUUGCCCAUGAGCACCGCGCACCCAUUUCCGUUUAUUUUUCAGUUAACUGUAACAGAUCAGGGUAAAAUUGGAAUAACGCAUCAAAAUUUAAAAAUAAAAAAAUAGGUAAACUCGAUGUUUGCGCCAAAAUAAUUUCACAUCACUGUGCUUAUGUUCACUGCGUUUGCGUGUGAGACCAAGAAGCAUGGCCACACCUCCAUUGAUGCCAAAAUCGAGGAGGUGGGUGAAGAAGAAUUGGCGCCAAAAUCAUUCACAUAUGAUGUGCAAGGAAAUUAUUUCAGCCUUUAAAUACUUUUUUAUUACAGCAGCAUCAGCUAUUGCUCUGUUUCGAAGAUCUGCUCAAUUUCUAAGACAAUAGUUGGUUUGAGAGUUUAAGGGAAGUGAAUCCACUGAGCGUGCUAUUGAAGAAGUGGAGGUCAGUUUCAUUUCUUGCUCAAUUGUUUUAAUUUAUUCCAUUUUGUUUGCAUGUCAAUUAUUUACACAUUUUUAGCUGGAUUUUGCUUAUCUAUAAAACUUGAAUCAUUGUUAAUCAAAUCAGCUAUAAUUUACGCCUCAAUGUGGUUUGUAAGUUUAAGUUAUGUUGGAUUAUACCUGAAUAAUGUGGUGUUUGCGUUAUUGAUUUCAAUUUCUAUUGAUGAUUUUGAGUAUACAUAUUAGUGGAUGAAAGUUUUUAAUUAGGAUGAUUGGUCACGCAUAUAUGUCAUAGCAACUGUGUUUUUUUGGGUUAUGGUUGUACUGUAGAUCAGUAGUAGUAGUGAUUUGGAUAUAAACGCUAGUGCUUUUAUUGUAAAUGAUAGUGAUGAAGAUCCAGUGUUACAGAAUUUGAUGUAAAAGUUAUUGGUUUUUGGCUAAAUAUCUUAGAUAAAUAUGAUGCUCAUGCAAUCAAAUCCAAUGCUUAUGCAAUUUACACCAUGUUUAUGAUAAGUAAUUAAAAAAAUAAAUGACUAUUCCAGGUGAAAAUGGAUGAUGAUGAUAUUACAACUGUUCUUUGUACAUUCAAGGGCAAGACAUAUAAUGUUGGUGUAAUUGAUCCAGAUAAGUUUAGUAGAGUUUCUGUAAUUAACAAGGUUUUAGUUAGAGUCUAUGGAAGAAAGAUGAGGCCUGAUGAGAAGUUUACACUAAGUGUUUGGGUACCAUGGGUCUAUAAGGAAGUAGAGAUUAUGUCUGAUCAUGACUUAAUAUUCCAGCUGAGAGAGCAUAAUAAGAUGUUGUUCUACUGCAUGCAAUUGUAUAUUGAAGAAAUCCAUGUACCUCAUGAGUUUGUACCUAGAAGGGCUUUGUUUCAGCACUCAGCAGAAGAAAGCUUACAAGGGUAUGCUGAAACAAACUUUCCAGCCACUACUGACCUGCACAAACCUUAUACACAUGCUACAUCCACCAACACAAAUCCUUAUGAAAAUGACAGUAAUGACCAUUCGAACCAUGAACCCCCUGUCAAGAACUCCAGCAGCAUAAUGAUGCAUAAUGUUGCACUUGAUAGCAUCCAAUCACAGACCAAACCAGAUACCAACCCUGACCUAUAUCAAGACUUUUUGGAUACCUAUUUCAGAUCAUCACCACAACAGAAAACACCAUCAGCUGCCCAAACUAAUGCCGAAAAUAGUGAUAGUGAUAACACAUCUUCAUUUGGUACAAAUAAGACUCCUACUGAGCAGCUUCAACAAAACUUUGCCAUCUCUUCUGAGUUGUCCCCUUUAUUGCAGCAACAUGGACAUCAUGCAUCCCAAAAUGAACCUAUACCUUUUCACCAACCUGAGUUCUCAUCUCAACCAAUAACUCAAAACCCUCAGUCACAAGUUGUACAAGCAGAAAACUUCCAGCAACCAGAAGCCACUACACCAGCACUAGUAGAUUAUAACUCAGAUGAUAGCCAUUAUAGUGUAACUGAUAGUGAGGAAGAUCCAGAUCAUCCAUUAGGUGCUCCAAACAUUAAUAAUACUCCUAGGAAACCUUCUGUUAAUGUUGACUUAGGCUCUAUGCCUUCUGAUGAUAGUGAUGAAGAUUGUAUGCUAUCUGAUUGUGAGAGUGAUGACAAUGAGUUUGGGGAAGAAUCUGAUGAAGAGAUUGAUCAAGUGCUGGUCAGAAUGGAUGCUGUUAUGAGAGAGAACAUGUACAUUCCUAGUGAUACACCUGUUCAAUUCUUUAUUGGGCAGUGUUUUAGGAACUUCAGGCAGCUGGCAUGGGCAAUAAGGACUUAUGCUGUGGAAAACAAGUUCAAGGUUUAUAAGCACAAGUUUGAAAAAUCCAGAGUAACUGUUGGAUGUAAUUAUUUCAGGUGCCCAUGGUUUUUACAUGUUGCAAAAACUAGAUUUGGACAAACCUUUAUUGUUAGGAGGCUUCACAACGUACAUACAUGUCAGAGAGACUUAAAGAAUCCUGAAUGCACUGCAGAGUUCAUUGUUGCCAAGUUUGCUGCAACUAUAAUUGAGCAUCCAGAUACAAAGGUUGGGUGGAUUCAAAGUGAACUUAGAAGGAUGUAUGGAGCUAAGAUACACAAGUAUAAAAUUUAUAGAGCAAAGAAGAAGGUUUUACAGAGACAAUGAGCUGAUUAUGAGUCUAGUUACAUGUUGAUCAGAAAUUAUGCUCAGGCCAUACUUACUAAGAUGCCACAGGCCUUGGCAUUGGUUAAGGUUUUCAGGAUGCAUGGUCAACAACCUCAAACUCACUUUGACAGCACUGUUAUAUCUUUCCAUGCCCUCAGAGAUGGCUUCAACCAAGGUUGUAGACCCUUCAUUGGUAUUGAUGGAUGCCAUUUGAAGGGUCCAUAUAAGGGUGUUCUUUUAUCAGCAGUUGCUAUUGAUGCCAACAAUGGAAUCUUCCCACUUGCAUUUUGUGUAUGUAGUGUCGAGAGUACAACCAGCUGGACAUGGUUUCUAAGCCACUUUAGGGAAUUUUUACAAGAUACAAGACAACUGACCUUUAUGUGUGAUAGGCAGAAAGGAAUUCAGAAUGCUCUUGCCUUAGAGUUUCCUAAUGCACAUGUUAGAUUCUGUGCUAGACACAUCUUAGCAAAUAUUAAGUUAAAACAUCCUCAAUCUGACUUUAAAGCAUAUUUCUGGGCAGCAGCAAGAGCAUCAAACAGAAGGGCAUUUGAUGAUGCUAUGCAAAACAUAAGAGCAGCACAUGAGGGUGUAUAUGAGACUCUUAGGAGGAUACCACCAAAUUUCUGGUCAAGGCAUGCCUUUGACAAUAAUUGCAAGUCUGAUCAUUGCACUAACAACGUAACUGAAUCUUUUAAUGCAUGGAUUGGGAUUCAAAGAAAGUUGCCAAUAAUCUCAAUGCUGGAGUGGAUUAGGAAGAAGCUGAUGAAAAGAAUGAUUGGAAGAAGAAAUAAGGCAGAGUCUUGGGACAGUGAUAUACCAAGAAGAAUUUAUGCACAAAUGAUGAAGAAUUUACAGAUUGGCAGUGCAAACCCUAUCUGUAGAGCUAGUAAAUGGCUUUAUGAAGUGGAUGAAAAUACCAAGACUUAUAUCGUUGAUCUUGAACACCAUAUGUGUGACUGCGGACAAUGGCAAGUUAGUGGGAUUCCAUGUGUACAUGCAAUGCCUUGUAUUGUGAAUAGUCAAAAAGAUCAAGCUCAGUUCAUUAGCCAAUGGUUGAAGAAAGAUACUUACCUAAGGUGUUAUUCUGGAUUGAUUAAACCAAUUCCAGAUAGAACGUCAUGGGUAGAUGCUGGUGGUGAUGAAAUACUGCCCCCUUUAGUGAGAAGACCACCUGGACGACCUAAGAUGACAAGAAGAAGAGAAGCUGAUGAGGUACCAGCACAUAAUAAACGAUACAAGAUGCAAUGCACUAUUUGCAAGGGAUUUGGACACAACAGAAGGGGUUGUCCUGUUAACCCUCAUAAUGCUCACAAGACAACAAGACAAUAUAAGGUGAGUGUGUAUGCUUGUAAGAGAAUAUUCAAUUAUUUUUUGAACCAUGUUCCUCCCAUGUGAUGACAGCUAAUGUGCCUUGUUUGUUUGUGCUUUUUUAUAGAAUAACCUGAAGAAGCACGUGACAAGGACAAAUGGGGAGCAAAGUGAAGGUAUAAGAGUAAUUUACUAAGUUAUAUUACUAUAUUACUUUACAGCUGUAUUAGAUAAUUAUAUAGUUGUGUAUCACCAAACUAUAUUAAAUUAACUUAUUUAUUUAACGUUGCUUUAUUGGUAAUUUAUAAGGCCAAGUUCACGGAAUUACCUCAACUAUUUUGGAAAGCCAAGACAAUGACAUGGUCCAAGUAACUGUCUCAGGCCAAAACAUAACAAAGAACCAGCAGACUGCAUCUAACAAACGCAAGAUUGGCAAUCAAGCAGGGCCAUCAAAAGCAAAUGAAGUCAUUGGCAAGAGCAUGAAUGGGGUCAUAUCUGUAGCUCCAUGGGUAGGUGAACAGGGAAGAAAAGUAAUGUCAGCCGCUGGAUUAACCUUCAGCAAAGAGGAUGAAGUCGGCAACUAUACUGAAAUGAAGCAUUUGGACAAAGGGAAGGCACCAGCCUUCCCUUCGUAAAGGGUAAAACCAUAGUUUUCUAUUGAUAUAAAUUAAUAUUGGUUUUGGAAAUGAUAUUUAUAAUUUGUAACUUGUUUUGUAGUGAUUCUUUGGCUAUGAUGGAGACAUUGGCAGCAAACUUAUUAACAAACAGUGGAGGCAACAUUAUCAUUUUUUGACACCUUCCACAAUGCCACAUCAACCCACCAGGCACAAGGUUAAGGUUAUCUGGAUGCUGAUUUCAUUAGGAUCAAGUGGCCAAGUAAUGACCAGGCAUGUCAUUGUUUUCUUUUUCUUUUUUAUUUUGGAGCUGAAAUUGGUGGAAGUUGUUGGACAUUAAGCUUAAGCAUUAUAGAGCUGGAAGCUGUGAUGACCUACUAUAAGUAUGAUUGGAAGGGUUUAUGGCAUUUUGAAAGUUUUUGGGAUUAAGAUACAUAUAGGACUGAUAUCAACCAAACCAACACUUUUUUUUUUUGUUUUUUGGUCACAUGUAUGUAAACACCAGAUUGGAUGUGACUAACAUUGUAAGUUGCUGCCAAUAUGCAUUUAUAGAUAAAAUAACUUAUUGCUAUUAUUGAUAUCAUAUUUGAUUAAAUGGUAUAUGUCAAGAAACGAAUGCAUUUUAUUGAUCAUAAGAUUUCAUUUUACACAUUGUUCUAGCAUUCCUUACAGUACAAUACAAGCAAUACAAGUAUAGUUAUCACUAUAAUCGUGAUUUGAUACUUCUUAUUUUUAUGAAGUAAACCUUCAAUAUUGAUGAACCUGUUGUGGAAGUCCUCAAUGUUAAAUUGUUGAAUCUCACUUGCCCUGUCUGCAGCUUCUUCUUCAAACCUUUGUAACGCUGCUUCAAUUUCUAUAGCCUCACCUGUAGAUGGUUUCCACCAUCUAAAGAAACCACAAGAUGGGUCAUUAGGGCAUGUGUAAUAUAGUUUGUUGGGGUUUGUUUUUGAUUCUGACACUUUGAUUUCUGCCCUUCUUCGACAGUAGCAUACUGUGUUAUAGAACUUGAUGAUGCCCCCAUUGAUUUUAGGUAAAUCCCUUCUUCUGUUAUAAGUUGAUGAACUUGAUGCAUUCCUUGAAGUGGACAUUUUCUUCAAAUUUCCAAUGUCGUGUCUGUUAUAUUCUUUUUGAAAUACAGCACAACGUAUCUGAACUUCAAGUUGUUGUGCUUGUUUUGUGUGUGAAUGAAGCUGCUGUUGAAGUUGUAUUGUUUCGGUGGGUAAAACCAAAUGUUGUACUACUGUAAGUUGUUGCUGAGUAAAAAAAAUGGUGGAGUUUCCAGGUGAGUCAAUGAAAAUCACUGAGGUGUGAAGAGGGUAGGAAUUUAUAUGUGUUAAACAUCACAGCUUGUGGUGAUGCAUCAGCUCAAAUUUAUCAAUUUCUUUUACUGUUCUUGUAACCAUAUAGCCGUUAUUACUGUUGCUCAGAUUUUAUAGCCGUUGGAUUUUUGAUGCGCAUGGUAAUAAACCAAUAUGCUAAGGGCAAUAUAGUCAAUAUAAUUUAACAGUUAUAGUUGGUCUUCGUGUGUAAAUACACCUUUAAAUAAUGGCCAGUGGUAAAUUCCUUAGUUCAAUGACUCACCUGGAUGCAUUUGAAUUCAACGCAAGGGUAUAUUUGUCAUUUAAUCAAAAUAUAGACUGAUCCGUUACAAUUAACUAAAAAAUAAACAGAAAUGGGUGCGCGGUGCUCAUAGGCAAAAGAAUUGGGUGCGUUGUGCUGUAUGUCAAAACAUUUGGGUGCGGGGUAAAAAUUACCCUUUGGAUUAUGAUUUGAGGGUGCAAGUAUUUACCUAGAGUUUACCUCCGCACUAAAUUCUUAAGUUUUGAAAAUUAUGAGACCUUUAUAUUGGGAGAUAUUGUAAUCGAAUCAAAACUUAAAUUUUUUAUAAUGUUAAUAUUUAAUCUUUUAAAAAACAAUAACCUCGCCGUUACAGUUUGGAUUAAGAUUUGAGUAAGUAUUUACCUAAAUUUUACCUCCGUCUGUAAAUUCUUAAGUUUUGAAAAUUAUGAGACCUUUAUAAUCGAAUCAAAAUUUUGAAUUUCAAUAUUAUUAUUCUUUAAAAAAAAUUUUGAGAUAACAGAGUGAUUGAUAAUAUAGGAGAACUUGUCUAGGCAAGCACAUGUAUACACAGAAACGUGAUGGAUUCAAAAAGAAAUUAAAGUGAUAAUGCGAAAUCGCUUGGUGGCCCAGUAAAAUUACGACUGAAUUUUUUUUUUUUUUUUUACAAAAUUCAAGCUCAUAAAUGACAAAUUUCAUUUCCCUUUCACACGUCAUUAACUUUUGUAACAUGGUGUGUGCAUCGUCAAGUGAGGCAAAAGGGUUUCAAUUACAGUUGGAAAACAUGAACAAGAAUGCAUAAUGAAUAAUUCCUUCGAUAAACCGAAAAUUAAGCACAGAAUAAUCCUAAAAUUUAAACUCUAAUAUCUUAUAAUGUAUUGAUUAAAAAUAAUCCUAAGAGCUCCCAAUUGAAACUUUCAUAAGUAUUUUAAUUGUUUUGGAUAAACAAAUUGCACUAGGAUAAAAAUUUGGCAAAUUCAGAGGAUAAUGGAAAAUAGUUAUGCUUCAAUAGGCCAAAGAUUAGAGAACAAAUAAGAAUUAUUUAUUGAUAUACAAAAGAGAAACACUCCAAAAUUUCAAGCAAAAAUAGUUUCAUAUAUCAUUUCGAUUUUGAAAGGGAUGAGAUUUUGAACUUCAAUAGUUUCCUCUAAAAUUAAAAGGUAGCAAUUAAGCUAAAAAGAGCAAUGAAGACUUAUUGGUACCUUAUUAAAGGUAAACAUUAUGGAACUUUCAAUGUCAUUAUCUCACUGUUCAAUUUUUAUUGAGAUUUGUGUAAGCAUUUACCUAAAUCUUACCUCCGCCUUUAAAUUCAUAAGUUUUGAUUAAUUAUGAGACCUUAUAUUGGGAGAUAUUAUAAUCAAACUAAAACUUAAAAUUUCAAUAUCAUUAUUCUUUAAAAAGAAAUUGAGAUAUCAGAGUAAUAUCACAUAGAAAAACUUGCCCACGGACGGUAAGCCAAAAGUCUAGUCAACCACACGCAUAAAGCUAACUAGAACAAGAGAACAGAGAAACGCGUGGGUCCCUAAAAGAAAAGGCAAGCACAUAAAUAACUUUCAAAAUGCCCAAGCAAAUACCGAUGAAAAUCACUGUUUAAGAAUAAUUUAUUAUGUGGUUGAAGCUUUCUUUUUAUCAAUCUUCUUUCUACCCAUUAAUUUUCCCACGACUUUCCCGUUUCAUUUCUUGAAUCUCCAUGGAUUAACUUUCAAUAAACCAUAAAAUAAACUAAGGAAUCAUUUUCUCGAAUACAGCUAUGAUUUUAAUAAAUGGGCGGACCAUCUAGAAUAGUAUAUAUAAUUCUGUUUAAUUAAUAAGUUGAAAAAACCAUCAAGAGAAAUUCUAAUAUUAUGAGCUUGACACGAAUUCUUCACUAAUUCCAAAACAAGGAGCUGUUUUAUAAGAACUGUGGUUGGAUUAUUAAGUUUUACAAUUUGAAUAUAAAUAAGAAAAUAAAAUCAGUCGCGUUGAUGUUUUCGAUACAUUUCGCUGCUAACUUUUUUUUUUUUUUUAUUACAUGAGACUAUUGCUCAAAUUACAACUCAUAUUACAUGAGAAUAUAACUGAUAUUUACAAAUCAGACUAUAACUGGGACCAAUAUACAUCAAUACUAAUGGAGCGCUGCCCAGAUUUUAACCCUCUCAAAUAUUCAAGGGAUGUCUACACCUCACACUUGGGUAAGGAAACAGACUGUCUUCACUUAAAUUUACUUGAGGAAUGAAGACCCCCACAAUACAUUGUGGGGGUUCACCACUCGACCAAAGGCCGAGUGGCUCAUUUCGCUGCUAACUUAAUUAAUUACUUUACUUCAACUUUAUUUCCUUAGGGGCACUUUAUGGUGGGUCCAAGAUGGGACCUACAAUAAUCAAUCCUAAAAUUUAGUAUGGUUACCAAAUAGCUAGUAGCUAGUGUUAUUUUGUGUUUGGUGGAAGAGAUUGAAUAUUUAGUUUUAACUUAACCAUUCAACUAAUUAGAAAAUAAAUAAAAUUAAAUGAAAUGUUUAGAUAUCAAUUUAAAUAUUAAUAUCGGGGAUAUAAAUUAGUUAUAAUAUAGUUCAUUACAUAAAAUUGAUUAAAUUAAUAAUUACCCGUGAACAUAGAUGUAUAUGCUUUCCAAUUUCCAAAGUGCUCAAAGCACUUUUCUCACCAAACUUUCCUCUGAAUUUCCCGUAGCUGACUCCUUUGUUUGCGUUUUGUGAAAUUUCUAGGAACUUUUUUCGAUUUAGAAUAUUGUACAUUUUUCUUUUCAGCUGAGAUUAAUUUAACUUAUAGAAAAUCUUAUCCUUUUUUAAUAUUAUUUAAAUAAAAUUUGUCUAUCUUUUAUUUUAUUAGUCUACUUUUUACCCAUUAAUUAAGACUUUUCAAUUUCUUUUUUACCUGAGGUUUUCAGUGACUAUCUUUCAAUAAACCAUAAAAAUUACUUAGUCAUUUAUCGAACAAUUAGAUGACCAUAUUUCAAAAUAUCAACUAGAAGUUGUCCUGAAAUAUUUAAUUAAUAGUUGAAGAAUUGUGAUUAGUGUGGGCAUCUACAUAAAAAUUAUAUUAAAACACCGCUAAAAGAUAAAAAUAAAAUAAAAUAGUACAAACAUACACCCAUAGGUUAAAACAAAGAAAAAACACGAACCAAUACACUAAAAUGUUUUAGCUGUAGUUAGUUUUCAGUUUCAUUACUUAAGUCCCACGUGCAUGUCACGUGACUGAGGUCAAAAAAUGAUUGUCACAUUAAAGUUCAAAAUACGGAGCAGGGUAAUUAAGGAGUGGAGCUAUUGGCACCCCUCCAUUAUUCUUACAAAACUCCACUUUAAAUCAAAAUAUAAUUAAGAAUAAUUGAAAAUUAAACACUUAUAGAUUUCUUUACAACAUGUUGAGUGAUAAAAAAGCACCAGUCGGGCAUGUCCCCAUUUCUUACCCGGUGCCGAAUCUCCACGGUCGAAUGGUAUGAGUAGACUCUUGGUGAUGUCUUCUAUGUGGAGCACGUAACAACAGACCAGGAACUAGUACCAACCAAAAACGAGUACUGAUCGAAACAAGCAUGACCAGAAACGCAUACCGACCAGAGACUUGUGGGUCCGUAAAAGAAAAGGCAAGCACACAAAUGAAAAAGCCAUUACAUUUCUAUUUUACAUGUCAUUCCUAAUUUUUGUAACACGAUGUGGCAGCAUAUGCACAAUCAAAUGAGGCAAAAGGGAUUCGACUAUCGUGGCAGAACAUGGACGAGGACGCGUGAUGAAUAAUUCCUUCGAUAAAACGAAAAACAAACGCAGAGAAAAGAAUUUCUUAUAUGACAAGAAAUUAAAGUAAUGUGACGGAACAUGAUGAAGAAAUUGCAGAUCGAUCAAUUAUCCCCAUGGACUCCUAUAAAUUCAACCAAAAUAACAAUUCCAAUAUUACCAAAUUCUUGAGUUAAAUUUAUUCAAUGCUUUUUUUUAAGAGAAAUUUUUUCCAAUGCUACUUUCCCUUUUUUGGGGAAAUUAGAACUGCGGCAUGUAUAGAAGACAUUGAGGUAUAAAGCAACAUUAAUUUCAUGGGUUAUGCGUUAUACGCAUAAUAUAUUUUCAGUCCAAAUUCAACUAUGCAAAGAGGCUUGAGAACUUAAAAUUAAGCACAAACUAAACAGACGAAGUAAAUACAUGAUUAUGCAACAUAACAUUAAUUCUCUUAAUUUAUAACCGUUUUGCCACAUGAAUCUUGCACAGUUAAUCCUAAUUGAAGACUAAAAAAGAACAAUUGGAACAAGGUUUUGAAAUAGAAUGAUAGACAAUCGAUAUGAUCCAUUUCCAGUCGUCAACGCUAAUUAACUGCAGUUUCUAGACUCCUAAUUAUACUAGCCAUAAGAAACUGUUUAGAAAACUGGUGAUCAGAUUAGAUUUUGAAAUGAAAUAAUGUUCAUUUUCCCUUCGUUACCCUUUUAUUUAUUUAUUAUUUUUAUACCAAAGAAUUCUAUCAUGAAACGAAUCAAUUUAAUCACCUUUUCCAGCAGCACAAUUUUUCUUUUAUAAAAUUUGACCACAGAGACAAAGAAGAAUUAUUCAUACCUUCAUCAGUAAGGAAAUACUUUUCGGUAUGGCUAGGGUGAGAAAAGGCUUUCCACAAACACUUGUACUUUGUAUUCCUGUAAAUUUUCUUUAAAGUCAAUAAAAAUCAUAAGUUCUUUACAAUAACCAUCUCUUUGAUAAAAAAAGUGCCGUAUUCCUUUAGAAUUUAAAACCGGCAAAAUCGAAUCAGUGUCUUUGAAGAGACAUAAUGGUCAUAAUUCUUUAAAGAGUUGGCUAUGGAAAUCCUUAUCCAAGAUUCUUUUACGCCAUAUUCUUUCGUAAACCAAAAUUCAUUUUGGAAUACUCUGUUGAGAAUGUCAAAUAAAACGGUAUUGAAGGAAGUUUUCAAAGGCAGAAUCCGCACUUGUCAAAGGGAUGAUCUGCAUUUGUCAGAGACACAAUCUGCGUCGAAUGAAUCGACACAUUUCCUUUUGUAUUCGCAUAUGUAAUUUUUGAAAAAAUGUAGCUUCUGCAUCUAUAAAUAACGCUCAGUGUAUAAUGUUUUAUUCAAAAAAAGAAAACAAGUUUCUUCAUACUCGUCGUCCGAACAUACAGAGACCGUCUCUCAUAACUUCAGCCGAAUACUUAUGAUGAUGAUCAUUUGUGAUUUCAUCAGGCAUAGGGUUGAUGGUGAAAAAUUUUGUAUGUGUGAAGAAUUGAGCUGUGGAUAUAGGGGACUUAAGUGUAAUCGAAAGAGAGUUAUUAGGCCAUAGUGUAGAUUGCAUUCAGUUUAUGAGUCGAUAUGCAAAUAAUUUGUUGACGUGGCGAAAUUUGUUAUGGUCGUUACUAUUGUUUCUGGAAAUUUUCUAGAAACCUCAGCAUAAAAGGGGCUUUUGGAUAGCCUCUGGUGUGCGUGUGAUUUCUCUUUCGUUUCCUCAUCAAAUUCUGUAAUUCUUGCUUUGAUAAAAAGCUUGUAAUCUCUUCUGUAAUUGUGAUCAGUGCGUAAUCAUUUUGAGCGAUAAAAGCUUGUAGGUUUUUCCUUCAAACAAUGUCGUUUUGGUCAGUUUGUUAGUUUGAUCUGUUGGUGGAAUUUUCUUUGGUUAUUUGUUCUCAAAUUUCAACCUUAUAUAAAGUUUGAACUCUAAUGGCUUAUAAUGUAUUGAUUAAGAAUAAUCCUAAGAGUUUCCGAUUGAAAUUUUUAAUGACUAUUUUUAUUGUUUUGGAUGCACAAAUUGCAUUAAGAAAAAAUAUUGUCAAAUUCAGAGGAUAACGGGAAAUAAUUAUGCUUCAAAAGGCCAGAGAUUAGAGAAUAAAGAAGCAUUCAUUACUGAUAUAAAAACUGCUUCUAUUUGGAUUUUGAAAGGGGUGAAGUUUUGAACUUCAGUUGUUCCUCUAAAAUCAAAAGCAAUAAUUAAGCAUUCUCAAUUAGAAAGAGCAAAGAAGACUUAUUGGUACCUUACUGAAGCUAACAUUAUGGCACGGUUGUUCAUAUGUAAUGGCUGCUCUGUUAUGCUAGCUUCUCUGUUUUUGCUUCUAUUUUUGCUUACAGUUUUGAAGAUAAAUUCUUGCUCAAAUAACACAUAAUUAAAUAACACUAAUAUGGCUCAUGAAAUCCUAUAAUAGCUAAUUACGCAACUUUCUCCUCCUCCUCAAUUCUGUCUUCCCCUGCUCGGACACUAACUUCAAAAUUCAAUGCCCCGAAAAACAACACAAGAAAUCUUUGAGUUAGUUCGUGACCAGUUUAUAUAUAGUAGCAAUUGAAAAAAGAAAAAGAAGAAAAGAGUUAAUUAUUUUUCAGACCUUCACUUAUUAGGAAGUUUGUUCUGCUAUUGGGUGAGAUCAAGCUCUCAGCAUAUACUUCCACAUGAUACUUUCUAACAUUUUCUUGAAAGCCAUCAAUCAUUAAAUCUUCAUACUUUUUUCCAUCCUUUGGAUCAAUAAGUACAAAUUUCUCAUCUAAAAAAGACAAAAUAAAAUCACUGUCCUUCAUGGAAUCAGAAUUGAGCUUACAAAAACCGAAGUGGACAGUUCCAUUCAGAUUGGUCGCCCGAGAACAAUGAUGAGAAGACUUAAAAUCAGUUUCAAAGGUUUUCCAAGUAUUGUUCCUCUAAACCACUUGUAUAUUUUACCAGAACUCUUGGUUAAGAAAAUCCUAGUCCAUGGAGUAUGAUAUAUCAAUCAUGCAACAAUGACCUACAACAUCUAUGUGGAUUGAUUUUUGCAAAAUAAAGAACAAUGCUGACUGAGGAAUAAGGUGCAUACCCGAUUAGCAAUAUCUCAGCAAGUAACCAACAAUUUUUUAUCUGAUAAGAAAAAAUUACAAUUUCUUGAAUAUACAUGAAACAUUUUGCAGAAAGAACCAUGUCAUAAUUAUUAGUCCAACUGAAGAAUUAUCAAUACUUAUCACAUGAAACGAAAGAUACCCGAGUUCACUUAAUGAAAUUCUCUUUUUUUUUUCUCUAACAUUGAGAUAAGCAAAAACUUUUAACUAAAGACAAUCAUCUAGUGAUCUCAAACAAAUGAGGUUAGUAUGAAACCAUCAUAAUUUGUUCGCUCAUUGCCUAAUUUUAUUAAUGCAAGAGCCUGGAAGCAACUCAAAAAGAAAAUAACCGACAUAGGAAGUGUCAUCUCAUAUCUCACCAAUGAAUGGGAACAGCUUGAUGUGGCUGAGCAAACUGGCAGAAUUGUCAUUUUAACACACGUUCAAGAAACUCAGCAAAUUCUCAUAUCUGUUUAAAUUCCACAGCAAAGAUAGUUACAAGAAAUCUAAUCAAAAUUUAAAAUGUCAGAAGGCAAAUCUUCCAAUUAGGAUCAAAAGAAGAUAAUUAUAAUUUGUCAUUUCAAUUCUGAAUGUACAAUUUUAUUUUUUUAUGUGUGCAUUAAUUAAGAUUCUACCUUCUCUGCAAAAUUGUGAUGGACUUGGUAAAUAAUGAAUUGUAUCGACUUGAAUUUUAUACAACUUAUUGAGAUAAUAAUACGCCAAAUUCAACACCGUCCAUCCCAAAUCACAACAAGAAACUCAAACUUUUAUCCCCUCAAGUGGGUUCUUGAAACUGAAGCUUUAGUGCCAGUACAAUUUUGAAAGAUUGUGAUCAAACUAAAACAUCAAAUAAAAUAAGACGUAACAAAAACACGUCUUCAGAAAAUUAGUAUAGGAAUAAGAUAAGCUACACAGACCUACUUCAAUGAAUUAGAAAAAUUAUGAUAAACUUGAUGCAUUUCGAAAAACAACAAACAAAUAUUCCCAGGAAAACAAAAAAAAGACAACUUUGUUUAAGCUUAGACAAAAAUAACUAAGGACAUAUGAAUGCAUCAUAAUAGUAUCUCUAUGGGUAAUUUUCAGAAAUCUCCCCUAAGGUAUGGUGUAUUCUUAGUUUGAUAGAAAAUAUCUAAGUAUUCUUAUAGACCUCCCCUACUGUUAGUAUUCCAUUUCGUAUAUGUUAGGUAGAUGAGGGUAAGAUCGUAAUUUGAAUAAGUUAAUGAUAAAAAAUCCAGAAAUUUUAAGAUUUUCACAUUGGCCUCUGGGCUUUAUUCAUCUCUUUCAUCCACCAAAACCAGAAAUACAACUCACCUCUCUCCUCCACCUAAAUCGAAGCAAGGUAGCUCAAAACUCAUUUCAAAAAAUUGAUCAAUUACUUGGGUCACAAACUAGAGACAAUGACGACGAAGUUGAUGACGCCAAUAUCGACGACGAAGCUGAUGACGCCAAUAUCGACGACGAAUGAUUCGCAACUGCCAGGUAAGAGAGUAUAGUAGGUUUCGCCAUCGAACGCCCAAUCAUCCAGUUGUUUUGGAGCCGCGUUAUUUUUAUUAGCUAAAAUUAGAAUUUUUAGUGAAAAAUUGAAAGUGGGUCUCAAAAUUUUUUGAGAGCGUAUAUGUUUCUCCUGAUUUUUCGAUCGAUUCGUGUUAGUUGCAGUUAAAUGAUUAAUCCAAUUCGUGUUGAAGAUAGAGCUAACUCGAAUAUCUCUAUAGUCCUGUAAUUGAUUGAAAAUGGGUCUUGAAAAUUGUUUUAGAUUUCAGCUGUGUGCUUCUGAUUUUUUCCAUGGAUUCAUGAUAGAUGAAAAUGGUUGAUGAAGAUUUGCUUGACAUGUAUAUAGAUGGUAUUUUGUUAAAGGGGUUUUAAUUUUUUCCUUUUUUGGUGGUUUCGAUUGUGGUAUUUACAUGCCUUAGGUUGAGAAAAACGAAAAUGGUUUGUUGCACUCUUUUGUGUUGGAUCAGUGAGUUUAGGCGAUUUGAAAUGGUUUGCGGCAUUCAAUUGAUUGUUUUAUUUAUGUGGUUUGAUAUGGGAAAAGUAUAAUAAAAUUCAAUUGUUCCAUAUGUCAAUUUGGAUGUUUUGAAAUUAUGAACUACAAAAAGUUAAAAUUAAUUUCUUAUUAUAUUUUCAAUUGAAAGUUACUAUUGUCUUCUUUUUAGUACUUAGUAUGCAUUUUUCCCCAUCUUCUAGUGGUGGUGUUGCACCCAUUUUGAAUUUGAUCGGCAUCUUCUUCUGUACAUGCAUGUUUCUUGGACUCCAAUUUUUGUUUCAUAUGAUGAAGCUAAUUUAAUUCCUCCUUUUUAAUAUCAACUUUGUUCAUCUAGGUUUGCGAUUUUGAUCUUUCUCAUUUGAAGGCAAACACAUUUAUGUCAUCAAAAUUUCCAAUAUUUUUUAUUUUAUAGUAUCCAAACUGCUUAUGGCAAUAUGAAAUUGAGAAUAUUUCUUUCAUCAUGUUAACCUAAGUGGAUGGUGGAUGAUGUUUGUGUAAGAGAUUUAAGUUAUUUGUAUUAUAGAAUAUGUCUUAUGUUUUGAUUUGCAAUUUCACCAUUAAAUUGGCUUUGUAAAUGAUUAGAAGCUAAAUGCAUAAAAUGAAAACAAUAGUAACAUUUCUGAGUGGGGUAUAAUCAGAUGCUAACAUGGCGAUCCAUGACUUGUAAUUUCUAUUGUCGUUAUAAUUGGACUAGAUCGAGGUAAACUGACUUUUCUUGUUCUGUUUUUUUUUUCAUUUCUUUGUUCUAGAUUUUUCUUUCUUUGUUUUACUUCUGGUUUCUUCUUCAGCAUAUUCAAUAACUAGCAUGAGCAAAUGGAGAGGAAAAGGGUAGAAUAUGCUUUUAAAAAAAAAGAAAAGAAAAAAAGAGAUAGCUCUAAUUCAAAAAUAAGGAGGAGAAAAGGGCAAUGAUUGAAGUUGUGGAGAAGAAAUUCUUAAUGCAUAGGAGAUGACAACAAAGUGUUGCAACUGGGAGCAGUUUUAAAGUGCUAUUCGAUUGCUUUUGUAAUCAAAUUGUCUUUUGUACCUAUUUAUACACACACAUAUUUGUAUUUGUAAUUUGAAUUUUACAUUUUCUCAAGACAACUAUGUUUAUUUUAAAAAAAAUCUAAAUGUAACUAAAAUAUUAAAGUUUUUGUACUUAUUACUCCAUUUGAUGAUUUUUUUUAUUUUUUUGCUGACGAAUAUUCCAUGUCAAUUUUUUUCCCUUCAGCUCGUUUAAGGUGUUUUAUUGUCUGAUGUGAUAUUUGGUGCUCGGGAGGAAGGGUGUUUUAAGUCUUUUUUGGUGUCAGGGGCAAUUUUGUCUUUACAUCAGUCAACAAAUAGUCAAUGGAUGGAAAUGCAAACAGCAGGGGAGGUGUCUGAUAAUACACGGAUACUUUCUAUCAAACUUAUAAUACACAAAAUCUCAGGGGAGGUUUUUGAAAAUUACCCAACUGUGCAAAAUUAUGAAAAAAAUGAGCUAAACAUAUAUAGCAUUUCAGAGGAGUGCUUACUUGACAAAUCACUAAUACAAAGCUGCGAAUGGGCAUUCGGAAUGUUUUGAGAGACUCGUAUGGAUAAAAUAUGUAGUUAUUUAAGUAAUGACAGAAGGAGAAUCGUGUGGCUUGUCAAAGCCGUUAGCUCCAUCUCAUUUGCCUCGUCCUCUCGUUUUGUUUCUGUGGGGACAUAUUUGAUAUUUUGGAUUUUGUCUAAAAUUCGUCAUGUUUUUGGAUACUAACAUCUGCGCCUCUAGACCAAUAGCCAUUUGAUUAAGUGGGAGAACCCUUACACUAGUGUAAGAAUUUGAACUUUUAUAAAAUUAUUUAUGAGAUUAUUUAUAAUUUUUUUUAAUUAUCAAAUAAUUGAGUAGAGUCAGUUUAAUCCUUACGAAAUAUUUACUAUUCAUAAAUAUCUUUUUUUUUCUCUAUCUUACAAUUGAAUAUUCUCUCUCUACUCCAACAUUAUGUAACCUAAAUAUUUAAUUUCACUCUUUUUUAAUUUAUUUUUUUGUCUUUUCUUAGUAUAUUAUAAUCUUUAUUUCAUGUUUUCUAUAUAUAAGAAUUUUUUUAUAUCUAUUAAAUUUUGUGUUUAGUGAAAAUUAAUUUCUUGAUAUUUUUAAUUUUUAUAAUUGAUAAAAAUAUAUCAAUGUUCAUUUUUAAAUGAUGGGUUUUGUUCAUUUUAGUUUGUUAUAUUAAUUUUUUGUAGGUAAAAGAAUAUAUUUGAAUGAAUUGAAGGAAAAUUGUGAAAUUGAGAAGAGAAAGAGAAGAAAAAGUUAAUUAAAUAAUUUUUUCAAAAAUUAUUUAAAUAAUAAAAUUCUUAAUUAAAAACAAAGAUGGAGAGAGAAAUUUAGUGGGUUCAAAAUACUUAUUUUAAAUCCAAAAAAGAACCAAUAAAAGAAAUCAAAAGAUGAUUCUUUUCUUUCUGACAUAUUUCUCUGUACUUUUCUCUCUCUACUGAUUCACAAUUUUUCAUACUUCUAACUAUCAUUUUAUUCAAGUAUUUUGUAUUUUUAAUGACAAUUAUUUAAUUUUUAGUUAGUUUUGAUAUUGAUUAGAGAUUUAAAGUGUAUUUUAGAAGACUUCCGGUCUCUUGAAAAAAGGAAAAAUGGAGAAGAAGAAGUGUUCUUGAUUUUUUGUAGGCGUUAAAGUUAAAUGGUUUGAAAUGAUAUUCUUUUUUAAUUUCACUCAUUAAUCUCAUUCAAGAUAAAAUUAUAAAUGCAAAUAAAUGGGGUUUCAUAAGUAUUUUUAAUAGUGUUAAAAGGUCUACUCACUAAAUAAACAUGUUUAACCCAAACCAAUGCGAUUAGUAAGUUAUUGGGUUGGGUUAAUCAGGUUAAAAAUCAAAAUUAAAAAUUAAAUAAAUAAAAAAGGUAUAAAAACUAUCUGUUACUUGAAAAUAAAAAGAAUUUCUAAUUGUUAGUUCUAAUGUCCCAUAUCCAAAACAUGCAUAUUAAAUAAAUAUUAUAAGUUAGAAAUACAAUAUCCAAGAAAGAAUGAAUGAAAUACCAUAUUUUUGUUGAGAAUUAAGAGUGUGAUUUUAAUUUUGAUAUUGGAGUCUAAAGUGCCACGUUUAAAUAUUCUCUUUUAUAAAAUAAUAAAAAGAGGUUAAAAAUUAGGUUAGCAAUUUAGCCAUUUAGGGUUUAGCAAUUAAGGAUGAACAUAUUAUUGUUGUUGUUGUUAUUAUUAUUAUUAUUUAUAUGUUUACUAAUCCAAUCCAAUCCAAUUAUUAACGAAUUUGAAAAAAUUGAUUCAAUCAAGCCAUAAUAAUUCAUUCAACUCGUCUAAAUUGGAUUAGGUUGAAUUUGGUUUGCCACCCUUGUUUUGAGCAACAAACCUCAAUGUGAUUCCAUGAGCUCUUUGAUUGUUUAUAAAAUUGUUUAUGAAAGUGCAAAAUAAAUUAUUGUAUACAUUAAAAUGUGCAAAACAAUGAAUUAUAUGUACGAACGAGUGCAAACACAUUUUUCAAUAAGAAGUUAAAAGAUAUUUAUGCAUGAAAAAGCCUACGUUUGUAGUUAUUCUAAAUUUUAAAAACAAAAUUUACAUUUAGAUCCCUAAAAUUUACGUAUAAGUACAAAAGUUUCAAAUAUUGUCUAUUAUUUUUUUAACAUGCCUAUUCCUUGUGGAUAAUUCUAUCUCAUCACUAAUGUUGUUUCUUGCUUACAAUUUGUAUAGUGUCUCAAAAUAGACAAUAGGGGGAUUUUGAAUUUUUUAAGUCUCAAUAUAGUCUCUAAUCUUGUGAGAAAGAUUUUCUUUCAAUAAUUUGGAGGUAAACAUAACAUAACUUUUUGGACUAAAGCCUAACUCUGCUGGUUAUGGUGGUAUCCUUUUCAAGACCUGCGUCUUUAGAUUCGAGUUUUAUAGUGUGCAUGCGUAUUUAAUUAAUAAUUUUUUAAAACAAUACAUCAAAUAUUAAUAUCCAUGACAUAAUUUAGUUCUUAAUUUUUUUUUUAAAUACAUCAAAAACAUAAUUUUUUUAACAACUUAUAGGCAUGACAAAUUUCAAGAUAUAAAUAUCAGUCAAAAUAAGUGAAAGAAAUAAUGGUGCCAAUUCUAAUUUCUUAACUAAAUUAAUUAGUGCAUGAGCCCCGAAUACGACACGAGAGUUUGAUGGGCUAACAUGGCACAAGAACCUGAAUAAAUAAUUGAUUUAAGAAAUAAUUCAAUGAAAAAUAUAAUUGAUAAGAAUUCAGUAUUGAAAUGAGUUUUUUAUGAAACACUGAAUUAAUGAUUAUUAAGCAAGAACAAUAAAAAAUAAAUAUUAAUCAUUGAUAAGUUUCAACAAAAGCUUAACACAAUCCUCAAUCCUAAUUCAAAUUAUAAAUGUCAUUCAUAUAUUCAUUAUAAUCAACAACAAAGGUUAUAAAUGUUUAGAAAUUCUAGAGGGAAGGAAGCUAUCGCUGGGCAAUCAACAACUAAAUUUGAUGUAAUUGUGGCACGAGAUGGAAUAUGGAAACUACACCAUAAUUUCAAAUGCCGCCAUAGACAUUGACUUAUCUACAAUAACAAUGAUCUAAUUAAAAUAAAAAUAGAGUUUAUGGGCAUUUAUUAAAAUAAAAAUAGGAGUGAAGUAAAAACAUUUAGAUUUUAAUGUAUGUACGGAAAAAUUUAUCUUUAAAAAUACUUUCUUAAUGUGUGUGUGCAUAUUGAAAUACUCAAACCAAUUUUGGUUAUAUAUAAUUCAACAAAAUUUAAAAUAUGAAAAAUAUAAUGUAGUUAUAGUGGAUAAGCAAUAAGUGAGCACAAUAUAAUUAAUCAAAUACUAUGCUAUCAAAAGUUAAUUUUAGAAAUUCCAAAUCCAAUAGCUAACACAAUUCUUUAAAGAAAUAACAAGGGGCAUUGGGCAAGAGUAAUGAAUGCUUAGUGGGUGCAUUUGAUUGAUAGAUAUAUAAAGGGCCGAAACUUGAUAUUAUAUUACUUUUACAAAAUUUAAUCCAAUCACAUAUUUAAUGAAAACAAAAUGAGUUAGGAUUGUUUAUUUAGAACCCACAUUUUAAUAAGGCUUCAUUUGAUGUAGUUUUUCAAACAUUGAUUAUUUGAGUAAUUACAAAGUACAAUACGUACCAAGUUUGGUAACUUAAUUGACAUCUUCUCAUAUAACCUUCGAUCAAGUCGAUUCUGACCUGACGACUAAUUGGUACAUCACCGUUGUUCUCUAUACUCGCAUGCAUCCGAUCACAAAUCUCACUCCAAUUGUCGUCUUUCUUCGGCGUUUUAGCGCAUCCUUCUUGAAUUUCCCGCAUUUCGUUCCCUCCUGUUACAAGUCUCCGGUCAGGUCAGUUCACUUGACGAUUAAUUCGGCAAAUCUCGAAUCUCUUCUCUAUCCCUCUCGUUUUCUCGUGUCUCCUUUCAGUUUAAGUGAUUGAAUCAAUUUUAUCGCAGUCUUAAGAGAAAUUAAGUAAUGCUCUUGGAUUUAAAAUUUUUUUGCUUUCGACUUUAGAUCUCGAAAGUCAAACUCUGCUACGAAUCCAUAGAUUCUCAAUGUUUAUAAUCUUAUUUGUGUUUGACCAGGUAACUGGAUCGUGAAAUUCGUCGUUUUGUAUCAAUUCAAGCUUUCGCGAGCUCAUGGAAUCCCCUGGUGAGUUGUGGUGAAACGUUAUCGUUUCAAUUUUCGCUUAAUUCUUUAUUGCAUAUUUUUUUCUCUCUAAUAUUUCAGUUUAAUUUAGAAAAGAAAGAGGACCCAAAAAGAGAGAGAGAGAGAGAGAGACUCUACCAUACUCAAUUCCUUGCUCAUUCUGAUUUGGCCUGAAUGUUGGCAUUGACUAUUAUUUGUUUUCAUUUCGAUUUAAUUCUCAUUUAGACAGUCUUUUUUAACUAGCAAUAAUCUUUUUAAGGAAAAUGAUAAUAGGGAUUCUGCAAUAAUCUUUUUAAGGAAAAUGAUAAUAGGGAUUCUGCAAUAAUCUUUCUGCAUUGUUCAAGUUAGUAGACAAUGAAUAGGGUGUUUAUGUUUACCUCAUUUUGAACCCUGAGGGCUUCGUUGAGUAGUUGAUCCAACAUAUCCAGCACCGGUUGAUGUGAGAACAGGAUGCCAUUUAGAUAGGCUUAAACUGAUUUUGGAGGUUUGUAUUCAUUCUAUUGUAUGUCUUGCUUACAAAUUUUUUAUUUUUUAUUUUUAAUUUUGUAUAAUAUGCUCUUUGUUGGUAAAUCUCAUUUGACUUAGAAGAGAUAGUUUUAUCCCAACAGUGGGAUAAAUCAUUGAGAUGCAUGGCAGUGUGAAUAUAGUAGACAAAAUCAUUGAGACAGAUGGUGGUGUGAACAUAGUAAACUUUGUCAAACACAGCUAAGAUAAACAAAUUGUUUCAUUAGCCUUUAUCUUAUCUGCUGUGAUGAUUCAAAUUAAUGCUGUUUGGUAGGUUGCAAAAAACGAAAUGAGCUGACUGUUCAUAUUAUUUAGUCAGAUCUAUUGCAAUAAGUUGAAGUUCACUGUCACAUGGGUUGGGAGUAGCGUGGGCUGUGAGUAGUAGAAUGGAUUUAUGGAGUUGAUACAAGUGCCCAUAAUCUAUCAUGUCAUUCUAGGAUUAAAUGGAUUGCACAUUACUGUAAAGAUGGAGGUUAAAUUUAUAUAAUUCGGAUUGAUUGUAAAAUGGGAGGCAGAGAUGAGUUAGAAAAAAAAUGACCUGUGUCCUUUUUGAGCUGUUUCUAAAUCUCCCUGGUGUGCUUCAUGCUUAACACGUGUCUGUCCAAAUAAUUUUGCUUAACCUGUGCUUGUCUACUUCUUGUGCUAUUCUGUGCCUGGUCCUGAGCUGUGUUGGUAGAUUGACAUAAUUUUGCUCUGCUAAAUGUAUAACUUAUUAAUCAGAGUCCUGUUAUUAUGGUUUGACACUACUGACAUGUUGUGUUGGUAUUUAUUUGUACUUCCCUUGGUUGAAUUAUUUGCUGUCUCCAUGCCAUUCGAUAUGGUGCUACUUGGUUUUUGAUCAUCCAUGACGCUAUAUAUAUGUAAAGGAUGAAUUGAUUGUUUUGGCUUGUAUUCUCACAUUUUAUGAUUGAUCGAUGGAAAGGUCUUCAUGUAUUAAAUUCAACCUCACAAGCGUAAGAUUGACAGAUUGUGGGAAAAUUUUCAGGAAAAGAAACUAGACUUCAUGGAAGCAAUGAAGCUUGAAAUUGAACGUCUGCAGCUGCAUCUUUCUGCAGCUGAAAGGGAUAGAGCUUUAUUGUCAAUUGAAACUGAUCCUGCCUCUAUAAAUCCAAAUGUAUUGCUUGAUGAAUCUUACAUGGGAAGACUGUCGAGUAGCAACCACUCUUGCAUUACUUGGCCAAACUUCCCUAGAAGACAAAAUUGUUGGUGCAAUUGGCCUUGAGAAUAGUGAUGAUAGUGUUUUAGACUUCUGGAAUAUUACUAGAAUCGGAGAGAGUUGUUCUGGUGGCGGGUGCAAGGUUUGUGCAGAAACUAAGGUGCCUGCUCUUGCUUCCUCAACUGCAACAUCUGUUGGAGCUUCACAAUCCCCUUUGUUGUGUUCUCAAUGUGAAAGAAAAGUUUGCAAAGUUUGUUGUGCAGGAAGAGGAGCUCUACUGUUUUCAAAUUAUAAAUCAAGGGAUGUGACCAACUACAAUGGCUUCUCAAGUCAGAGUGGAUGAAGCCAUGGAAGCCAAGUUGAUGUAUCUACCAGUCGUUCACUAACACUGGAUGGCGUUAUCUGUAAACACUGCUGCCAUGAGAUUGUGCCUGAUGCAUUGAUGUUGGACCAUGUUAGGGUCUUGAUUAGCUUGCGAAGAAGUUCCUGUGCAGACAACGCAGUCAUACAAUGCUUUGAAUGAGGUUGUUGGAUCCUGCUUAAAGGAUAGUGUUUCUGAAAGGAUUCAGUCUUCCGAUAACGUGCAAGCUGCUGAAGUCCUUCACCAAUUAUGUGGUGGACAGGAAUCACUUGCUGAAUUUCCAUUUGCUAGCUGUUUGCACUAGGUAUGUUCUUGGUUUGUAUUCAGUUCUCAUCAUGUUAUGUUUUCCUUUUAAAUUUCUUUUCUUGAUUAAAAUUUUUAGAAAUAUGUUUUAGUAUUUGUUCUUAUGAUAUAUGCCCAGAACAUUCAUCCCACUUAUCCAUGAGAAUCCUUGUCUGGUUUGAUUUUCAAUUGAGACAUUUUUGGGAACCCUGAGCAGGUUCCAUAUGCUAAUAAUCUUUGAGGUAAGGUGUUGUAGGAUGCCUUGAGAAGCUAAAAACCUAUUACAAGGAAAAGCUCUUGCAUUGUUUUGUGGAAUCUGUGUUGUGAAAAUAGGUAGAGAAAAAGUUUAUGGAAUAAUUCUCUUAUUUCAUAUGUUCAUGAGACUGUACACAGUCUUUAUAUAGGGAUACAAGAGACUAAGAAAGGAAAGAAAAAAUUAAAGCAGAAUAUUACACACUGAUUUCUAGGAAGCAAUAACUCUAUAUUUACACCAAAUAUACACCUAAAUAUAUAAGGAAAACCAAAUCAAUUUGAUUUGGUCAACCUUUCAACACUCCCCCUCAAGCUGGUCUAAAAAUGUCUUUCAUGGCCAGCUUGCAAACCAAUUUCUCAAAAUGUUUCUUAGGUAGUCCCUUGGUGAGUAUAUCAGCAAUCUGCUCAUUUGUAGGAAUGUAGGGCAUGCAGACCAAACCACUGUCCAGUUUUUCUUUUAUGAAAUGUUUGUCCACUUCAACAUGUUUAGUUCGGUUGUGGAGUACUGGAUUAUGUGCUAUUGCAAUGGCAGAUUUGUUGUCACAAUAUACUUUCAUAGGUAGAGAAUUAUUUGCCUUAAGUUCUUCAAGAACUUUUUUGAUCCAAAAAACCUCACAAAUUCCUAGAGCUACUGCUCUAUAUUCUGCCUCUGCACUACUUCUUGCUACCACAGUUUGUUUCUUGCUGCGCUAAGUGACCAAAUUUCCUCCGACAAAGGUGCAGUAACCCGAAGUGGAUCUUCUAUCGGUUACACUACCAGCCCAGUCAGCAUCAGUGUAGACUUCUACUUGUAGGUGCCCGUUUUUUCUAAACAAAAGACCUUUACCCGGAGAUCCUUUUAAGUAUCUAAGGAUUCUAUAUACAGUUUCAAAGUGUUCUGGUCCUGGAGCAUGCAUAAACUGGCUGACUAAGCUCACUGCAAAGGCUAUGUCCGGGCGUGUAUGUGAAAGGUAGAUUAAUCUACCUACAAGGCGUUGGUACCGAUCUAUGUUGGUCACAUCUUCAAUAUUAGCUGGCUGUAAUUUCAUAUUAGGAUCUAUGGGUGUCUCGGCUGCUUUACAUCCGAGUAAACCUGUCUCUUCAAGCAAAUCAAGAACAUACUUGCGUUGAGACACAACAAUCCCAUCUUUUGAUCUAGCAAACUCCAUGCCCAAAAAAUACUUCAGGUUGCCUAAGUCUUUGAUUUCAAAGUCACGUGCAAGCACUUUCUUUAAUCUGCAAAUCUCAACUAAGUCAUCACCAGUCAAAAUUAUAUCAUCUACAUAUACAAUUAACACGACUAAUUUCCCUUCAAUAGAAUGUUUGUAAAACAUUGUAUGAUCUGCCUGACUUUGGGAGUAGCCGUGUCCCUUUAUAACAUUACCAAAGCGUUCAAACCAUGCUCUAGGAGACUGUUUGAGCCCAUACAAAGACUUAUGUAGUUUACACACUUUACUGUUGCCAUGAUUUCCCUCAAAACCUAGUGGUAAAUCCAUAAAGACUUCUUCUUCUAGCUCCCCAUUCAGAAAAGCAUUUUUAACAUCUAACUGGUAUAGAUUCCAAUCAGAAUGUACAGCCAAUGAGAUAAGGACCCGGAUGGAAUUUAUCUUUGCAACGGGGGCAAAAGUUUCUUGAUAAUCAAUUCCGUAGGUUUGAGUGAAUCCUUUUGCUACAAGCCUUGCCUUAUAUCUCUCAACACUCCCAUCAGCAUUACAUUUAAGUGUAAACACCCACUUUCAACCCACAGUUUUCUUUUCUUUUGGUAAAUCCACAAUCUCCCACGUACCAUUCUUCUUUAGAGCAUUCAUUUCCUCUAAAACUGCUAACUUCCAAUCUGGGUGGUCUAGGGCUUCUUUUAUGGUUUUAGGAAUUGGUAUUUGAGAGAUUUUUGUGGUAAAGGCUCUUUGUUUAUUGGACAACUUUUCAUAGGAAACAUAUCUAGCAAUGGGGUGCUUAGUACAGGUUCGGGUUCCUUUCCUAUGUGCUAUGGGUAAGUCAAGAUCAGGAAAAAAAGUGCUGAAAUGUUUAGGAGAAGAAAUGUUACCUGAAUUUUCUGAGGAAUCAGUGCUUGGAGGCAACGAUUGAGGCUGUAUCGAGUUUAUGAGAGGGUCUUUACUGUUGUGAUGAUACUUUCGAGUAUAAACACGCAGCUCUGGUGGUGGAAUUUUAUCUUGUAGUAUUUCUCCCCCUGUCUCUGGUACAUUAACACUUGGUUCCUGUAGUUCAAGGUUUCCUAGGUUUUCAUUAUUAGAAAUAUCAGUUUUUUGAGUUUGAGUUGGAGUGCCCAGAUCAGGUAAAAACUGAUUAGGCAUAGGUGUAGAAGUAUGCCAAAAAUGAUCUUCACUAUUUUCUUUCUCCCCCUGAAGAGAAUUUUGGCCAAAAAAAGGUUGAUUUUCGAGAAAUAUAACAUCCAUACUGACAUGGAAUUUCUUUGUUUGAGGAUUGAAACAUUUGUAACCUUUUUUAUUAGGUGCAUAGCCCAAGAAAACACAUUUUUCAGAUCUAGGAUCCAAUUUAGAUCUAAGAUGGUUAGGAACAUGAACAAAUACAGUGCACCCAAAGACUCUUAACUGAAUAUUGGAGGUAAUCCUACUAGAAGGAUAUAUAAGUGUGAAGUAUUCUAAAGGUGAUUGAUACUUUAAAACACGGGUAGGCAUCCUAUUAAUCAAAUAACAUGCUGUUAAAACAGCAUCACCCCACAAAUAUUUAGGAACAUGCAUAGAGAGCAUGAUAGCCGACUAACUUCAAGUAAAUGGCGGUUUUUUCGUUCCGCAAUUCCAUUUUGUUGUGGAGUAUCACGACAAGUGGAUGUGUGAAUUAUACCCUUUUCCUUACAAAACACCUCUAGAUAAUUAUUAAAAUAUUCAGUACCAUUAUCUGUAUGGAGUAGACUUAUUUUUGUUUGAAAUUGAUUUUCAACCAUGUUAUAAAAAUCUUUGAAUAACCCCUCAACUUCAGAUUUUUCUCUCAUUAAAUAAACCCAACAAAGCCGAGUAUGAUCAUCUAUGAAUGUUACAAACCAUUUUUUUCCAGUUAAAGUGUUGAUUUUUGAGGGUCCCCAAACAUCACUAUGAAUUAAAUAAAAAGGUUUUGAGGCACGAUAAAUAAGUGCUUUAUAUGAAACUCGAUGACUUUUAGAUAAAAAACAACUUUCACACUGAAAAGUAGUACAAUCAACAUUUUUAAAUAAAUUUGGAAACAAAUAUUUCAAAUAAGGAAAGCUAGGGUGUCCUAGUCUAAGGUGCCAAAGCAUUAUUUGAUCCCUAGCAGAGUUUGAACUAAUACUACUGCUCAAACCUUGAGUUUGUUUAUUCCUUGAUAAGUAGUCAUCAAAAUAGUAAAGACCUUCUCGCAAACUAGCACUGCCAAUCAUCGUCCCCAAGUCCCUGUCCUGAAAUUCACAAUGGGAGUCAAAAAAGACAGCACAACAAUUAGAAUCUUUGGUUAAUUUACUGACAGAUAACAGAUUGCAAGAAAGUUUAGGGACAUGUAGCACAUUUUUAAGCUCAAUGGUUCCAGAGAUUUUUAUUGAUCCUUUUCCAGCUAUGGAAGAUAAGCUUCCAUCAGCAACUCUUACCUUUUUGUUACCAGGGCAAGGAUAAUAGGAAUCAAAUAAACUAGAAAUGCUAGUCAUAUGAUCAGAAGCACCCGAAUCAAUAAUCCAUGGUGCAGUAGUUGAGUGGCUAAAUAGAGCAUUAAUAAUACUACCUGUUUGGGCUAGUGAACCACUAGGAGUACUAGGUGGAGGAUUAGAAGUCAGCAGCUUUAUGAGAUGGUCAAUUUGCUCCUUGCUGAGAUUUUUUUCUAGAUUCUCCACUUCAUUGGCAGACGCACGGCUAUGCUUGCUGUUUUUCCAAUCUGCAGGCUUUCCGUGGAGUUUCCAGCAAGCCUCCCGAGUAUGGCGUGGUUUAUUACAGUAAUCACACCAUACUCGAGGUUUUUGUUGCUGUUGAGUGAUGGAGCGGGUAGCAUUAUCUGCUGUAACAAGGGCAGAUUUUUCCACAGAGACAACGGAGUUCUUUUUUCCCAACAUAACACCUCGACGACUUUCUUCUCUCCUUACUUAAGAGAAAACAUCCUCAAGAGUAGGAAGUGGCUUUCUCCCAAUAAUUCUUCCUCUUACCUCAUCAAAUUCAACAUUGAGCCCAGCCAGGAACUUGAAGAUUCGCUCAUUAUUGACAGUUUGUUUGUGGUGUUUAAAAUCUUCCAUGCUCUCCCACUCGUAGUCGUUGAAUAAGUCCAGAUCUUGCCACAAUCUCUUUAGAGUAUUGAAGUAUUUUGUUAUACUAUAAUCUCCUUGACGGAUAUCUCCAAGAGCAAGCUGCAACUCAUAGAUCUGGGACUGAUUUCCAUAGUCAGAGUACAUCUGACUCACAUUAUCCCAGAGUUCUUUUGCAGUAGAGUAGCACAUAUAAUUUGCACCAAUGUCUUCAUCCAUGGAGUUGACUAACCAUGCCAUAAUCAUGGAGUUUUCGGCAUCCCAAACACCAUAAGAGGGAUCAGAUAUUUCAGGAGCCUUAACAUCUCCGGUAAGAUAACCAAUCUUCCCUCUUCCCCUAAUAUACAUUCUAACCGACUGAGACCAUCUUUGAAAAUUUCCUUCAUUCAGCCGGAUAGUUGUAAUCUGGACAGAAUGAGAUUCAGAAUGGGAAAUUUUUGGUUCUAGUCUUUUUGAGGUGACUGUGGUUUCAGAAGAUUGGUCAGACAUGGUAGGGAAGAGAUCAGAAAGAAAGGGAGCCUAGCUCUGAUACCAUGUGAAAAUAGGUAGAGAAAAAGUUUAUGGAAUAAUUCUCUUAUUUCAUAUGUUCAUGAGACUGUACACAGUCUUUAUAUAGGGAUACAAGAGACUAAGAAAGGAAAGAAAAAAUUAAAGCAGAAUAUUACACAUUGAUUUUUAGGAAGCAAUAACUCUAUAUUUACACCAAAUAUACACCUAAAUAUAUAAGGAAAACCAAAUCAAUUUGAUUUGGUCAACCUUUCAACAUGUGUGCUAGCAAGUCAUGUCUCUAAUAAUUUCAUAGUUUGCUUGAUUGGAAUUUUUUAUCUUGAUAUGGAUUGUUUAUUCUAGAUUCCUUGGUGCUGUAGGUUGAAACAGCAAAAGAUUCAGCACCGAUUUUGUCACUGCUUGCUCCAUUAAAUUCUGGAUCAAGGCACUCAUAUUGGAGAGCUCCACCUUGUACUACUUCUGUUGAAUUUGUUAUUGUUCUCUGUUCUGUUUCUGAUGUCAGUGGGGUUAUCUUGCUUGUUAGUCCUUGCGGCUAUUCUGUGGGUGACACUCCGAUGGUAAGUGCCAUAUUUAUUCCCUUAUUUCCUUGUUGUUCAAUAAAUUUGGUGAUAAGCCAAGUGGCCUUAAUAAUGAAGCCCAGUACCAGGGGUGGUGGGUAAUCGAUAUUCAACUUGUGAAUAUUCCUAAGCAAGCACUGAAUCAACAUAGACCUCGGCAAAAGUUCUCCAUGCUAUUAUAACGAAAGUCAUAUUUUGAAAUGAUUAAAAGAGUCCCUGUGUAGUGCUAUUUCCAAAGAAAUUGCAGCUGGAGGUUUAGUUUCAUGUAGGUUAGUUUCCGAUAAUAAACUUUCCAUUUCAUUAAUUGCUGAUGAAAAAACCAAGUAAGAACAGUUUUGUUGCUCGUCAUUUAUGUAUAUUUUGGUAAACUGUAAUUUUAAAUUCUCAACGAUCUUCCCUUUGUAGGUAAGAAGAUGGUCCACUCACUUGAUAUUUAUGAUUGUAGAUCAGGUUUCUAUUGGUUUGCCUUUAUCAUUCGGAACCCAAGUUUGAUAUUAACAGAGAUCACGUCAAUAAUAUCCUAUUUGGGUAGAUGUGGGUGAGGAUUUAAAAUCAAAUUUGAAAUUGAGGGCAAAGAAGAGAAAAGAAACCGCAAUAAUUAAACAAAAUAUUAGGAACUAUUCUGAUGAGUUUUAAUCUCGAGAGGAACAAUUUUCAAAUGCAAAAUUUAACUGCUAGAGAAAUUGUAGCUUUUUGUCAUUAGUUAAGAGGAAAGAGAAUAAGAACUAUCUGGCCCUUUCCUUCAUGAAUGUGUGUUGAGGUUGCUGUAUUAUUUAGUCAGUAUUUGUAAUUUUCUUCCCUGCAGUGCUCUCUGCCUCCUGAAUUUGCUACUGAGUCCAUAUUUUUCUUUGAGCUGUUGCUUCCUAUUGCUGUUACAGGUACAAAUCUGGGCAAGCAAUAAGAUACACCGGGAGGACAGGUCAUCAAUGGGAAAAUGGGAUGUCCAAUCCCUCAUCACAUCUUCUUCAGAUUUGUAUGGUCCAGAAAAGUCUGCUAGUGUUGAAAAAUUACCUAGGCAUGUAAAAUUUACUUUUAAGAAUCCUGUUAGGUGCCGCAUUGUUUGGAUCACAUUACGUCUUCAGAGACCUGGUUCGGCUUCAGUUAAUUUCGGGAAUGACUUCAGUCUUUUGUCUCUUGAUGAAGAUGAAAACCCCUUUGCACAAGUAGACAGACGUGCUUCAUUUGGAGGAGCAGUUGAAAAUGAACCAUGUAUUCAUGCCAAAAGAAUUCUUGUAGUCGGAAGCCCAGUAAAAAGGGAGGGGCUUACCACAUCACAGAGCUCUGAGCAGCUAAGUAUUAGAAACUGGUUGGAUAGAGCUCCACAAAUGAGUAGAUUCAAGGUAUUAGUUGCUUUCACUCUUUGUUCAUUCAUAAUUCCAGCUUUCUGCUUGAUGCCUUGCCUCUGAUAAACCUCUUUUUUCUCUUCAGGUCCCAAUUGAGGCCGAGAGAUUGAUGGACUACGAUCUCGUCUUGGAACAGUAUCUACCUCCAGCGUCACCUUCGCUUGCCGGAUUCCGUCUAGAUGCUUUCAGUGCAAUAAAACCUAGGGUUACCCAUUCACCUUCCUCAGAUUCAGAUAUCUGGGACAAAUCAGUAACAUUUUUAGAAGACAGGUACAUCUCUCAAGCUGUGUUGUAUUUACAAGUAUCCGCACUCCAGGAACCACAUAACAUGGUAACUAUUGCGGAAUAUCGACUGCCGGAGGCUAGAGCCGGAACGCCAAUGUACUUUGAUUUCCCACGACCGAUACAGUCCCGACGAGUUUCAUUCAAGCUUCUUGGAGAUGUUACAGCAUUUGCAGAUGAACCUUCAGAACAAGAUGAUUCAGGAUUGAGAGCUCCACUUGUGGCCACAGGUUUGUCUUUGUCAAACAGAAUCAAGUUAUAUUAUUAUUGUGAUCCUUAUGAGCUCGGAAAAUGGGCAAGCCUUUCUGGAGUUUGAUCGUUAUUUAUAUGUCAGAGAAAGGGUUUUGGGUUUGAUUUUGAUUUUGAUUUGUAAUUUUUGUCAGUUUAUUGAAAUUUUUUGUUGUAUAAAAGCAGAAUGUAAAGGUAUAAAAAUUCAUUGAUGCUGCAAUGUCUGUGCUUUUGAGAAAGAAAGAAUUCUAUGGCUUUUCUAUGCCAUUGGAUUUUCCACUGCCUGUAAACUUGGGCUGUCGAAUGCUCUGUGAACCUUAAGGGCUAUAAAGUAAUUUUCAAGACUGAAGGAUUUAUUAAUCGAGUUCAAAAGAUUGCAAGUUGGUGAGCGUUGGCAUUUAAAAAAUCAAUUGUUAUUCUCUCAAUAAUCUCUGUCUUCUGCCGACACCCCAUGCUCAGAAACCCAUUGUUCCGACGGACGUGUAACACUUCUAGAAAUUGUUUUGAUCUCUCCUCGUGAAGUGUUUUCUUUUUCGAGUGAAGGUGGUUUUCUACUUGCAUACGUCGGGGGUCUUAUGAUAUGUAAUGUGUGAAAUUUCUUUCUCAUUUUACCAUAAAGAAAAAUGUUGUAAUAAUCUAAAGCUCGAGUCUUAAAUUAUCUUAAAUUUAUAUUUAGAGUGGAGCUAUUCGCAAUCCUACAUUAAAAUUACAAAUAAAAAUAAUUGAAAAUUAAACACUUAUAGAUUUUUUUUACAACAAAUUAUUUAAUUCAUAAUCAAUCCUUUAAAAAAAAAAAUCCAUAUGUUACUUGCUAUCUAACUAAAAUAAAUUUUACAAAUUUAGAAUAAUCUAUUGAUUUCUUUUGAUUUCUUAUUAAUUAAAUAUUUUUAUACAUAAAAUUGCUUUGAAAUUAUAAUUUGAAAUAUGUGUUAUUUCAGCCAAUGAUUAACACUAAAAAACUUAUCACCCAUAUAACUUUUUAAUUUGUGUGUAGGGUAAUAAUAAAAUCAAAAAUAAUUAAAAAAAUAGUACAAUAAUGAGUUUUAACAAUAAAACAAAUCAAAUGAAAAUUGAAAAUUUAGAAAAAAUGUAUCUAAAAAAGGGAACGUUUUUUAAAAUAAAAUGAAUAUAACUAAAAAGGGGUUUUAUGAGAAGAGCAGAGGGGUGCCAAUAGUCCAACUUGUAAUUAAGAAUCUCCCAUUAUAUUGUCAACCAAAAAGACACUUGAAUAAGAAGAAGAAUUUAUCAGUUUGAUUUUAUUUAUAGAUCCAACAUUUCUCAUAUCCUAAACGCCUUUCCGUAUCAAAUUAAAACAGUAGUCGCAAAAUCGUAGUAUUAAAAUCGUAGUGCACAUUCAAUUAACCAACUAAUAGUCUUUGGUAUAAGAUUUUAUAUUAGCUAGCCAAGUAGGUUGUCCAUCCCACUCAGACAUGAACGAAAGCUAAAUUCAUCAAAUGGUGUUAUACUAUUAAAUAUUUUUAUAUUUAAAAUUACUUUGAAAUUAUAAUUUCAAAUUAAAAUAGUAGUAGCAAAAUCGUAGUGCACAUUCAAUUAACCAACUAAUAGUCUAAGAAGCAAAGAGAGGAUUACAAGUUCACAACACCAUUACAAAGGAUUCAAAAUUCCCACACGAAAACAUCAAUGUACAGAUUAUAAACAAUCCGAAUUGGACACAAGAAAAAGCCCUUCAAUGGAUUGCUUUCCUUCCCAAUGCUAUAUACUGUGCAAACUCCGCACUGGCCAAGAAAAUGUUUUCAAUUUAGUGUAUUUUCAAAUUGCUUAUUUUCUCAUAAUAUAAAAAAUAAAAAAGAAUCCUUACAUGUUUCAUCAGCAUGAUUAAAAUCAAAGAAGAAAGCGAAGACGUAAUGUCUCUGACAUAAUAAAAUUACAAAAAUUUCAAGGAAAAAAAAAAGGUUAAAACAUGUAAUCUUCAGAAGCAUAUAAUAAAAGAACACUUCCACAAAUUACUACAAUUUCAUGCAGUAGAGAUUGAAGAGUUGAAUUCCACUAAUUUUAAUAAUGAAAACAACAACAGAGGAUUAACUGAUGCUUUGACUUAUUAGCAGGUUGCUUUGACUUAUUAGUUCUGCAGCUAAGUUAAAUAAAAUAAGCUAUUUUCAAAAGCAAAAUGGAAUACAUAGAUAAAAACAUCAUCUUAAACAAAUCACAAUCUAGAAUUAGAGCAUUUUCGACAUACCUAAGGAACACGAAUACGUGAAAACGGGUGAUUUAUUUGUUAAGGAGUGUUGAUUUGGUCGUCUCUGCAAAUUCUUUAGGGACUCGGUUCCAAUUCCUCUUCAUCAAAACUGUAAUAUAAUUCCCCUUCAUCAGAACUCGAAUCGAUGCAAUAUAAUUCCCCUUCAUCAGAACUCGAAUCAAAUUCACUUGCAGCAGUUCCACUCGCGCUUGGCAAAUCAUCCAAUUUCCAAACUUCGGUAACAAAAUUGAGAGUAAAAGUGUUGGCUUUGAUCUCGCUGGGAUUUGCAUAUACUGGACAUACUCCGCAACGUUUUAUCUUCUGACCCUUUUGGACCUUUAUUAUGUUUCGGUGACACUCAUUGAAGAACUUAAAUGUGGCAGUUGAAUGAUGGUCACCAUCAGGAAAGCCAACAUUCAAGCAAGGUUUAAAACCAAGUAUGACAUGAUCUGAAUCAUGGGGGUCUUGAAUUGAGUGCAAAUUGUAACCCAGAUGAACAUGUUUGGUUUCAGAGAGAGUCUUUAUUUCUAAGUCGGAUCGACAGUAAACGUAAAAAUAACGAAAACGAUCAGAAUAAAGUUGCUUAAAAUCAAGAACAGCACAAAAAGCAAACCCGAUUAAGUUUCUGCAAAAAGAGUGCGGUGGCAGUUGAAUACGUAUCGAAGAUCCUGAACUUUGAUUGCUGAACCAGUCAGGAAUUUCGCUCCCAGGUAAAACAAUUUGGGAUCCCCUGAGUUCAGAAAGUUUCUGCGAAACGACAUUUAAAAAAAGAAAAUUGUAAAAUGAAAACCAUGAUUUCAGAUAUAACAAAGAGGGACAGAGUAAACAAGAGAGGGAAUUUGAUACCUCGUUGUAUGCAUUUUCAUAGCCCAGUCUCAGUGAUGCUGCAAUUGCCAUACGUAGUGAAUCUGCCAAAAUCUUGUUGUUUGCUUUUCCAUCAAGUUUCAAGCAGUUAGUAAACUCAAAACAAAUUGGUUGUGGCGUCACAUAUUCCGGAUGCCAUUCACGAAGGUCAGGAGAGGGUUUGGAUAGCUUUUCGAGUACGGAUGCAUCUAGUUCUUGUACACAUGACGGAAUCUCUGGCAAAGAUUGAAGCCGGUUGCAGUUCAUUGCUUUUAGUGACUGUAGACACAAUGGAAGUUCUGGUAAUGACCGAAGCAUGUUACAAUCCUCCAAGUGAAGAGUUUCUAGACCCAAUGGAAGUGCUGGUAAUGACUGAAGCAUGUUACAACGCCUCAAGUAAAGAGAUUUUAGACACAAUGGAAGUUCUGGUAAUGACUGAAGUAUCUUACAAUCCCUCAAUUCAAGAUAUUUUAGACACAAUGGAAGUUCUGGUAAUGACUGAAGCAUAUUACAAUCCUCCAAGUUAAGAUAACUUAGCCACGACAGUUGCUUGAUACUUGCAGGUAAACUCUCAAAGUUAUUUCCACUUAAAUUGCCAAUGUUAUCCGGCAACUUGUCAAGUAUAGAGCAACCACUUACGGACAAAAAUGAAAGCCCCGGUAGAUUUUCAAAUGGCGAUGGCAGCUCUGUAAUUGCCGUCCAGACUAAAUAGAUGCAAUUUAAAUGUUCCAUUUUCUCCAAGAUUUCUGGGAAACGCUCAAGGUUCAAGCAGCCAAAAAGAAAAAGAUCAACCAAAGAUCUCAAUUUACAGAACCUAGUUGAAAUCCUCUUCAGCCGUUUGCAAUGCCCCAAAUCCAACACUUCAAGAUCAGUUAGGCACUCUAUUGAUGAUGGAACUUCUUCUAUUGCAGACUGGCCUAAGGAUAGCUCUGUGAUUUUCCCAGAAAUCCGUGGAAACUCUUUGAGAUUAACACAAUAGGAGAAAUUAAUAGUUACUGGACAAACAAAAUGAAGAUUGCUUGGAAAAGACCUAAGACUUUUGCAGCCCUCAAAAGACAACGCACUGAGAUACUUGAAAUUCUGGAUAGAUGAGGGAACACAAGCCAAGUUUGUAUAAUCCAAAAGAUUUGUUUCAACAUUUGGGGUUUCUAAUGGGCCUGGCAUCUUAAUGAAAUGUCGAGAAUGAUUGAGGUUAAUAGAUUUUAACUUGAAAGCUUCCUGCAAUAACAGAUAUAUAAAGACUAUAUUAAUUAAAAAGCAACAUUGAAUUCAACAAUUAAUUGCACGUAUGUUUAAAGAAAGAAAAAAAUUAAUGUUUUAGUUUUAGUACAAAACUUACCUUUUCUCCUUCCCAAAGUUGCUCAACUUUACUAAAACGCAAAUUCAGUUCAACAAGGUUCAUUGGCUUGAAAUUUGAUGGCAGUGUCCUUAAUGGAUAUGUGUCCCAAUGAAGAUAUCUCAAUUUUUUAGGAAGAUAAUCUAGGCCAUUUGGAAGCUGCACUUUAGAGUAUGAAAGUUGCUCUUCAAUGCUCAUACUUAGAAACCUUUCAAUCUCAGGUACAUAAAAUUUGAGCAAUCUUAGAUUAGACAUUUUUGUGAAGGCUCCUGGGUCUAAAUUGAUGCCUUUUAUUUUGGACAAAUCCAGAAAUAUGCCUUCAAUUGCAUCGGUCCCCUUAUUAAAAAAAAAAAAAACAAAGAAUGAGUAACCCUAAAACAGAAAAGAAACAUUCGUAAACUUUAUUAACUAAGAGCUUCUUAAACAAAAACAAAUUCUGCAAUCUUUGAUUUUAUUUUUUUAAUAUAUUAAAUAUCUAUAUACGAGAAAAGAAAAUUUUGGGGACCAUUGCAAAAUUAAACUAACCGAAAAAAAAUUCAAAAUUUCUCUAAUUUACAAACCUGUUAUCUUAAUAACUAGAAGUUGAGAAGACAAGGCCUAUUUGAUUGGUAUAAGAUUUCGAUUUGUUUUUUAGUCCAUAGAAUCCAAAAUGUUAGUUCAAAAUUAGGGAAAAAAAAUGAAAGUUAUUUUUUUUCCACUAGUUGUAAUUGUUUCCAAGUCAAAUUGAGAUACGACCCUUUUCGAAAGGAUUUAAUCAUCUUAUAGCCUCCUUAAGAUACAUUUAAGCUAAAAGGAGUGAUUGGAGGCAGAACUAGGUGGGCCAAUCAGUCCCUUUUAUUAGUGACUGUUGCUUAAAAAAAAUUAUACUCUAAAACACACUUACUUUUUUGAAAAAAAAUAUAAUUAUAUUGAAGUAGAACCAGGUGGGCCAAUCCUCAUGGCACUCACUUUGUUCUGACACUCUUCACUAAAUUUGAAGAAAAAUAAAAUUAUACUCUUCACACUCUUAUUCAACAUUCCAAAAUUGAUAAAAUCUAGAGUUUUCUUUAAAAAUUUAAAAUUUGAAGACUUGUUCUCUUGACAUCCUCAGUCAUUAAUUUCACCUAAUUAUGGUUUUUAUGAUUUUGGUUGUUUUGUUCAUAAAACAAUUUUACUAAAGGAUGUUCUCGUAAUAAUAAAAAUUAUAAAAAAAACAUGGGUGUGCUGGUAUGGUUGGGAAAAUACGAGUACAGAACUCCAAACAAAUAAAAGAUUUAUAUAAAAAAAAAUGGAGGAUUCUUACCAUAUUAUGCUUUAGUACGCGGCGGAUUUCCUUAGGAUCCCACAACCUACUACGUCUGCCUGGCACUUCCUCAGAUUCUUGGCGAACAGUCUCUUGGCCCAUUUCUUGCAAUAAAUCAUGCAUUUGCAAGCGGUUAUCUGACACAGUUAUGAGUGACUUGUCGACGAGGACAUCCAGUCUGUGAGACCCAGAAUCAUCAAGUAUCCUUAACACAAAAUCUUUAUCCUCUCCCUCAAGGAAACACGCAAUAUCUAGAAACAUACUCUUCACCCUGGGCGUUAAUUCUUUAAAACUAAUCUUUAAUGUAUCAUAAAUACCAUGAAUAUCAGAUUCACAAAUCCGAUUUAAGUCGUGCAAUACAUUUUCCCAAUGGCUUUUCCUCUUGAGAUACAGGGAGGAACCCAACACUUUAAGAACUAAUGGAUUGCCAUCAGCAUACUCUACAACUCUCCACGAGUCACGUUUGAAAUCUUCAGGACGAUGCUUUUCUUUAAAAGCGAAGUUACAAAAGUGCUCGAAAGCCUCAUCAAAUUUCAAUCCAUUGACCCUAUAUAUUUUCUCCACUCCAAAUUUUUCGAGGACUCGUUUAUCCCUGGUGGUUACAACAAUUCUACUUCCUGGACCAUAUUGAUCAAGCCCUCCAAUCAAACCCUCUAAUUGUUCAUCUUUAUUCACAUCAUCGAGUACAAUCAACACCUUCAUGCGUCGGACCCUCCCUUUAGUAAAUUGUGGAAUAUUGGGACCAGCUACUUCAAGUUUUUCACUUAAUAUUGUCGAAAGCAUUUCCUUUUGUAGGUCUUCUAGGCCACCCUCUGUUUCUGAUUUUCUCCUAACAUUUUUUGCAAAGUAUUUACCAUCAAACUCACCAGCGAAUUGAUCGAAAAUAGCUUCAGCAAGGGUAGUUUUGCCUAUACCGCCCAUACCCCAAAUUCCAACAAUUUGGACAGUAUCCGACAAAUCCAUACACAAAAAUGGUUUAAUCUGCUCAAUUCGUGAAUUUAAUCCAACUAGGCCGUUGGAUGAGUCCGUUGAGACUGUUAUUUUUUCCAACUUCUUCAAAACAUCUUCGACAAUUUUGUUUACAAGUUGCGCAUCAAGCCUAAUAUGAAGGUGCAAAGAUGCAAAAACAUUGAGUCAAAUCGGGCCAAGACAGAAACAGAGAAAAGAUGAAUUAGGAAAGAGAGUUACCUGAAUUUCGUGGAUUCAUGGCCGGCUAGAUGGGAUGUUUCUGUCAGUGCAUCCCUCCACUUCUGAACCAUUUCUUGUUUAUCUUUGAACUGUUUUUUGAGCUCAUCAAAACGGUCUCCAAAUGUUCCGUUUUGAUGCCGCACAUCAGAUGGACUUACUCCAUAGAAGAAUGGAAUAAUAAUUUGGCCGUUUGUGUUCUUGCAUUCAAGAAUCUUGACAAGUUCAUUCAGGCACCAUUUUGAAGAAGCGUAGUCCUUCGAGAAAAUGACCACCGAAAUUUUUGAACCUUGGAUUGCGUUCAAAAGGGCGGGUGAAAUCUCAUCUCCUCGCCUAAGCCCUUCAUCAUCAAUAAAUGUUUUGAUUUUCUUUCCUUCAUACAAUUUAUCAUAGAGAUAGCAAGUAAAGCUCUUACGAGUGUCCUCCCCUCUAAAGUUGAGGAAGACUUCAUAAUUGGCACAAGAAGAAGAGGAAGCCAUGAAGGAAAUUUUAGAAAAUUGGUGACAGAAACAGAGAAUUAAUCUUGAGAGUUGAGAGAGGAGAUGUAAGAAUGAACAUGUGCGAAGAUUCUUGCGAGUACAUAGUAAAUAAUUGAAUGGCUGGAGCUUUCUUAGUUUCCUGGAAAUUUCCUGGAGCUUUCGUAUACAUGAUUUGUCAAGUCAUGAAACAUAAUCAUGAUAAUGGGGCAGACCGAAAAGAAAAGCAACAAUUCAAAUAUUUGAUUCAACCAGUAUAAAAAGGAAGGAAAAGCAAAGAAAGGAAAUGUUGAAAGUAGAGUUAGGGAAUUAUAAAAAGCUGAAGGAAAUUGGAAUUUUGUACAAUUUCUCCAGCGAGGAACUUUCACAGUCGUUACCUCAUUGUUACAGUUUAGAUUAAGAUUUGAGGGUGCAAGCAUUUACCUAGAUUUUACCUCCGCACUAAAUUCUUAAGUUUGAAAAAUUAUGAGACCUUUAUAUUGGAAGAUAUUAUAAUCGAAUCAAAACUUAAAAUUUUAAUAUUGUUAAUCUUUAAUCUUUAAAAAAAAUUACCUUGCCGUUACAAUUUGGAUUAAGAUUUGAAUAAGCAUUUACCUAAAUUUUAUCUCCGCCUGUAAAUUCUUAUGUUUUAAAAAUUAUGAGACCUUUAUAUUGGGAGAUAUUAUAAUCGAAUCAAAAUUUUGAAUUUCAAUAUUAUUAUUCUUUUAAAAAAAAUUUGAGAUAACAGAGUGAUUGAUAAUAGAGAACUUGUCUAGGCAAACACAUGCAUACACAAAAAUGUGAUGGAUUCAAAAAGAAAUUAAAGUGAUAAUGUACGUGGAUCCUUAAAACAAAAAGCGAAAUCGCUUGGUGGCCCAGUAAAAUUAAGACUGAAUAUUUUUUACACGAGAAGUGUAGCUCAUAAAUGGCAAAAGCCAUUUCAUUUCACUUUUACGCGUCAUUGACUUUUGUAACAUGGUGCAUGCAUCGUCAAGUGAGGCAAAAGGGUUUCGAUUACAGUGGGAAAACAUGAACAAGAAUGCAUAAUGAAUAAUUCCUUUGAUAAAGCGAAAAUUAAACACAGAAUAAUCCUAAAAUUUAAACUCUAAUAUCUUAUAAUUUAAUGAUUAAAAAUAAUCCUAAGAGUUCCCAAUUGAAACUUUCAGAGAUAAUAGAAAAUAGCUAUGCUUUAAAAGGCCAAAGAUUAGAGAACAAAGAAGAAUUAGGUAUUGAUAUAAAAAUUAUUAAUUUUUUUGAUUUCAAGCAAAAAUAGUUUCAUAUACCAUUUCGAUUUUGGUAGGGGUGAGGUUUUGAACUUCAAUAGUUUCCUCUAAAAUCAAAAGGUAGUAAUUAAGUUAGAAAGAGCAAAGAAGACUUAUCGGUACCUUAUUGAAGGUAAACAUUAUGGAACUUUCAAUGUCAUUACCCCACUGUUUAAUUUUUAUUGAGAUUUGUGCAAGCAUUUACCUAAAUCUUACCUCUGCCUGUAAAUUCAUAAGUUUUGAAAAUUAUGAGACCUUAUAUCGGGAGAUAUUAUAAUCGAACUAAAACUUAAAAUUUCUUUUCUUUUUUUUUUUUUUUAUCAUAAAAGGGCUCUUAAGAGAGCUAAGGCAACACUAAAUGGGAGUGUGCAACCCCAUGAACAUCAUUAAUCAAUAUGUUUAGCGUAUUUGGAGGAAUAGAUUGAAAGCAAUGUAAACCCAAAGGAAAAGAAAAGCUGUACGAAGUAAGGAAAUCUGCUGCUACAUUGGUUUCUUGGUAGAUAUGAUCCACUUUGAUCAGCCAAUCACGCCGAAGGAGUUCUUCGAUGGCCUGAAUGAGAGUAAAAUGCUCAUUGACGGGAGGGUUUGAGUUAGAGAUUAACUUCAUAACACACAUGCUGUCCACUUCCACGUAAAACUUAAAAUUUCAAUAUUAUUAUUCUUUAAAAAAAAAUUGAGAUAUCAGAGUAAUAUCACAUAGAAAAACUUGCCCACGGACGGUAAGCCAAAAGUCUAGUCAACCACAUGCAUAAAGCUAAGUAGAACAAGAGAACAGAGAAACGCGUGGGUCCCUAAAGAAAAGGCAAGCACAUAAAUGAAAAAGCCAUUACAUAUCUAUUAACACGGUGUGGCAGCAUAUGCACAAUCAAGUGAGGCAAAAGGGAUUCGAUUAUCGUGGCAGAACAUGGACGAGGACGCGUGAUGAAUAAUUCCUUCGUUAAAACCAAAAACAAACGCAGAGAAAACAAUUUCUUAUAUGACAAGAAAUCAAAGUAAUGUGAAGGAACAUGAUGAAGAAAUUGCAGACUGAUCAAUUAUCCCCAUGGACUCCUAUAAAUUCAACCAAAAUAACAAUUCGAAUCUUACCAAAUUCUUGAGUUAAAUUUAUUCAAUGCUUUUAUUUUUUUAGAAAAUUUUUUUCCAAUGCUACUUUUCCUUUUUUGGGGAAAUUAGAACCGCGGCAUGUAUAGAAAACAUUGAGGUGUAAAGCAACAUUAAUUUCAUGGGAUAUGCGUUAUACGCAUAAUAUAUUUUCAGUCCAAAUUCAACUAUACAAAGAGGCUUGAGAACUUAAAAUUAAGCACAAACUAAACAGACGAAGUAAAUACAUGAUUAUGCAACAUAACAUUAAUUCUCUCAAUUGAUAACUGUUUUUGCUACAUGAAUCUUGCACAGUUAAUCCUAAUUGAAGACUAAAAAAGAGCAAUUGGAAGAAGGUUUUGGAAUAGAAUGGUAUACAAUCGAUAUGAUCCUUUUCCAGUAGUCAACGCUAAUUAACUGCAGUUUCUAGACUCCUAAUUAUACUAGCCAUAGCAAACUAUUUAGAAAACUGGUGAUCAAAUUAGAUUUUGAAAGGAAAUAAUGUUCAUUUUCCCUUCGCUGCCUUUUCUUUUCUUUUCUUUUUAUAGCAAAGAAUUAUAUCAUGAAAAGAAUCAAUUUAAUCACCUUUUCCAGCAGCCCAAUUUUUCUUUUAUAAAAUUUGACCACGGAGACAAAGAAGAAUUAUUCAUAACUUCAUCACUAAGGAAAUACUUUUCGGUAUGGCUAGGGUGAGAAAAUGCUUUCCACUAACACUUGUACUUUGUAUUCUUGUAAAUUUUCUUUAAAGUCAAUAAAAACCAUAAGUUCUUUGCAAUAACCAUCUCUUUGAUCAAAAAGUGCCGUAUUCCUUUAGAAUUUAAAACCGGCAAAACCGAAUCAGUGUCUUUGAAGAGACAUAAUGGUCGUAAUUCUUUAAAUGAGUUGGCUAUGGAAAUCCUUAUCCAAGAUUCUUUUAUGCCAUAUUCUUUCGUAAACCAAAAUUCAUUUUGAAAUACUCUAUUGAAAAUGUCAAAUAAAACGGCAUUGAAGGAAGUUUUCAAAGGCAUAAUCCGCACUUGUCAAAGGGAUGAUCUGCACUUGUCAGAGACACGAUCCGCGUCGAACGAAUCGACACAUUUCCUUUCGUAUUCGCAUAUGUAAUCUUUGAAAAAAUGUAGCUUCCGCAUCUAUAAAUAACGCUCAGUGUAUAAUGUUUUAUUCAAGAAAAGAAAACAAAUUUCUUCAUACUCCUUGUCCGAACAUACAGAGACAGUCUCUCAUAACUUCAGCCGAAUACUUAUGAUGAUGAUCAUUUGUGAUUUCAUCAGGCAUAGGGUUGAUGGUGAAAAAUUUUGUAUGUGUGAAGAAUUGAGCUGUGGAUAUAGGGGACUUAAGUGUAAUCGAAAGAGAGUUAUUAGGCCAUAGUGCAGAUUGCAUUCAGUUUAUGGGUCGAUAUGCAAAUAAUUUGUUGACGUGGCGAAAUCUGUUAUGGUCGUUACUAUUGUUUCUGGAAAUUUUCUAGAAACCUCAGCAUAAAAGGGGCUUUUGCAUAGCCUCUGGUGUGCGUGUGAUUUCUCUUUCGUUUCCUCAUCAAAUUCUGUAAUUCUUGCUUUGAUAAAAAGCUUGUAAUCAUUUCUGUAAUGUGUGAUCAGUGCGUAAUCAUUUUGAGCAAUAAAAGCUUGUGGGUUUUUCCUUCAAACAGUGUCGUUUUGGUCAGUUUGUUAGUUUGAUCUGUUGGUGGAAUUUUCUUUGGUUAUUUGUUCUCAAAUUUCAACCGUAUAUAAAGUUUGAACUCUAAUGGCUUAUAAUGUAUUGAUUAAGAAUAAUCCUAAGAGUUCCCGAUUGAAAUUUUUAAUGACUAUUUUUAUUGUUUUGGAUAUACAAAUUGCAUUAAGAAAAAAUAUUGUCAAAUUCAGAGGAUAACGGGAAAUAAUUAUGCUUCAAAAGACCAGAGAUUAGAGAAUAAAGAAGCAUUCAUUACUGACAUACAAAAGAGAAACACUCCAAAAUUGCAAGCAAACUAGUUUCAUAUACUAUUUGGAUUUUGGAAGGGGUGAAGUUUUGAGCUUCAGUUGUUCCUCUAAAUAGCAAAGAAGACUUAUUGGUACCUUACUGAAGCUAACAUUGUGGCACGGUUGUUCAUAUGUAAUGGCUGCUCUGUUAUGGUAGCUUCUCUGUUUUUGCUCACAGUUUUGAACAUGAAUUCUUGCUCAAAUAACCCAUAAUUAAUUAACAUUAAAAUGGCUCGUGAAAUCCCAUAAUAGCUAAUUACGCAACUUUCUCCUCCUCCUCAAUUAUGUCUUCCCCUGCUCGUACAAUAAAUUCAAAAUUCAAUGCCCCGAAAAACAACACAAGAAAUCUUUGAGUUAGUUCGUGACCAGUUUAUAUAUAGUAGCAAUUGAAAAAAGAAAAAGAAGAAAAGAGUUAAUUAUUAUUCAGACCUUCACUUAUUAGGAAGUUUGUUCUGCUAUUGGGUGAGGUCAAGCUCUCAGCAUAUACUUCCACAUGAUACUUUCUAACAUUUUCUUGAAAGCCAUCAAUCAUAAAAUCUUCAUACUUUUUUCCAUCCUUUGGAUCAAUGAGUACAAAUUUCUCAUCUAAAACAGACAAAAUAAAAUCACUGUCCUUCAUGGAACAUAAUGGCUGCAAUGCCUGAACUGAAUUGGCUAAUGAAACAUAGUCUUCUUUUCUUUCUCGACAUGGAACAUAGUCUUCUUUUCUUUCUCGACACAUGUCUCUGUACUUUUCUCUCUCUACUGAUCCACACUUUUUCAUACUUCUAACUAUCAUUUUGUUUUUUUUUUUUGAGUUGUGAUUUAUUCAAUUAUUUUGUAUUUUUAAUGACAAUUAUUUAAUAUUUAGUUAGUGUUGAUAUUGAUUAGUGAUUGAAAGUGUAUUUUAGAAGACUUCCGGUCUCUUGAAAAAAGGAAAAAUGGAGAAGAAGAAGAAGUGUUCUUGAUUUUUUUGUAGGCAUUAAAGUUAAACGGUUUGAAAUGAUAUUUUGUUUUAAUUUCACUCAUUAAUCUCAUUCAGGAUAAAAUUAUAAAUGCAAAUAAAUGGGGUUUCAUAAGUAUUUUUAAUAGUGUUAAAAGGUCUACUAACUAAAUAAACAUGUUUUACCCAAACCAAUCCGAUUAAUAAGUUAUUGGGUUGGGUUGAUCAGGUUAAAAAUCAAAAUUAAAAAUUAAAUAAAUAAAUAAGGCAUAAAAACUAUAUGUUACUUGAAAAUAAAAAGAAUUUCUAAUAGUUAGUUCUAAUGUCCCAUAUCCAAAACAUGCAUAUUAAAUAAAUAUUAUAAGUUAGAAAUAAAAUAUCCAAGAAAUAAUGAAUGAAAUACCAUAUUUUUGUUGAGAAUUAAGAGUGUGAUUUUAAUUUUGAUAUUGGAGUCUAAAGCAAUAGAUAGUACAAUGAAAUCAUGAAUGCUACGUUUAAAUAAUCUCUUUUAUAAAAUAAUAAAAAGAGGUUAAAAAUUAGGUUAGCAUUUAGGGUUUAGCAGUUAAGGAUGAACAUAUUAUUAUUGUUGUUGUUGUUGUUAUUAUUAUUAUUAUUAUUAUUAUUAUUAUUUACAUAUUAAUUAAUCCAACCCAACUCAAUUAUUAACGAAUUUGAAAAAAAAUGACCAAAUUAAUCCACAAUAAUUCAUUCAACUCGUCUAAAUUAGAUUAGAUUGAAUUUGAUUUGCUACACCUACAUUGAGCAACAAACCUCAACGCGAUUCUAUGAGCUCUUUGAUUGUUUAUAAAAUUGAUUUAGAGUACAUAAUGGAGUGUAUCGACAAUGAAAGUGCAAAACAAAUUAUUGUAUACAUUAAAAUCUGCAAAACAAUGAAUUAUAUGUACGAACGAGUGCAAACACAUUUUUCAAUAAGAAGUUAAAAGAUAUUUAUGCAUGAAAAAGCAUACGUUUGUAGUUACUCUAAAUUUUUUAAAAAAAAUUUACAUUUAGAUCCCUAAAAUUUACGUAUAAGUACAAAAGUUUCAAAUAUUGUCUAUUAUUUUUUAACAUAUGCCUAUUCCUUGUGGAUAAUUCUGUCUCAUCACUAAUGUUGUUUCUUGCUUACAAAAAACAAAUGUCAUCUCCUUUUACAAUUUUUAUAGCGUCUCAAAAUAGACAAUGGGGGGAUUUUGAAUUUUUUAAGUCUCAAGAUAGUCUCUAAUCUUGUGAGAAAGAUUUUCUUUCAAUAAUUUGGAGGUAAAGAUAACAUAAUUUUUUGGAUAGUGUGCAUGUGUAUUUAAUUAAUAAUUUUUUAAAAAAAUACAUCAAAUAUUAAUAUCCAUGACAUAAUUUAGUUCUUAAUUUUUUUUAAAUACAUCAAAAACAUAAUUUUUUUUAACAACUUAUAGGCAUGACAAAUUUCAAGAUAUAAAUAUCAGUCAAAAUAAGUGAAAGAAAUAAUGGUGCCAAUUCUAAUUUCUUAACUAAAUUAAUUAGUGCAUGAGCCCCGAAUACGACACGAGAGUUUGAUGGGCUAACUUGGCACAAGAACGUGAAUAAAUAAUUGAUUUAAGAAAUAAUUCAACGAAAAAUAUAAUUGAUAAGAAUUCAGUAUUGAAAUGAGUUUUUUUGUGAAACACUGAAUUAAUGAUUAUUAAGCAAGAACAAUAAAAAAAUAAAUAUUAAUCAUUGAUAAGUUUCAACAAAAACUUAACACAAUCCUCAAUCCUCAUUCAAAUGAUAAAUGUCAUUCAUAUAUUCAUUAUAAAUCAACAACAAAGGUUAUAAAUGUUUAGAAAUUCUAGAGGGAAGGAAGCUAUCGCCGGACAAUCAACAACUAAAUUUGAUGUAAUUGUGGCACGAGAUGGAAUAUGGAAACUACACCAUAAUUUCAAAUGCCGCCAUAGACAUUGACUUAUCAUAAUAACAAUGAUCUAAUUAAAAUAAAAACAAAGUUUAUGGGCAUUUAUUAUUUUGCCAUUCCUCAUUUGCAAAUAGGGAUAUAAUUAUAAUUUUACCUAGUCAAAGCAAUCGGUAGUUUUCUUCAUUAUAGGAGUGAAGUAAAAACAUUUAGAUUUCAAUGUAUGUACGGAAAAAUUUGUCUUUAAAAAUACUUUCUUAAUGUGUGUAUGCAUAUUGAAAUACUCAAACCAAUUUUGGUUAUAUAUAAUUAAACAAAUUUUAAAAUAUGAAAAAUAUAAUGUAGUUAUAGUGGAUAAACAAUAAGUGAGCACAAUAUAAUUAAUCAAAUAUUAUGCCAUCAAAAGUUAAUUUUAGAAAUUCCAAAUCCAAUAGCCAACACAAUUCUUUUUUUUUUAAAAAAGUUGACACAAUUAAUAAAAUUAGCGACAUGAAUUUCACGCCAUUGAUAAUCAGCAAUUAGUAUUACUUUCUAAACUUGCUUCAACUGGUCGUUGAUGUCCGGGUCACCAAAAGUAUAAGCGAUAAUAAGGGGCAUUGGGCAAGAGUGAUGAAUGUUUAGUCGGUGCAUUUGAUUGAUAGAUAUAUAAAGGGCCGAAACUUGAGAUUAUAUUACUUUUACAAAUUUUAAUCCAAUCACAUAUUUACUGAAAACAAAAUGAGUUAGGAUACUUUAUUUAGAACCCACAUUUUAAUAAGGCUUCAUUUGAUGUAGUUUUUCAAACAGUGAUUAUUUGAGUAAAGUUUCCUCAAUAGAGUUUUUAUCAAAUAAAUUUUAUUUAUUUGGUUGUCGAUAAGAACUUUUAUUAAAAAUUAUAAAAUUAUUUAAAUAAACAUAUUUUUUAAAAUUACAUUAUAAAAAGAAUUAAAUAAAGUUAUAAAAGUAAAAUAUAUUUUAGAUAUUUUAAUAUUUAAGAAAAAAAUUUUGAAUCUCUACUUUCAGAAGCUCAAAUUUUUAGUUUUUAGUUGUAGAGACAAAAUAUCUUAUUUAAUCUUUAAAAGUUCUGCUAAAAACAAUCAAAUAACUAUAAAAUUUUUAAUAAGAGUAUAUAAAAUUAAAUAAGCAUUUAUUAAUAAUCACUUUAGUGUACUUAUCUAAUGACCAUAAGUGUUUAUUUAAUCUCAUAAGUUCUUAUUUAAUCUCAUGAGCUCUUUUCAAUUUUUUUUGUUGUUUGCUUUUUUUAGUAGAGUUUUUGAAAAUUAAAUAAACUAUUUUGUCUCUAUUAGGAAAAACUCAAAUUUUAGGUUUUUGUGAGUAAAUGUUUAAAUUUUUUUUAAAAUAUUAAAAUAUUAAAGUAAAAGUUGUAGAGACAAAAUAUCUUAUUUAAUGUUUAAAAGUUCUGCUAAAAAUAAUCAAAUAACUACAAAAAUUUUAAUAAGAGCAUAUAAAAUUAAAUAAGCAUUUAUUAAUAGUCACUUUAGUAUACUUAUCUAAUGACCAUAAGUGUUUAUUUAAUCUAAUGAGCUCUUUUUAAUUUUGUUUGUUUGUUUUUUUAGUAGAGUUUUUGAAAAUUAAAUAAACUAUUUUGUCUCUAUUAGGAAAAACUUAAAAUUUAGGUUUUUGUGAGUAAAUGUUUAAAUUUUUUUUAAAAUAUUAAAAUAUCUUUUCUUUAUUUCAUAAUCUUAUUUCAUUCUUCACAACAUAACUUUAAAUAACUCACCUAUUAAAAUAAUUUCACAAUUUAUAAUAAAAAUUUUAAUUGACAAUCAAAUAACAAAUUUUUUUUUAUAAAAACUCUAAUAAUAAAAAUUCUACUUAAAUAAAUUAUAUUUGAAAAGGUAUACCAAACGAACCUAACAUAAAAACAAAAAUUUUUACAUCCACACAAUUAAGCUUAAAACAAUUUCAAAUGAAUUUUAGACUACUCAAAGUACAAUACGUACCAAGUUUGGUAACUUAUUGGGGUCCGCUUGUAAUACAGCGUCUGUAUCUCAUACAGCCAAAUUUAAUAAUUUAUUAAGAAAAAGGGCAACCAUUAGAUAGAAGUAGAUACAUCCAACGGUUAAAAUGUUUGAUUACUCAUUUUGGCGACCGGAUAUGCCAGUUAUUAUUUCAUCAAUUAACUUACCUAAAAAAUCACAGCCGUUGGAUUGAGAUGCCUCUCUUUCCCUCAAAAUAACAGCCUUCGUAUUCUCUCUGCUAUUGUUUUCUCCUACAUCCAGAAUUUUGGAUGAAUGAACUUGGUAUUCAACAAUAUUCACCACCCAUCACAGCAAAGAGCAAAGAUGUAGUCAAAGGAGUGCCAUUUAUUCAGGCUAACUCGAUCUGUCACUCUCGCUUCAAUUCGUCACUCAUUUUCUCGCGCUCAGCUUCAAUCUAUCACUCUCAGCUUCAGUUCGUCACUCACAGCUUCAAUUUUUCACUGUCGUGAAUCAUCUCUCUUGCUGUAUCUCUCUCUUAUGUCUUCCAAUAAUUUCGGUGAGCUCUCUCUCUAAUUUAAUAUAUGAUUAAAAAUCUUAUCAUCUUAUCAUGUCAUUUAAAUAUGCUUGAAGUUUCAAUUUAGUUUAUGAAUAUUACUUGAAAUUUCAGUUUCAAUAAUUUGAUUUUGCAAUUGAGAAAUUAUUACUUGAAAUAUUGAGAUGAUUUCUAGGGAUUGAUAAUUGAAUGAUAAUUGCUAAGGCUUGUCAUUUUUUGUUUUUGAACAGAUAGAGUUACAAUUAAGUCAUACUGCAAUAUUUUAUCUUGAGAUUCUAUUAUUCACAAAAAGAAAAAAAUCAUAAAUUGAAAAAAAAAAAAAAGAGGUUACGAGCAUCAAGCAACUGCAAGUAAUGGGGUUUGUUUUGAUGAGCUGCGAAUUGGGGCCUGUCAUUUUCUUGAAGUAUCUUCAAUAUAAGUGGAAGGAGAUUUCUUCUCUCCAAAAAAUUAUUGUAUAUUUCCUUUUAAAUUCUAGAUUCGCAUGUAGCUGAUUUUUUAUGUUUGAAGGAUUUUAUUAAAGAAUGUGCUGCUGCUAGUGGCAUGAAUUAAUGUAGUCUCGCUAGUAUUCGUGAUUUGGGGUAAGGAUCGAAUUGAACAAUUAUAUUUCUAUUAUUCUUAUAUUCGAAUCCAGUGAUAUUGUGGUGGUUUUAUGAUAAUAUUCAAUUGUUUUGUGCCUCAAAUCAGCCAAUGAGUUGGGUAUGUGCUGGGUAUAUGCCGUAUGGGCUUGUUGUUGAAUUUGCUUGACCUUGGAUGUGAUUCUUGCCGUGUUUAUAAGAAAUAGACACAGGUCUUUGUGUGGUAAUAGAAUUGUCUAAGGUGCCUUACAAUAAAUUUAAGAGUCUUAAGUAACUAUGCUUUGUAACCUUAAACCUUUAUUUGUACGACUUGGUGUUCUUGGUUGUGAAAGAAUGUUAAAUGUUGACCUAUUUUCAUCGGUGAAGAUAAAUGAAGUUAGGGAAGGUUUGUAAUCACUAUAACCCUGACAAUUUUUUUGGUGGGCCGUGAUAAUUUUAUUCAUGGCAUGUACUUUGUUUUUAUCAGAAGGCCCUGUUUGCUUGUAGUCUCAAAUCUAGGGUAAUAUUUUAAAUAAGUUCUGCAAUAUAUGUUUUGCUAUUUUUCUUUUUUGUUUUUAUUUUAAUUAGUUUUAGUAUUACUUGGAGGGGAAUUCUGAUCUGCUGAAGUUUAUCAAGCUGGUGCAGUGGUGCAGCAAGCAGACCUUUAUCUUAAUCUUAUGAUUGUGCUAAGUGGAAUUUUGUGUAAGUUACAACAAUAUAAUUUUUUAAAGAGCUGACAAGACGCUCUCUCUUUUUUUUGGAAUGUUGAGCAAAACUUUUCUUUCUUAUUAGGUGUUUAUAAUAAUUCAUAGCAUGGGUUUUGUCAUAUUGGUUUCAAUGCAUUGAUUUGAUCUUGGUUACAACCCAUCAGCCCUUACUCCUCAUUCCCAGCAGCUUUUAAUGCCUUUUUUUUAAGCAUUGUACUUUGUUUCAUGAUGAAAUUUGUUUAUAUGACGCAAAGUUGAGGACACGGUAAUAGUCAUUAUUUUAAUUUAUGCAACAAAGAUCAUUAUCCAUUAAAUUUUAUGUUGUUGAAAUAUUUAGAUUUUGUAAAUUUUGUUGUAAGAAAUGAGGGCUCUUGAUCCCAUCCCUUUAUUAUAUACAAUUUUUUUUCACUCUGUCAUUCAUUUAUUGUGUGUUAGAGGUAUUAGUCAUGUGCAAAAGUAAAGAUCUUUAUUUUGUUAUUUUUGUCAUCUUGUGCUUCAUUGGUAUAAAUGAGGAAAAAAAAGAAUAAAAUAAAAUAAAAUUAUAGUUUGUGCAUGAAUUCCACCAUAUAUGAAAUGUUUAAUAGAUUAAAAAGUAAGGAGUACACAGUGACUUUGAAUAGCAGGUGGGGGAACUCAUUUUGUUUUAAAAAAAAUUAAUACAUAUUGAUAGAAUAAUUAUCCUUCACUUAAUUAUUUAAAAAUUUUAUUUUGGAAGAAUACAAAUGGACAGUCACCAAUGAAAGCGUAAACGACUACCAGGGGGCUUACAGAAAAAAUUGCUCCUAUUCUAAAAGUAGAUGGUCAGGACAAAGUUCCAACAACUUCAACUUAUGGAUUUGUCUCUUACUUGUAAGGUAAUCUCUUCUUGUAGGGUGUUUAAUUGAAUUAAAAACAGAAUAUUAUUUGCAUUAUAGAGUACAGGCAUAAAUUCAUUAUCUAUGUCAGUUCAUUCAUGAUUUUACUCCAAAUGGAGUAAUAGAUCACCAUUAAUUUAUUGAUACAUCGUCCAUGUUUGUUUUCGUCUUCAAUUUUUAUAUUACAAUAUCUAAUCUAUUUAGUAUUCGUAAAAAAACAUACGAGAAAAAGUUGGAAAAACACUUUAGGGGUGAUUGUGUACACUUUCGUAUGGCACAAAUAGCGUUAGGCUUUGUUUUUUAAGUGGACGACGUGUCCAUUUUUUGUGUUACAUCUUACUCAUUAAUAUAUUUUUGAGUUUCUUAUGGAAAAAAAAUUGAAAAAACACUUUAAGUGAAAAAAAUUUGUAUUUCAAUUUAUAUGUAACAGUGAAUUGGAAAAUAAAUUCUACCAAUAAUUAAAAGAAUACUUUUCUUUUAAUUAUUAAAAAGAUAAGGUAGUUACUCAUUACCCAUAUAAAUGGACAGUUUUAAUUUGUUCCAUAUCUAUACAACAGAAGAGCUUCAGACACGGUUUGCAGCGUUCCACGAUCACUUCCAUUCUAAGCAGCAGCGUCUUCCGUCUUUUUGCACACCAACAGCAGAUUCUAGAUGGCCAGAAGCUCAUCUGCCGCACUCUCGGGAUUUCGCUGCCAUCCUCAUCUUCAUCUCCACUACCUCCUCAGUGAUUAUCCCCUGGUUUUAUGCUCAGAAAUUAUGAUUAUUAUGUAUCUUGUUUUCAGAUUUGUCAAUACUUGUUAUAUUUUGAUUAUGCAUUAUGGACAUUUUUCAUAAGAUAGCUUAAUUUUGUGGUUUGUGUUGACGAUUUCCAUGUAUGGAUGUUUGGAUAGGUAAUUUCGCCUUCCAUGCAUUCUUCAUUCCUGCAUCCUGUGGGAGAAAAUUGGAAAAAGUGGUUUUUGAUGAGAAACGGGGAGAAGGAUGAGAUAUAUAUUUUUGAAGUGUCACAUUAUUUCAAAAACAAACCCCAAAUUUAAUUUCUCUUACCGAUCAUGAGUUAAAAUAUAAAAAUUAACGUUUACUCAUCACACUGUUAUAAGUAUCAAAGCAUUACUUAUAGAAAAAUUAUCGUCACCUAUCCUACAUUUGUGAUUGAAUAGUGGCACAAUUUUAAUUGGGAUAUUUAACAUUACUCUUUGUAAUUGUUUGGUCUUAUUUGAAGUUUGUAAAUUUUUCAUAACUAUGACUUCAACAGCAUAUUUCAGGUUGCAUUUAAUCGUUGCUAUAAUUAGGUACUUUGAAAUAAUUUAUUGGCCACGAUUACAGUCAUUGUUAUUAGUCACCCCUCUUUUUUCUCUUUUGGCCAACCAGCUCUUGGAUAUUUGGGAACCGAUGACAAUAGUUGGGAAAUUAUGUAAUAUUGGUGUGUUUGCGAAAUAAAUCAAGAGAUUUGCCUUGCCGAAGUUAAAAGAGAUAUUGUGGCCUGAAUUUUUUUUUUUUUUCUCUAGGGGCCAUGGCUCUCAAGGACAAGGCAUGAAUCAUGCAUUAUAAUUGCUCGAAAGGGUUAGUAAAAUAGCAAUCUAAAAUACCCAAGUUGGAUCUGCUGUUGAAUCACAAAAAGAACAUAAUUGGGAUAUGAAGUCAUGGUUGCAAGUGUUGGACCCUUAGGUUACGUUUGGCACGUAGGAUUGGAUUGAACUAAUUACUAAAAUUGGAUUGAAUUAUAUUCGAUUGGAUUAAACUGGAUUAUAUUAUAUAGUUCUAUGGUUAGUACAAUAUCGGAUUAAACUAUGUUAAAUUAUAUUUAAAUAAUAUUAAAUAGCAUUUAAGUUGGUAUUUUAAUAUUAAUAUCAAUUAUUCAUGAAAUUUCAUAAUCAUAAUUAAAAUAAAUUUAAAAAACAAUUACCAGGAAAAUUAAAUAUAUUGUAAAUAAGUUACUGGGUAGUCAUAAUACAGUAAACAAAUGAACAUAGAUAAAAAAAUUAAAUUUUAAAUAAUUUUUAUCAAAUUUUAAAAAAAAAUUAUAUAAAAUCAAUUAUUUAAUGGUAUUAUUAAUUUUCAUGAUUAUUUUUAAUAGUAUAUAACAAUGAUUAUUAAAUUUAAUACAAUCAAAUAAUGCAAUAAAUAAUUAAACAUUUAAUUUUAUCAAUAAAUUACUAAAUAUACAAGUGGUGAAAAUUUAAUCUCCAGAGUUAGUACAAGUAAAGGUAUUAAUUUAAUUAGAUCAUAGAUAAUAAAUAAAAAUAAGUUUUAAGUAAAUCAUAUUAAAAAUUAAUUAAUUAAUUAAUACUAGGUGUAAAUAAAAAAAAUGAUAUAAAUAAAAAUCUCAUAAAUGGACAACUUUUUUCUUUAAUCUUAUCCCAACUAAACCCAUGCGUAAAUUAGGAUUAUCAAUUCCAUGAUUUUAGGAUUAAAUUUAAAUUACUACCCCCUUAAUCCAAUCCAACUAAGCUUGCCAAACAUUGGAUAAAUAUUUAAUUCCAAAAUUAGUCUAAUCCCAUACUUAAUCCUAGAAUCCAAACAUGGCAUUAGCACCUUAUAUAACAAAGUGUCACUGAAAUACAGCAAAACGUUAUAAACAAGAACUUAUUUCUGUACAAAAUGUUAUUUACUUUUUGUGAACUUCCAAAUACCUACUAUAUGAUUUGCAAACCCUACAAAAGUCUACCUUGCAUGCUCUUUCUAACGUGAAAUUUGAUUUUUAUUAAAUUUUUGAUGUGUUCACUAAUAAAUAAUUGGAAUCUAAAAAAAUUAGAAAAAAAUAGAAUUAGAAUGAGCUACAAUAAAAAUGAGGAAUAACAAAAAAAAUGAUAUUUGUUGAGAUGAAUGAAACACAAUUGAAAUACUCUAUAUCGCUCUUAAUAUGUUCACUUUGUGAACAUAAAUUAGAAUUAGUUGUUAUAACUUAGUAAUUUAUCCUCAAUCAAUUAUUAUCAUUAUUACUAUUUGUUAUAAUAAUUGUAAUUAUUAUUUUUGAUAAUUUUAAUACUAAGAAAAUUAUUGUUAGGGGUGGAAACACCAUAUAGAGAAGGAACAAUUAAAUUUAUAAAAUUUAGUGGGGAUAAAAUAGUCACUUAAGACAGCAAGCGUCUCCCAUUCUCACCUCCACGAGCAUGAAAACACUAGUAAUCAUUCUUAAAUUUUGAUGGAAUCUGUUGCUUUUAUUCUAAUAACGAACGCAAAACCUAUGGAAUUAGUUGGAAUAACGAAUGCAAAACCUCUGGAAUUACAAUUGAAAUACGUCAACCCAAAAUGGAGAAAGCACAACUAAAAUUAGAGACCUACAAAACCAAAAAUAAACUUAUAGAAAACAAACCCGGUACCUAAUCUCAAUAAUUGGAAUCUCAACCAGUUAAUGGAAAUAUUCAACUCAAAAUUAGGGAAAAAUUAGAUGAAACACGUGAACCAUUGAGAGAGAAAGUAUGACGAAAAUUAGAAACUCAUUUAACGAAAAAUAAUAUUUACUUGGAAUCUAACCCAUGAUACUGGUACCUAAGGAACUUUAUAGGAAUAUGAAACGCAAAACCAGUGGACCAAUAAGUUGAAACAUGUGAACCAAAAAAUGAAAAACUAUAACCAAAUCUUGAGACUAAUCAAACCAAGCAAAAGUAAUAUUGAUAUUUAACCCAUAUAAUUGGAAUUUUACCAAAUUAGUUGGAAUAACGAAUGUAGAACUUGUGGAAUUACAAUUGAAAUACAUCAACAAAAAAUGGAGAAAGCACAACCAAAAUUAGAGACCUACAAAACCAAAAAUAAAUUUAUAGAAAAUAAAUUUGGUACCUAACCACAAUAAUUGGAAUCUCAACCAGUUAAUGAGAAUUCUCAACGCAAAACUAUAGGAAAAAUUAGCUGAAACACAUGAACCAUUAAGAGAGAAAUUAGAACGAAAACUUGGAACUUAUCCAACGAAGAAUGCUCGUGACUUGGAAUCUAACAACAAAUAUUGGUACUUGACUAAUUUAGUAGGAAUAUCAAAUGCAAAACUCAUUGACCAAUAAGUUGAAACAUGUAAACCAAAAGAUGAAAAAGUAUAACCAAAACCUGAGAAUAAUCAAACCAAGAAAAAGUAAUAUUGAUUUUUAACCCAUAUAAUUGGAAUUUUACCAACUUAAUUGGAAUAACGAAUGCAAAACCUGUGGAUUUACAAUUGAUAUACGUCAACCCAAAAUGGAGAAAGCACAACCAAAAUUAGGGACCUACAAAACCAAAAAUAAAGUUAUAGAAAACAAACCUGGUACCUAACCUCAGUAAUUGGAAUCACAACCAGUUAAUAGGAAUAUUCAAUGCAAAAUUGGGGAAAAAAUUAGAUGAAACACGUGAACCAUUAAGAGAGAAAGAACAACGAAAACUAGGAACUUAUCCAACAAAGAAUGAUAGUUACUUGGAAUCUAACAGUAAAUAUUGGUACUCGACGAAUUUAAUAGGAAUAUCAAACGCAAAAAUAGUGGACCAAUAAGUUGAAACAUGUGAACCUAUAGAUGGAAAAGAAUUACCAAAAUUUGUAACUAAUCAAACCAAAAAAAGUAAUAUAGAUAUCUAACCCAUAUAAUUGGAAUCUCGACAAAUUAGUUGAAAUAUUAAACAAAAAACUAGUGGAAUAAUAGUUGAAACACAUGAACCAAAUGUGGAGAAAGUUUAACCAAAUUUUGAAACUUAUCCAAUGAAGAAUGCUAGUUACGUGGAAUCUAACAACAAAUAUUGGUACUCGACGAAUUUAAUAGGAAUAUCAAACGCAAAAAUAGUGGACCAAUAAGUUGAAACAUGUGAACCUAUAGAUGGAAAAAUAUUACCAAAAUUUGGAACUAAUCAAACCAAAAAAAGUAAUAUCGAUAUCUAACCCAUAUAAUUGGAAUCUUGACAAAUUAGUUGAAAUAUUAAACGAAAAACUAGUAGAAUAAUAGUUGAAACACAUGAACCAAAUGUGGAGAAAGUUUAACCGAAUUUUGAAACUUAUCCAACGAAGAAUGCUAGUUAUUUGGAAUCUAACAACAAAUAUUGGUACUCGAUGAAUUUAGUAGGAAUAUCAAACGCAAAAAUAGUGGACCAAUAAGUUGAAACAUGUGAAUCUAUAGAUGGAAAAGCAUUACCAAAAUUUGGAACUAAUCAAACCAAAAAAAGUAAUAUCGAUAUCUAACCCAUAUAAUUGGAAUCUCGACAAAUUAGUUGAAAUAUUAAACUAAAAAUUAGUGGAAUAAUAGUUGAAACACAUGAACCAAAUAUGGAGAAAGUUUAACCAAAUUUUGAAACUUAUCCAACGGAGAAUGCUAGUUACUUGGAAUCUAACAAAAAAUAUUGGUACUCGACGAAUUUAGUAGGAAUAUCAAACGCAAAAAUAGUGGACCAAUAAGUUGAAACAUGUGAACCUAUUGAUGGAAAAGCAUUGCCAAAAUUUGGAACUAAUAAAACCAAAAAAAGUAAUAUCGAUAUCUAACCCAUAUAAUUGGAAUCUUGACAAAUUAGUUGAAAUAUUAAAUGAAAAACUAGUAGAAUAAUAGUUGAAACACAUGAACCAAAUGUGGAGAAAGUUUAACCGAAUUUUGAAACUUAUCUAACGAAAAAUAAAUUUAAUUGGAAUUUAACCCAAAAUAUUAGUGUUUAACGAGUUUAGUGGGAAUAUUAAACAUAAAACUAGUGGAUCGGAAAAUGGAGAUAAGCAAACCAAUUAGUGAGAAAGUUGAAUCAAAAUUAGGUAUAUGUGAAAUUAACUUGGAAUGUCACCUAAUAUAUUGAUAUUUAACCAAAAGAAUCGAGACAUGCUCAUUUUAAUUUUUUUAAACUUUUGUUGCAAUUAAAAAUAAUUUUUUCACUUAAAUAUUGUUUGUGUUAAAUAUUUACAAAAUUUCCUUAAUUUUUCCUGUUUCAUUUUAUUUUUUCUACAUUAAAAAUAAUUUUUUAAAAAUUAUUAAAUGAACAACCGGUAAAAUACCGGUUGUUCAAGUUUCCUUUUUACUGUUGAAGGGGCUGUAUUUUAUACAGCACUGUACUAUAGGAAGACUCAACUUAUUGACAUCUUCUCAUAUAACCUUCGAUCAAGUCGAUUCUGACCUGACGACUAAUUGGUACAUCACCGUUGUUCUCUAUACUCGCAUGCAUCGGAUCACAAAUCUCACUCCAAUUGUCGUCUUUCUUCGCCGUUUUAGCGCAUACUUCUUGAAUUUCCCGCAUUUCGUUCCCUCCUGUUACAAGUCUCCGGUCAGGUCAGUGAUUGAAUUUCCCGCAUCUCUAUCCCUCCCGUUUUCUCGCGUCGUUUCACUUCAAUUUCUCGUGUCUCCUUUCAGUUUAAGUGAUUGAAUCAAUUUUAUCGCAGUCAUAAGAGAAAUUAAGUAAUGCUCUUGGAUUUAAAAUUUUUUUGCUUUCGACUUUAGAUCUCGAAAGUCAAACUCUGCUACGAAUCCAUAGAUUCUCAAUGCUCAUAAUCUUAUUUGUGUUUGACCAGGUAACUGGAUCGUGAAAUUCGUCGUUUUGUAUCAAUUCAAGCUUUCGCGAGCUCAUGGAAUCACCUGGUGAGUUGUGGUGAAACGUUAUCGUUUCAAUUUUCGCUUAAUUCUUUAUUGCAUAUUUUUUUCUCUAAUGUUUCAGUUUAAUUUAGAAAAGAAAGAGGCCCCAAAAAGAGAGAGAGAGAGAGACUCUACCAUACUCAAUUCCUUGCUCAUUCUGAUUUGGCCUGAAUGUUGGCAUUGACUAUUAUUUGUUUUCAUUUCGAUUUAAUUCUCAUUUAGACAGUCUUUACUAACGGUCAAUAAUAGUUUAAGGAAAAUGAUCAUAGGGAUUCUGCAAUAAUCUUUCUGCAUUGUUCAAGUUAGUAGACAAUGAAUAGGAUGUUUAUGUUUACCUCAUUUUGAACCCUGAGGGCUUCGUUGAGUAGUUGAUUCAACAUAUCCAGCAACGGUUGAUGUGAGAACAGAAUGCCACUUAGAUAGGCUUAAACUGAUUUUGGAGGUUUGUAUUGGUUCUAUUGUACGUCUUGCUUACAAAUUUUUAAUUUUUAAUUUUGUAUAAUAUGCUCUUUGUUGGUAAAUCUCAUUUGACUUAGAAGAGAUAGUUUUAUCCCAACAGUGGGAUAAAUCAUUGAGAUGCAUGGCAGUGUGAAUAUAGUAGACAAAAUCAUUGAGACACAUGGUGGUGUGAACAUAGUAAACUUUGUCAAACACAGCUAAGAUAAACAAAUUGUUUCAUUAGCCUUUACCUUAUCUGCUGUGAUGAUUCAAAUUAAUGCUGUUUGGUAGGUUGCAAAAAACGAAAUGAGCUGUCUGUUCGUAUUAUUUAGUCAGAUCUAUUGCAAUAAGUUGAAGUUCAUUGUCACAUGGGUUGGGAGUAGCGUGGGCUGUGAGUAGUAGAAUGGAUUUAUGGAGUUGAUACAAGUGCCCAUAAUCUAUCAUGUCAUUCUAGGAUUAAAUGGAUUGCACAUUACUGUAAAGAUGGAGGUUAAAUUUAUAUAAUUCGGAUUGAUUGUAAAAUGGGAGGCAGAGAUGAGUUAGAAAAAGAAUGACCUGUGUCCUUUUUGAGCUGUUUCUAAAUCUCCCUGGUGUGCUUCAUGCUUAACACGUGUCUUUCCAAAUAAUUUUGCUUAACCUGUGCUUGUCUACUUCUUGUGCUAUUCUGUGCCUGGUCCUGAGCUGUGUUGGUAGAUUGACAUAAUUUUGCUCUGCUAAAUGUAUAACUUAUUAAUCAGAGUCCUGUUAUUAUGGUUUGACACUACUGACAUAUUGUGUUGGUAUUUAUUUGUACUUCCCUUGGUUGAAUUAUUUGCUGUCUCCAUGCAAUUCGAUAUGGUGCUACUUGGUUUUUGAUCAUCCAUGACGCUAUAUAUAUGUAAAGGAUGAAUUGAUUGUUUUGGCUUGUAUUCUCACAUUUUAUGAUUGAUCGAUGGAAAGGUUUUCAUGCAUUAAAUUCAACCUCACAAGCGUAAGAUUGACAGAUUGUGGGCAAAUUUUCAGGAAAAGAAACUAGACUUCAUGGAAGCAAUGAAGCUUGAAAUUGAACGUCUGCAGCUGAAUCUUUCUGCAGCUGAAAGGGAUAGAACUUUAUUGUCAAUUGGAACUGAUCCUGCCUCUAUAAAUCCAAAUGUAUUGCUUGAUGAAUCUUACAUGGGAAGACUGUGUCGAGUAGCAAACACUCUUGCAUUACUUGGCCAAGCUUCCCUAGAAGAGAAAAUUGUUGGUGCAAUUGGCCUUGAGAAUAGUGGUGAUAGUGUUUUAGACUUCUGGAAUAUUACUAGAAUCGGAGAGAGUUGUUCUGGUGGUGGGUGCGAGGUUUGUGCAGAAACUAAGGUGCCUGCUCUUGCUUCCUCAACUGCAACAUCUGUUGGAUCUUCACAAUCCCCUUUGUUGUGUUCUCAAUGUGAAAGAAAAGUUUGCAAAGUUUGUUGUGCAGGAAGAGGAGCUCUACUGUUUUCAAAUUAUAAAUCAAGGGAUGUGACCAACUACAAUGGCUUCUCAAGUCAGAGUGGAUCAAGCCAUGGAAGCCAAGUUGAUGUAGCUACCAGUCGUUCACUAACACUGGAUGGCGUUAUCUGUAAACACUGUUGCCAUGAGAUGGUGCUUGAUGCAUUGAUGUUGGACUAUGUUAGGGUCUUGAUUAGGUUGCGAAGAAGUUCCUGUGCAGACAACGCAGCAUACAAUGCUUUGAAUGAGGUUGUUGGAUCCUGCUUAAAGGAUAGUCUUUCUGAGAGGAUUCAGUCUUCCGAU
rnacentral:lncRNA from 1 species